rnacentral:lncRNA from 1 species
UUAUUCAAAUCUAUUUAUCCAAUAACUCCAGAGACUAAAUGAAAUUUUUGAUAUAAGAACGAACACAAAGACAUUUUUUUCACAGCAUGAUAAAGACUGCUAGGAAAAUUUCUAGGCUACAGACCUUUAAUUCGCCUUAGUUCCUUACACAGCGUGAUAAAGUCUCCCCAUUUCAUGUGGCACCGUCUUAUAAACCGAAGAAUCUGCUCAGUAGUAAACAUUGACAUGCCUUCCAGGUAUUCUCCAUUGACUCCAUUUUCCUUAAAAGUUUGCCGGUAACUGCCGAGGUUUAUCUCUUCCAACCACAAACCGACAUCCUGUACGAAAGGGGAAAAUAAACAUGAGAAUACAUGUGGGUGAGCCAUGUAUCUUUAUAUUCGUUUUAUUAUAUAUGGCCAAAAAAUAUGUACAUGAGGCCUUCAUCAGGGCACAUGAUAAACUCAGGCUAUUAUUAAGUCACUGUUAUAAUAUAACAGUCCCUCCAACCCAAAAAUAAAAAUAAAAAAAACAAUAUUCACCCAAAUUUUUGUUCAGGACAACCUUAAACUUAGGGCAAUUUAAACUCUUUCUUUUGAGAUUAUCCGACUAGAGUUCAUCCAUAUCAAACGGCAUUACUUCACAUGGCAAAGAAAUGUUUUUGUCUGUAACUUGGCUGUGUUUAAUUUUAAUAUCAAUAAUCCCCUUUAGUCACAAAAUAUCUGUUCCCAGAGGUAAUCCUAAGAUUCCUAAGACCAAUAGUAAUGUGUUUGUCUCUUUAUUUUCACUGUAACGUACUUACUCAUAGCUACUAAUAGUUAGGUGGAGGCAUCUUUAGCACAACUUCAGAGUCAAAGACCACAUUCAAGCUUUAGCUCAUAGUUUUGUUCACUUGUGAAGUUGUUAAAAAAAAAAUUAUAAUCCAUUCAUCAUUCUAUGGACAGGGAAACAAUUUCCACACCCCAAGAUGAGGAGGGUCCUGACCAAGGGAAUAGCAACAGAUAAUACGGUAUUGCACUAACAACAAACGAUUGUUCUGUAUCAUAUUAGAAUCGUUUUAUAAAGUGACAAAGAGUCAAACGCCUGACACCUCAAGAACCAUAACUCAAAGAAAGAAGAUUGUGUCGAAUAAUAGUUGGAGGAGGAUGAAUUGAUGAGUGAAGGCAAUUAUUUCCUGUAGUAACAACAUGAGAUGGAUUCAAAUGAAACUGAUGAAUUUCCCAGCUUGCCAAGUAUGAAAGAUAAUUAGCAGAUUACAUGAAAAGUCUCCUCUAUUUCGAUUCAUUAAGUUGGUCUAUUUCACAAUAAUCAAAACUAAAACCUACCACUUGAUAACUGUUCCCCCAGUAACAACCCCAUCAAAAAGAAAAUACAUCACAAGAUGUUAAAAAAAACCCCAAAAUUUCAAAAAGUUAAUACAUACAAACACACAUAUAUACAAAGCCUAACUCAAAGAGAAACAGAUGUAUGAGCUAGCAAUAAAUUAACAAAAAAAAUGAAGUCAAAAUCAGAUGUCCCAAACAACAAUUCUCCAGUAACAACGCACAAGAUCUACUUGAUUGAAUGAGAAAUAUCCAAAAACAAGGACAGAAAAAGAGAAAAAGAGACUGAAAAUUGGUUACCUCAACAGUCCAAAUGAAGAAAUCAAGAGGCUCUGGUGGGUGUUCUUUGCUCAUCUCCCUCAUCAUAACGCCUUUUCAAGACCUUCAAAUCAUUCACAACCCAAACACACUCUCAGUCACAGAGACGACACAAAGAGUAAAGAGCUUAAAAAUAAAAUUUCACAAAAAAUAAAAUAAAUAAAUAACAGCUUGGUCUAAGACUAGUGGCAGUUACUGCGAUCCGAAUUUUCUUCGUUUUUUUUUCUUUUUCUUUUGUUCGUUGUAUUUUCUGGGAGACCAAACAGAAAGUUAGAGAAAGCUGGAUUGGGACUUACCGUGCGGAAGGUGAGUGACAAUUUUGAGGGUAUAAAUUCUCUACAUUUGUUUCAGAGCUUAAAGAGAGAGAAAGUAAGAAGAAGUCUGAAACUGAUGACUCAUUUGCUUUCUUGCCCACUCUUUUUUUCUGUCUCUUAAUGGAGUUGAUGGGCCUCCAUUUUUCUCCUUUAUUUUCCCUUUUAAUUUCUCUUAAUUAUCAUUGCUAAAUUUCAUAUAAUAACACUAAAUUACAUUUUUAUCCAUAUAAAUAUUGUAUCGGAUUGCAAAGCGAUACUGGGGAGAAGGAACCCAACACACAUCUCAUAUGCAAAAGUUAAUACUAUUAAUCGCUUUAGCUACGUGUCCUUCACAAUCCAUUUAAAUUUUUACUAGUAUCUCAAUUGUGAAGAACAUAUAUUCGUGAACGUAAAUCGAAAUACUAGUAAGACUAAAUUCAUUUGAAUUCUAAACCAUAAAAGGUUAUAAUUGUAAACGUCAAAGUGAAAUGAGAUCAAAACAAUUGGAAAUAAAACCCUAAUUUAGCCAAGGAGAAAUUCUCAUUAGUACCCCUUAAGGUAACUUAUAAAUUUGGUUGGUAAAUAAUUUAAUAUUUUAUUUUGGUUCAAUGCAUGUCAAAUCAUAGAGUAAUUGGUUAUUAAUAAUACACCUUAUGACGUUUACUAUAAUAACUUUGUCUUAAUUAUUUUGGGACCAUUAUGAAAUUAUUACUAAACCAGCUUCAAUUAAGGUGCAUGUUUGGGCCCACGUGGGCCGGCCUGAGUUCGAUUGAACUGGAAGACUACGAAGGCGACAAGUUGGACCGACCAAAUCGAAACCAUGCAGACGGUCAAUGAAUCUUAUGGUCAUCAGAUCGUACGGUCGUGACGGGAGUUUCUUUGAAGCUACAGUGAACAGCUACAUGUGCAACACGUGUCCAUACCGUCGCUUACGUUGCGCUAUCAUUGUCCCUGGACCACAUACCAAAUAAUAACCCUAAAUCAGUAAUUAGAAUUACAUCACUUCCUUCUUUUAGGUGUUUAUUAUAUUGUCACUUGUUGUCUCUCCUUUUGAUCUUGCACCCACUUUUUACUGACUUUUUAUUACAAAUGUACGUAUGCACCCCAAAGAUUACAAAAAUAACUUUUCUUACCUCUUUUGUAUUUUUUUGAUGUAAAUUACUGUAAUAUAAGGGAAAAUUUGAAUUCGGGUAUAAGGAGACGAGCACUCUCCUGACAAAAGUAGUCAAUGUUGUUUUACUUAUAACUCAUUAUUUCUAUAGUUAGUUAAGAUUUUGUAUUAAUAUAAACCUUAGUGUUAUUACAAGAUAUAGUUAUCAAUAUGGAUUGGGUAUGUGUAUCAAUGUGGACCGACAAUGGGGCCAAUUCAAGAGGUGGGUUAAACAAGACCUUCUUAAUAUGCUCCUAUGGACCUAAUCCAUACUAUAUAUAUAGCAAGGGCAUGACUCAUGAGGGAAGACAAAAGGGACCCAACUUAAAAAGAGCCCAAUUUUAUAGUGACAUAACAUAUAUUGAAAUGCAGUCUCGAUCUUUUGGACUACAAGAGUUCAAGAGAUUGUGGUCACCCACCGUUGGAUAUUAAUCCAACGGUUGAAAAAAGUUUUUUAAAAGGAGUGCAAGAGUGAGUGAACCAUUGAAUUUACAUCCAAUGGUGAGUGACCACAAAUCUCUUGGACCACUGUAGUCCAAGAGAUCAGGACUGUAUGGAAAUGUAUGAAUGAUUUUUUUUAUUUUAUUAUAAUUUUAAUACAAGCGAUAUUUUAAAUUACAAGAAUGAAGGAAGUUCUUCACACAUGUUACCAAUUCCAACUUGAGACCGUGAUUUGCAAAUCAAUAUAUUUUUUCACUCAACUAAACUCCGUUGACGUGGACAUUUUUUUUGUAGUGUUGUGCUGUGUAAUGGUUAAUCUUACAUUGUUAGAUUUAUAUAUUGUUAAAACAUGCUUUGAUCUAAUGGCUUAAAUUUGUGUAAAGGUGUUGGGCCCACCACCAUUAGUAUUGCUACACACGUCCUAAAGUCGUGAGGUCGCCCACACCGGAUCACCCCGUCGUCAAAUUUCCUCUCUCACUCGAGAGCCAGGACAAUUCAAGCGCUCGCAUUUUCCGUUUUUUCAGCUCCGUGUAUCCCUAAACCCAAAACCCCCAAAUUUUCCCUCCCUUUUUUCUCUGCGAGCAAAAGCCAAACAAAUGUUCUCACCAGGAACUAAGCGAUCCAAUGUGAACCCUCGUCGGGACCCAGGAUCUCCGGCCACUCCUCUCGUCGAGAACCGGCGAUCUGUUUCCGAUAACCCGGUCCCGAACCGGCCCAGUACCGGAACUCCGGCUCCCUGGGCUCCUCGCUUAUCUGUUCUCGCCAGGUACUCGUCUAAUUUAUCAUGCAUUCGUUCUUUGAAUUGCUGAAAUGAGUUCGUCGGUUCUGCAUGUGAGCUUAAUUGUUGGUUUUAAUUGGAUAUGGUAAUUGGAGAGUUGGGUUGGUGAAUGUAAGGGCUGAUUUUCAAUCGUUUGUGUUGUUUUGUGUUUGGUUAGAGUUUUACCAGCGAACCAAAGUGAGAAAGGGGAUGAAAUUAAGCCUGUAUAUGUUGGAGAGUUUCCCCAAGUUGUUCGUGAUGAACAGGCCAGUAUGGUCCAGAAGCAUGUUCAUGGUUAGUAGGGUUUACUCCAUGAGCUUGGUUGUUGAAUGAAAUGACUAACUGUAGAAUGGUAUCCGAUGUUUUCUCUUCUUUUUUUUUCGUCUUGCAGGUGAUACAUAUGUAUCUGGUGGAAUGGAGAGGGGAACAUCUUUGGCAUGGAUUAUAUGCGGAAACAGACUCUUCGUGUGGAGUUAUCUGUCUCCUGCAGCAUCGAUCAAUUGCAUUGUUCUUGAAAUCCCUGCAAAAGUUUUUGAAGGUGGGGAUGUGGGCAGAAGUGGUGGGAACUGUUGGUUGCUUUGUGUUGUCAAUUGGGAUAGCACGUCUACAAGAACAAAGAAAGUUGUUAAACACUGUAGCUCUGCUGGUAUUGUAUUGUGUAACAAAAAAACUCGAGCUGCGGUGUACUGGCCUGACAUUUAUGCUGAAGGCAGAACUGCCCCCGUUGUUAGUGUUGCAUCUUCUGAUGAAUUGGAGGCAAAUUCUUCGCCUAUUGAUAGGAAGACCACCCCAAAGCGACAGCAACUAAAUAUGCGGCACAGGAGUAGUUUGACUGGGUUUUGUACAUUUAACUCUUUGAUUGCUUCUGCAGUCCCUGAUUCCCAGAAUAUGUGUGUUGCGCUUGCCUGUAGUUCAGAUGGCGAGCUAUGGCAGUUUCAUUGCAGCCCAUCUGGUGUUAGCCGUAAGAAAGUAUAUAGGGACAAUCAGACUCUUUCCUCCCAAGGGGGUGACAAUGGUCAAAACCUAGGGAGCAAGGGUUAUCCAAGGUCACUGACCUGGUGUGUUCCAAGUCUUCCUAUGCAGGAAUCUAACAGGCUGUUUGUUCUUCUGACAGAUCAUCAUAUUCAAUGUUUUAAUGUUGAACUUUGUGAUGAAUUUGUUGUGUCAAAACUCUGGUCUCAUGAGAUUAUUGGCUCAGAUGGGGAUCUGGGCAUUAAGAAAGAUUUGGCUGGGCAGAAGCAAAUCUGGCCUCUCGAUAUGCAGGUGGACUAUCAUGGUAAAGUGACUACCAUUCUGGUUGCUACCUUCUGCGUGGACCGGGGUAGUGGUUCAAGCUACACACAGUAUUCUCUUUUGACUAUGCAAUAUAAAUCUGGAAUGAGUGUGGAGCCUACCCAUGAAAGAGUUUUAGAGAAAAAAGCACCUGUGCAAGUGAUAAUCCCAAAAGCAAGAGUAGAAAAUGAAGACUUCUUAUUCUCCAUGAGACUGCGGGUAGGGGGAAAGCCUUCAGGAUCAGCAAUCAUCCUUUCUGGUGAUGGAACAGCAACAGUAUCUCAUUAUUUUAGAAACUCUACAAGGCUCUAUAAAUUUGACCUACCUUAUGAUGCUGGAAAGGUUCUAGAUGCUUCAAUUCUUCCGUCUACAGAUGAUGGUGAAGAAGGGGCAUGGGUUGUACUCACUGAGAAGGCAGGAAUAUGGGCAAUACCUGAGAAGGCUGUUAUACUUGGUGGGGUUGAACCUCCUGAACGAAGUUUGUCACGUAAAGGUAGCUCAAAUGAAGGAUCUGCACAAGAAGAGAGAAAAAACCUUACAUUUGCAGGCAAUUUUGCUCCUAGAAGGGCUAGUUCUGAAGCAUGGGAUGCUGGAGAUAGACAAAGGGCUAUGACUGUAAGUGCGCGUCAAACUGCCCAAGAUGAAGAAUCAGAAACUUUACUGAGCCAGCUUUUCCAUGAUUAUCUUUUAUCUGGGCAAGUUGGUGCCUCGUUUGAAAAGUUAAAAAAUUCAGGGGCAUUUGAUAGGGACAGAGAGACAAAUGUUUUUGCGCGAAUGAGCAGAUCAAUUGUUGACACUUUAGCUAAACACUGGACAACAACUAGAGGAGCCGAGAUUCUGGCAAUGGCUGUAGUAUCCUCCCAACUCAUGGAUAAGCAACAGAAACAUACAAAAUUUCUCCAGUUUCUUGCUUUAUCCAAAAGUCAUGAGGAGCUGUGUUCGAGACAGAGUAUGCCCUCAUGCCUAUUAUAUUUGCAAUGUUUUAUCAUUUGAUGUCAAAUCCUUUCCAAUUGACAUGGCAUAUGUUGAAACUUGAAAGUUCAUGCAUGCAACAGUGUAGGUAUAGCAUGCAUUUACUUCCACGCGUGCUUAUCUAACCCACUGCACUCAAUCAAUUUCUUUUAGGUUGUCAGAUAUUAACACAUAAAGUUAUAAUUCGUUACCGGAGUUUAAUUUAUCAAAAAUAUGAUUUUCAGGGAAUUUUUUCUUUUUGGUGCUGUGCUCAUUUGAUAAUUUUGUCAUCAGAGUAUCUAUUGGAUGCACGGAGUAUAUUAAUUAGUGUCUAGAUGACAAUAUUUCCUAAGGUGUCCUAUCAUGGGGGUAGAAGGCCUUUUGAGGAGUAUAUUGAUUUGAGGUUCAGUGGGGUGCUGUUGACCAACUAAAUUAUGGUUUUUUGUUUCCUUUUUGGCAGGAAAUUCUUUGCAAAUUAUCUUGGAGCAUGGUGAAAAGCUUGCUGGAAUGAUUCAACUAAGGGAAUUGCAGAACAUUAUUAGCCAAAACCGCUCUAGUGGACUUAACUCCUCCCAUUCUAGUCCAGAAAAUCAAAUAUCAGGUGCUCUCUGGGAUCUCAUUCAAUUAGUUGGUGAGAGAGCCCGCCAGAAUACUGUUCUUCUGAUGGAUAGGGAUAAUGCUGAAGUCUUUUACAGUAAAGUUUCUGAUCUUGAACAAGUGUUCUCUUGCUUAGACAAACAGCUAGAGUAUGUAAUAAAUGCAGAGCAGCCAUUUGGGAUUCAGGUCCAGAGAGCUUGUGAACUGUCAAAUGCAUGUGUUACUAUAGUUCGUACAGCCAUGCAAUACAGAAGUGAGCAUCACUUGUGGUAUCCGCCACCUGAGCGCUUAACACCUUGGUAUUGUCUAGCUGUGGUGCGCAAUGGGAUGUGGCACCUCGCUUCCUUCAUGCUGCAGCUGUUAAAGGAGGCAUCUCAACUUGAUGUGUCUGCAAAAUCAGAUUUAUAUACUCAUCUAGAAGUGCUGGCUGAAGUUCUGCUUGAGGCAUAUGCUGGUGCUGUCACAGCUAAAAUUGAACUAGGAGAUGAACACAAAGGCUUAUUAGAUGAGUAUUGGAAUAGGAGGGAUGCACUCCUAGACUCGCUUUAUCAACAAAUCAAAGAGUUUGUGGAAGUUGGGCAUCAGGUAUUCUUUGUUUAUUACUAUUAUUGUUUAAAUUUUAUUUUAGCUCAACGGUAUCUCUUUGUGAUUGUGAUCCUGGUGCUGGAUAAGUAUGCAUCUUUGAAUUUAUUGUCUUAGCAGAAUUUAAAUGAAGGAACUGAUGAUCUAAAUGAAGAAAUUCUUGCGAAGCUUUCGUCAUGUUUGCUGCCCAUGGCAAAACGGCAUGAAUGCUACAGUACUUUAUGGAAAAUAUGCUGUGACCUGAAUGAUUCUGGACUACUAAGAAAUCUGAUGGUAUGACAGUUAUAAUUUCUUCGGCUUGUUACUUGUUUAUUUUCAUUUGUUUUCUGAAACUUAUGGAAUGGUUUCUCUGUUGGAAAGGUUGUUCUGUGCUAGUGUGUAGUAUUAGUCCGUUGGAAUUCAUUUAACCAUUGAAGCAUAGUAACCUGCGUUGGUUGUUUCUUGAAGCUCUUCCUCUUAAUGGUGCCACAGUUCUGAACGUUUACUUUGAAGCUGUUCUCUUCUAAUUAGAAUAAUUCUUCUGCAACUUUUUUCAUCAUUUCAAUGUUUAGUCCUACUUAGAAGUUUGUUAUUUUUAAGGAUUUCAUUAUUAUGUUUCUGUUUAAACUUAAAAACAUAGGUUUUCUCUUGAUCAUUUGCUUCGAAGAUAUUGUUUGAUGUGAUUUCUGUUUUCUCUUGUUUUCUUGUCUUAUUAGAUGUCUCCUUCGUUUUCUGAAAAUGAUUUGUUAUAUAGCAUGACAGCAGGGGACCUAAUGGAGGGUUCAGUUACUUUGUGUUCAAACAACUUUAUCUAAGGAGACAACUUUCCAAACUGCUUAGGCUUGGGGAAGAGUUUCCUGAAGAGUUAUCCAUAUUUUUAAAGUAUCAUCAAGAUCUUCUGUGGCUUCAUGAAGUGUUCCUUCAUCAAUUUUCUUCAGCUUCGGAAACUCUUCAUGAAUUAGCUCUUUCUCAAAAAGAAAGCUCAAUUUCAGAAGCUGAAGAGGGGACUGGUCCUGAGAAUCUGACUAUGUUACCGAAACUGGCAGACAGAAAGCGUUUUUUGAAUCUCUCAAAAAUAGCCGCAAUAGCAGGUAUGUUUUAUCCUUUGACUUUCCUUAAUAGUUUCUUCAUAUAAUUCCCCUCUUCUUGAGCGUUUUCUUGUUUUCUUUACACUGCAUACUCCAUAUGUUUUCUUAUUCUUUUAACUGUUAUUUAAAGAAAGUUUUAUUUUUAUUGCAAAAUCAAGUUGAUAUAGUAAUUUGUGCAAACCAUUAAGUCAAGCCACUUGAGGACUUCCCAUUUAAUGAGAAAUUGGUAAAUGCCUCUCUAGUAUAGCAAUCAAGGGUUGCUAGUUGUGAGAUAUAUUUUGGUUUCUGUGUUGUCUUGAUUUUUAUGAGUGGUUUUGUCAUCUAAAAGACCAAGUCAAACUUCCGCAUGUUACGAAUUGCUACAUGGUUCACUGCUUUGGGGUGUUGGAAAUGCUAAUAUUUUUUUGGCAUGGGAAGAUAAGAACAUUACUUGGUAAUUUUAUUUGUUUUAUUUUAGCUUGAGCUAUACUGGUUAUUUAAGUGUUAUAUAGUUGUUUGCUUCAUUGGCAGGUAAGGAUGUUGAUUCUGAGACCAAAGUGAAGCGCAUUGAGGCUGAUUUAAGGAUUCUAAAGUUGCAGGUCUGUUGUGUUUUAAAACAAAUUUAAUUGCCAUUUUUGUUUUUAGUUGAAGGGUCUUCCCGAUUAUUUUUCCUUUUUAAGAGCUUUCGUUAUUUGGGUAUCAGAAUUGGCAAAUCAGUCUUGUAUUAUCAUGCCUUCAUUAAAAAGAAAAAAGAGAGAAAGGAUUCUGCUUUUUAUGAUUGGGUAUGGGUUAACAGGAACAAUUCAUGUGCCAUGUCUCUUGCCCCUUCCUCCCUUCCACCCUUCAUAUUCCACGGUUGGCGGCAGUUCCAUGAAAAUUUUCUUCCAGUCAUUGCACUUGCAUGAUUAGAGCCCAAAUUCUCAAUGGUGAUGGUGCAUUUUUAGUCAUUUGUAUUAAAUUGCAUGAGCAAUUAAAUCAAGCUUAGCAGCUUGAGAAGGUUGUGCCUUGUUCUCUUCAUAUGUCCUAAUUGAACAAGGCAUAUAUAACAGAAUUUUCCACCCCUCCCACUCUAAUUAUUAAGGUGGAAAGUAAUUUAUUUUAUUUUCAAGGAUAGGACUUUUGGAAAUCAGUAGUGAUCAAGCAAAGCCUUGAAUUAUGACUUAUUUUUUAACUCUUGAAUAUGAUGAAUCUCUUUCAACUAUGUACAUUCACUGUCAGUCUUCACCUGAUACAUCAUCUGUUGUUGCAGGAAGAAAUAAUAAACCUCCUUCCUGAUGAUGAAACAAAGCAAAGCCUUGACACAAAGCUACUUCAUCCAGAAGAUCUUAUCAAGCUGUGCCUUGAAGGUGAAAAAGGUGCAGAGCUGUCACUGCGAGCUUUCGAUGUAUUUGCAUGGACCAGCUCCUCCUUCCGUAAGACCCGUGCAAACCUUUUAGAGGAGUGCUGGAGAAAUGCUGCUGAUCAAGAUGAUUGGAGCAAACUCUAUCAGGCAUCGGUAUCUGAAGGGUGGAGUGAUGAGGAAACCUUGCAGAACUUGAAAGACACCGUGCUUUUCCAGGCAUCAAAUAGAUGUUAUGGACCAGAAGCUGAAACUUUUGGAGAAGGGUUCGACAAAGUGUUGUCACUGAGACAAGAAAUCGCGGAGCCUCCAAUCAUAAAGGAUUCAGUUUCUUCUGUGGAAGCAGUACUCAUGCAGCAUAAGGAUUAUUCAGAGGCAGGGAAGCUGAUGCUGACCGCGAUCAUGUUGGGUAGUUUACAGGACGAUAACAUAGAACAAGAAGGUCCUGUGCCAAUGGAAUGAGAGUCAGAUUAGUAUGAAUCAUGGUGAUGAGUUCCUGGAUGUGUCAUUGUUUUUUUUUUGUUGAUACACUGAGAUUCGUAGUGUACUAGUCGACAAGUUACAGCUAAAUUUUCUCUUUUCCUUUUUCUUUUUCUUUUCCCUUGUGAAAUUCUCCAACCAAGUUUAUACGAACAUUUGUCAGUCUACUCCGAUGCUUUACUGGUUGUCAGUUGUAAGAAUUUUCUAAGAAGGCGGCAAGUUUUCUUUUUAUAUAUAUAUAUGAACAAGGGAAUUGAACCUGGGAUUGGAAUCCGCAGUAAUUCAUGCAAGCAGUUGCAUUAUCGGCAAUUUCUGUCAAAUUUAAGAAUGCCUUUAGUUUUGCCUUUAGUUUUAAGGGAAAACAAAGCGUGACAAAAUCAGACCAAAAUUGAAGAAAUAAGAAGAAAAAAAGAGUGCAGUUUCGGCGUUUCUUUCUUUGCCGCGUUGCCUUCCAUUACCUCGAAAAUACAUCUAAAUUUCAAGAAAAAUAGAUUUAUUUUGAGGCGGAAAAAUGCAUGAUGAAUUUACCGGGAAAUACUACUGGUUUUGUUGAUGAAUUUCGUUGAAGUAGAAUGCUUUUCUUCUUCCUCUUCUUCCAUUGCCAACUACUUUUGCAUUCUAUUAAAGCCUCUUAUUUUUGGUCAAAAACUACUGCGGCAGGCAAGCCAAUGUGAAGAAGAAGAGGGUCCCCUGCCAAUGGAGCGACAGUCGGGGUUAGUAUUGAAUCAUGAUGUUGAGCUCUUGAAUCGAAUCUCUUUUUUGCUACUUCUAUAAUUAAUAAAAUAUUCAAAAAUGUAGAAAUGAGUUUAGCCAAGUUGGCUAGUGGAUGUGCUUCCCACUCUGCACUGACUUCGAAUUCCCCCACUCUUAGGUUUAUAUCAGUUCAAAGUAGAUUAUCGCUUGUAUAUAUUUUUUUAAAAAAAUAAAUUUUUUUUUUUCAAAAGUAAUUGAUCAUUUGUUUUCCUUUUUUGUUCUUCCCAUAUAAAAUUGCUCUAAAAGGAAAUAUUUGUAAGUUUACUCGUUAUCAUUUACUGAGCGAUUAUAUAUUUUGAAGUGGAUAUUUUAGGUUAUUCUUACAUAAAAAUUUUCUAGAUUCAUAAUUGUUUGGUUAUCCUAAAUGUGAAGAAAAAUGUUGUUCGAUAAAUAAAAUUGAAAAGAAGAUGCGGGUAAUCAAAUAACUAAAUAAUUUUCGAUUCUGCUCAUUUUUUAUAUGUUAAGUAAUUCUUGAAAGAGAACUUAAAAAUUGAAUGGUUUCGAUGCUCGAUUUACAGCCCAUAAAUAGGGUUUCCUUGUUUUCAUUUCCCUUGAAAGUGUUCAGCUCUACCUAUGGUUACUGUGUCAUACCAAUUUCCAAACUGUUGUUAUUUAUAUUAAUUUCUUUUAUACAAUAUCCAAAGUCUUGCCUCUAAUACAAAAUCUUUUUCCGUAGGGUUGGUGCUGAAUAUCUUGGUUUGGAAUUUUUAAAGAGGAUUAUUGAACAAGACGACCCCAAAACGAAAUGAACAACACUAAUCUAUUUGUUAGUGGUUACUUAGACUAAUUAAGUAAAAUAAUGAAUAUUCGUUAAUAUACUAGACAAGACAAGCAAGUCAAGUACUUUGCACUACAGACCAAAGCAAAGACUCGUGUAGCUUUUGUUAUGUUUGGAGACUUUUUACAUUAUCUCUAUUAUUUUUUUUAUUCCGACCACAUGACGUGCUACUAUGCAUGAAUAAAUAUCAUUUGAGAACAAGCAAGCCUCAUUGACUUCUUACACCAAAUACUAAAUACAUUUCUUGCUCGUUUGUGAUUUCUUGUUUAGGAAGGACUUUUGUUUAUUAGCGCUUUUAUUAUAAAAUAUUAAAAAUUUUAUAAGAAAUUUCAGUGCUUUCUAGAAAAUCAUUUUGAAGUGAUUCAUGAAGAAGCUCAUAGCAAAUGCUUCUCCAUAAAGUGCUUUUAUGACCCAUAAGUGCUUUUAUUUAUUUUUAAUUUUAUCAAACGUUGUUGUUGUCACCAAAAAUGUGUCGUUUUAAAUUUAUAAAUACUUGCAAGCACACGAAUCGGAUAUAGUAUAGAUGUGUAAGAACCAGGUCGUACCCAUAAAGAUUGAGUGAAAAAUAUAGAAAACUAAUUAAACCCAAGUUAAUUUUAUUGCCAACCUAGUUGAAUCAAAUGGUGAUUUGUUCGUUGAUAAAGAAAAUUAAAUAAAGCAAAAAAAAAUGGAAAUUAAAAUAGAGAUUAAAUUAAUGAGAAAAGUAACUAAGGUAUUAGAAUCCACACCACUAUUUCAUAAAACUCUAAUUAUUUACCUGUUAAUUUCCACGCUGAGUAGCAAUCUAGAAGUCAACCUAUUACUUUCUCAAGAUAUAUCAUUUAGGCCCUUUAAUGAAUCUUUUUGUAAAUUCCCCUUCCCUUCAUUAGUACAAAUUCUAAGCAUCGCAUGUAAACAAAAUUUUUUUAACUACGAAGGAUCAAAGUUUCCUAAGCAUCCUAGGUGAAAAAGGUUAUUUGAAUGACAAGAGAUCAAAGAAAUUUGGAUACUAAAAAUACAAAACCAAGGAUGUAUUAAUAAAUCAACCCAAAUUCUUAACUACCACAAAUACACGAUAGAAGUGGUGAAAAGAAAGUUAAUCUACUAAUCAUGUGAAGUGGAAAUUAUAAACAUUGAAUAAUUUACUUCGGAAACUAGAAGAUAAAAACUAGAACUUCAUUUUAUAAUGAUGUUUCAUUAUUAACAAAAUUUAACUAGACAUAAAUAAAAUAACAAAAUAAUUACAAGAUAAAAACUAAAGUGGAAAUGAAAAAGGGAAAAUUGCAUCAUUAACCCUUUGGAUCCUUGCCUGUCGGCUCCCCAAGGUUCUCUCCAAUUCUAUCGCAUUUUCUCUCCUCUUUCUUUCUCUUUCUCUCUUUCCUUCUCUUUGCCGUGUAUCUCUUGGUACCUCACAUCUUUGCUCCAAGCUUUUAAUUAUAAUCAAAGUUUAGGAGCUUAAAUGAUAGAAUAAUCAAGAGAGAAUAAGAAUUCUGGUCUUAUCUAUGCACAUUACAAUAGAACACAAAGUGGCAAUAAUGUCAACUACACUUUUAUUUUAUUUUCUCUCUUUUGAGUGCCAAUUUUCCACAAUCCCGCGUGGCAAACGCGUAUAGAGACGAAGCCACACCACCACUCCCUCCCUCCCAGAAAAAAAUUUCACUACAAAACAAUACAAACAAAGAGAAAGAGGCUUACAUUACAUAAUGUCAUAAAACAAAAUAUGAAAAUAAAAAGAAGCUCCCUGUUGUACAUCAAAUUUAAUUUAUAAUCUCUAGGGAAAUUAAUUUUCUGGGUAAUUUACAAUGUGUAGUUUCCAGGUCGCUUCCUUUAUGGGGGCAAAAUUGUAAAAUGCAACAUAUCUCACGUCUAUAAAAAACCCCCAAUCAUCACUCAACUAAUCACACCUCAACCUCAUUUCCUCAUCCUAUUUCUAUCAUUAACUGCAGUGUCUUUCUUGACAUUAUUCAAUAAAUCCCAUGUUUGUUUUUUCUCUGCUACGCAUUAAUCUGGGGGAAAAGGCUAAUUUAAGUACUCUCCAAAGCCAGCACUCACCAAUUCCCUUUUCCGUGAAUCAAAUGAGGCCUAAUAUUUCAUUUUAGUCGCACAAAUUUCUUUGUGAGCUUUUUUGAAGCACUUUCCAAACCCAGCACUCAACAACUCCUUGAGCCUUCCUCAUUUAGUCAUAUACGUACGGUGAGUCCAAUAUUCCAUGCCAAAUCUUUUUUGAUCUUUUUUUUGAACAUUUUUUUUUGUCUGACCAUUUGUCUAAUUUUGUAGUUGCACCAAGAAACAUGUUCCUAGAGCCAAAAACAGAUGAUCAAGCUUCCGAAGGUGUGGGCAGCAGCACUAGCUUGCUCAUUCAAACCAUCAACACUUCUGGCCAAUACGUGCGGCGCAAGAGAUGGCUUAGAUAUAUUGCUCUAGGCGUUUUCAUCUCCUCACGCAGUAAGAAAACCAGAUUGCCCCAUGAAGCCCCUACCUAUGAACCUUUAGAAGCACCGGCACCACCGGCCCCUGCCUUUCAGCAUGCGAUUGACAUCCCUCUUCAGGACCGGUUUCUGAACAAGGUUGGUCGCAUUGUGAGAGAGAAGAACUUGAAUGCACUGCGAGGACUUGGUGGUGUUGCUGGCAUUUUGCCCCUUCUCAGUUCUCACUUUGAGGUAGCAAGCAAAUAAGUAGGAAAAACAAAAACAAAAAAAACAAAAAAAAACUUAAUAAUCUUAUACACUUGAUAAGGAAUGAUUGAGAAUGAUUGAACUUAACUUUGUUAAGUUAAUCAUAUUCGUUCUUUAUAUGACAGGAUGAUGGUGUUGAUGGUGGUCAAAAUCCACAAGGAUGGAACACGACCAAGUCCCCAGUUGAUGCAAAAAGCUUCUCCAACUUCUUGUUGAAGGCUUGCAAUCAAUAUACAGUUUUUUUCCUCUUACUCUCAGCAGGGUUUUCGUUUGCCAUUGAAUUCAUGAAGCAAGGAGUCAAACAAGGGUGGCACGACGGUGUUGCCAUACUCUUUGCGGUGUUCUUACUUGUUGCUUUCCCUUCAGUGGGGAACUACCUCCAUGAGAGAAAGCUGGUGAGGAAGCACCUGCUGGACAGGAGCAGACUGAUGGUGAAUGUUGAAAGGAGUAACAGAGAACCUACAUCAGUUAACAUAUCUAGUGUUGUGGUGGGCGAUAUAGUUCAUUUGAAGGAAGGAGACCGCGUCCCUGCCGAUGGUUUGUUCAUAGAUCAUGGUGAGGACUUGAUGUUGGAUGAGGUAUUGAACCCCAAAAUUGAUUGUCAACAAAACCCGUUUGUGUUGUCUGGUUCAAAGGUUAUUAAGGGGCAUGGUCGCAUGGUUGUGACAUGUAUUGGUGCCAAAACAGUUUUUGCUGAGAUGCACAGCUUGGGGACUAAUCAUAAUCCAAACGAAAAGACGCUGUUACAAGAUUUGUUGGACAAGCCAUUUGAUUGUAUGGAUUAUCUUGCGGUUUGUGUCUCUCUACUGAUUGCUCUCGUGGUGCUAAUACGGCUAUUAUUCUUCAGGAAGCAUGACAAUUACAAUGACAGGCCAGAACUGAAAGGGGAAGGUUCAAUGAACUUGGUAAUGAGGAUCUUUGAGAAAAUUUUCUUGAAACCUCAAGGACGGUUUUCCACUUUAGCAGGUGUUCUUGCAACCGCGGUGAUAGGGAUACAACAUGGAAUGCCUUUUGCGAUUACAGUUGCCCUUUGUCAAUAGAAGGAGAAGGUGGUCCAAAAUCAGGCAAAGCCUCAGAAUCUAUCAGCUUGUGUCACCAUGGGACUAAUAACAGUCAUCUGCAUAGAAACAACUGGUGAGCUAAUGUGUAGUCCGGGGGAGGUUAAGGAAUUUUGGAUGGGUGGAAAGGAUUUAUGCAGUGAUGAAGUGGACUCUGAAGCUGACCAAGUUGUUCUUGAAACACUGCAUCAGGGGAUUUCUGCUACCUCAUCCCCAACAAAAGAUUUGCUCAUUUCUUGGCUGAAGACCAGAUGGGGUGCUAACAUGGAGUUAUUGAAUGAAACAGGUAAUACCAUUGAGCAGAGACAAUUGAGCUCUGAUGAGAAAUGCAGUGGGAUUUUAGUGGAGAAAAUUGUGAACGAUGAACAAAUUCUGCAGUUGCACUGCAAUGGGGAUGCAUCAACAAUAUUACAUAAGUGUUCACAUUACAAUGAUAACAGAGGGGAAAGUAAAACUAUGAAAAACCAGAACAGAAGAUUUAAGCAGGUGAUUAAUAAAAUGGAGGAGAAUGGUCUUAGGCCCAUUGCAUUUGCUUACAAGAAAACAGAAGUCCAUGAAGUUACAGAAGAUGGGUUGAUUUUGUUGGCAAUCGUGGGCGUUAGACGCCCAUAUCAAGAAGAGCUUAAAUUGGCAGUCGAAGCUCUUAAAAGGGUUGGAGUAAGCAUCAAACUGGUGUCAGAGGAUGAGCUCUCAACAGUGAGAGCCAGGGCUUCACAACUUGGAAUCUCCCCCGGUUCAAAUGACAUGGAAAUUGAAGGAGAAGUUUUCCGAAGACUGAAUUCCAUGGAAAGGCAGGAUAAGAUGGAUAUGAUCUCUUUGAUGGGAAGGUCCCUCCCUAAGGACAAGUUUCUCAUGGUGGAUCGCUUAAGGAAAAAAGGUCACAUAGUUGCAUUCUAUGGAGGGUUGACCAUAAGCGACACUCCGACCUUAAAAGAAGCUGAUGUAGGAGUCAUAGAUGAUAUCCGGAGCACAGAAAUGGCUAGAGAGAAUGCUGAUCUUAUAGUUAGAAAUGUCUGUUUACUAGCCCCUAUUUGGAAGUCUGGUGCAUGUGCUUACCACAACAUUCAGCAAUUCUCUCAACUUCAGCUCACUGCUUGCAUAUCCGGGCUACUGAUAACCUUAGUGGCAACAAUGCAUUCCGGAGAGUCCCCGUUAUCCGCAGUUCACUUGAUUUGGGUGAACUUGAUUAUGUGCCUUCUUGGUGGCCUCAUGAUGGUGAUGGAGUUACGAGGCCCAGAACUACUCACUCAAAGACCUGCAAAGAGGACUGAGUCACUUAUAACACCAGUCAUUUGGAGAAACAUAGCAAUUCAAGUUUCAUCUCAGGCUUCUGUCUUGCUGAUCUUACAUUUCAUGGGAAAUGCAGUACCAAGCAUGGAUCAAGGCAUCCGGAAUACGAUGAUUUUCAAUACUUUCACCUUGUGCCAGGUCCUUAAUCUGUUGAGUGCCAUGCACUUGGUGAAGAAGGAAAUGCUACUAGUUGUCCUCCACAACUAUUGGUUUCUGAUGGCUUUGGGGGCUGUUUUGAUCAUGCAGGUGAUGAUUGUUGAGUUUGGAAAAGGGCUAGUUAGUGGUGCGAGGUUGAAUGCACUGCAAUGGUUGAUCUGUUUCCUUCUUGCUGCUCUUUCAUGGGGAUUUGAUUGGACCUUUAAAUUGCUUUCAGAUAGCAUCGAAAGAACAACUUCGGCAUUGAUGGUGAAUUCACAUGUGGGGUUCUCAAAUAGGAGGCGCAGAUUAUACAUUUCUAUUUGGUUGUUCCUGAUCUUCUCCGUAUCGUUGUUUUGUUUUCACCCAGUUUCUCAGCUCGCUAGCACAUAUAUCAGUUAAAUUGGAAGUCUCCCAUGGAAGUCUUAACAAAGUUAAUAAACCAUGUAGUCAUCUUGUGGUCUGUCUGUGUUCCUACUUGUUCUGCACAAUGCCAUCUCUAAAAUGUGAAUAAGUUAUUCUCCUGCCUUUUUACCAUGAGCCUUCGCGACAAUAGACCAGAAUGCUAAUAGAUAUUACAUUGUAGUUGAUCAUAGACAAUGUAGGUGAGCUUAUGUUAUUUACUCUUCGGGACAUUCUCCAAUAAGUAUUUAAAUUAAGGAUUAGUUACAUACUUCUAAUCUCGACUGUUGGAUUGCAUCUAAGAGAAUACGAACACAUUAAAUGAAUGCAAGCCAACAGCUAAGAUUAGAAGUAUGUAACCAAUCCUUAAAAUACUUUUUGGAGAAUCUCCCUUUCUGCCCUGCUAUGGUUUGCUGUUGUUUUGUCAAUACUGCGGCAAAUUAACCUUUUCACAGCAGCCAAGGAACAGUUCUAAUUUUAGAGGUUGGCGUUUUUUACCUCAAGCCUACAAAAACACCCAAGGAAAGUUUAUGCUUUCAUGAUUUCAUCAAUGGGGGCCUAUUAAAUAUUUGUCUUCUGGUUGGAGCUGGCAUGAACUUCUACAGUACAACUAAUCUUGUGGCCUGCGUUCACCAACCACAAAAAUUGCACCAAUUUGCCAGCCACGUGGCUAAGAGAUAACCUCUCUCUCACUAGAACAAUCAGUUUGGAAAUCUAAAUCCAAUUGAGAACCAAUAGAAUGUUGCUGAUGUGUAGAUAUCCUAAUCCACAACAUCUUCACAUUCCCGUUAUAACAUCCCAGCGCUCUAGUUGUCCAAGGCAUCUCAUUAGGCCUCACAACACCACCCCACUUCGAACAGGAGAGCAUAGUCAUGGCAACCUCUGCAAUCCAACAAUCAGCAUUUGCUGGCCAGACUGCUUUGAAGCAGUCAAAUGAGCUCAUCCGAAAGAUUGGCGGCCUUGGUGGCGGCCGCAUCACCAUGAGGCGCACCGUCAAAAGCACCCCCCAAAGCAUAUGGUAAGUACCUUGGCUCUAGCCUGUGAGAAUAAGAUAUUUUUUUCCAAGCAACUCUACUAAAACUUCCAUGUGUAUAGAUAUGGUCACUGAUACAUAUUACGCUAUUGGAGUAAAUUAAAGUAUCUAGUAGUAUUGAGAGUCAUGGAUUCGACGUAAACUUCUAAUCAAAAUGAUGUUUAGAUUACAAUGACAGAAUCUCUAACAAUCUAUUCUACCUCAAUGCAUAAAGUUACAGUGUUACAAGACCAACAUGCUCAACAUAGCAUUAGGAAGUUUACACCAUACCCAUACCUUUUAAAGCCAAGGCCUUGAGCUUAUUAUGCUAACCCUCUUCACUGUAAUUAACAAAACAGGUAUGGCCCAGACCGCCCAAAAUACUUGGGACCAUUCUCUGAGCAAACUCCAUCAUACUUGACUGGUGAAUUCCCUGGUGACUACGGAUGGGACACUGCUGGACUAUCCGCAGACCCUGAGACAUUUGCCAAAAACCGUGAGCUUGAGGUGAUCCACAGCCGAUGGGCCAUGCUUGGUGCACUGGGAUGUGUCUUCCCAGAAAUCCUGUCAAAGAAUGGUGUCAAGUUCGGCGAGGCUGUUUGGUUCAAGGCUGGAUCUCAAAUCUUCUCCGAGGGUGGCCUUGACUAUCUUGGCAACCCAAACCUUGUCCAUGCCCAGAGCAUCUUGGCAAUCUGGGCUGUCCAGGUUGUGCUCAUGGGAUUUGUCGAAGGAUACAGGGUUGGUGGAGGACCACUUGGUGAAGGACUGGAUCCACUUUACCCUGGAGGGGCCUUUGACCCACUUGGACUGGCUGAUGAUCCUGAGGCGUUUGCUGAACUGAAGGUGAAAGAGCUUAAGAAUGGGCGGCUGGCAAUGACUUCAAUGUUUGGAUUCUUUGUUCAGGCUAUUGUAACUGGAAAGGGCCCAGUUGAGAACCUAUAUGACCAUGUUGCUGAUCCAGUUGCCAACAAUGCAUGGGCUUAUGCCACCAACUUUGUCCCUGGAAAAUGAAGAAACCUAAAUGCAUGGCUGUUCAUAUGUAACAUUACCCGAACUUCUUGCCUUUGUUGAGGUUCUGUUGUUGUGGACUCCAUUAGUUCUGAUGUAAUCUUACUAGAAACUGCUUGUAUUGAAAUCACUUAUCCAGUAAAACCGCCCAGCUCCUUUGUGCUUGAACUCCUUAUUUGUCUAGAUGUGUUGAACAUUCAAAAGUUCCAGUCAACAAAUGCAUGCUUUGCUACAAUAUAGUAAAUCUAAACCAGAGAAUAAAUAUAUAACAACCAAAAUACAAGGGAAAAUAAAAAUUAAAACCAAAUCAUAUGAUUAUCAGAUUCAUCUUAGGUUUCUUCAUCUAUUCCUCCCCAUUAGGCAAAUUAAGUUUAACCAGCGCAUACAGAGAAUGUGGGAAAGAUUUCUGCAAACUUUUACCCACUGAACACUGGCUAUCAUCUCUAAUUUUAAUAUCAGCAUAAUGAAGACUGCCUAAGCUAUUAGUAUUACGGACACAUAGUAUAUGGAUUUGGCCAAUGCAGGGUGAAAGGAAUGAUGGGAAGAGCUAUCAUCUCUUACUAUAAUCUCAGUAUAAUGAAGAUUGCCCAAAUAGCUAAGGGCAGCCACAAUCCUGUUGCAAGAAAGGCUGUUUUGGGCUCUGGGCAAGCCAUACUGGUAUCGUGUCGAUAUAGAUGUCAACAUGUUUGUCAUAUGGAUGGUGAUAUGUUAUUUAUAUGGAUGUUGAUAUGUUGUCAGUGUGGAUGUCGAUAUGUUGUUGAGUAUCCCACUCCAGCUACAGUGGAGUGGGAUAUAUGUAUAUAAUAUUACACAAUAAGUGCCCACAAAGAGAAUGUACAAAACAAAGAGAAUCAGAGCACAAAGAGAAUGUAUGAAACAACAAAUUUGGAAAAUUUUCAGCAAACAAACUUUUGCCAACUGAAACUUUUCACAUGAUGGGAGGAGCUAUUAUCUUUCAGUAUAAUGAACAAUUCUUGUAGGGGUAACCAGUAUACAACGAAGAUUGCCUCUAAUACUAAGGGCACCUAGUGUACGAGCCUUCUGCCAAUGCAGGGUGAAAGAAGCGAUGGGAAUGACUAUUAUAUCUCACUGUCACUAUAAAUUCAGACUCUCUGUAUAAGAUAGCCUAUCUUGCACUAGUCUCUGGCCAAUUCAGCAUCUAGGGAGAGCAAGACCUAUGCAGUCAUAUCCCUGUAACAAGGGGGGCUGUUUUUGCUGGGGACAAUCAUUACAUCAAGAAACACCUUCAAGAAUGUCUAUACUGCUAAAUCUCAAAAGGAACACAAAGAAAUGCAUAAAAUCAGAAGAAAUGAUACCAGUGGCCAAUUUUAAGAGUGGAAGAAUAGAGGUAGAGGCAUUCUGAUGCUUAUUGCUUCGAGCAGAUCAACACAAGCGUCAAUGCAGCAGACAAACAAGUCAGUCACCAAAAAUCUUUGCAAGAACAUGACCCAUUUCUGAAAUGAUGGAAACGACUAUUAUCUCUCACAAUAAUCUCACGAUCAUAGAUACUGGAUAGGAGUUUAGUGACAGAGUGGCAAUCGUUACAGACACGAAGAUUCUUUAUAAUGCGAAUAGGACUCCCAGAUUCCAAAUUAAUAAGACCAUAUGCAAUAGCCAAUCUCUCGCUAUGGUUUUCCAAUUCAGCUUCCUUCUCUUUUUCCUCUUCAAGACACAACAGAACUUGACUUGUGUCAGGAACAUGUCCUUCGGAUUUCAGUUUCUCUCUCAUCUCAGUCAACUUAGAAUAUAUGUCUUUUGUCCGAGGAUGUGAUUUGUCACCGACAAUAAACCCAUGAAGCACACCUCUGUGCUCUAUGGAACUGCAUCCUGGGUCCUUUUUUACUCCUCUCUUUCUCAUAAUUUCUCUUACCUGUGAAACUUUCUCCCACUUAUCAGCCGCAGCAUACAUGUUAGAAAGAAGAACAUAGCAUCCAACAGUGUCUGGAGACACGUCAAUCAAAUGGCGAGCUGCAUAAUCACCAACUUCAACAUUUCCCUGGUUCCGAGCACCACUAAGCAAACUCAUCCAAAUUACUUUGUUUGGUUUCAUGGGCAUACCUUCAAUGACAUUCUUUGCCUCGUCCAGACAACCAGCGCGGCAUAAAAUGUCUACAAAACAACCAUAGUGUUCAAUUGUGGGUUCAAUUUCAUAAUCAUUUAUCAUCAGAUUGAAAUAGUAACGACCAAGAUCAACCAAUCCUGCAUGACUACAUGCAUUCAAGACUCCGAUAAAAGUUAUACUAUGAGGGCGCAUUCCAUUUUUGCGCAUCUCAAGGAAUAGCUCAAGAACCUGGUCGGCCAUACCAUGCAUUCCUAAACCAACAAUUAUAGCAGUCCAAUGCCCCAAUUUCUUCCUGUCUAUAGCUCGAAAUACAGCCAGAGCACUCUCUAUGCUCCCACACUUGGAAUACAAUUCUAUCAAUGAUGUACCAAGCACACCAUCUAAAUCAAAUCCAUGUUUUACCAUGAAAGAAUGUAUCCAUCUCCCCUUACUUAGAGUGGCUAAUCCUGAAACGGCAGAAAGAGCACUGACUAAUGUAGCAUGACUAGGCAUAAUAUCUUCUUCCAAAAUUUCCUGAAACAACUCCAAUGCUUCCAUAAACUGUCCAUUAAAUUCAUAACCUGCAAUCAUCGAAUUCCAAGUAAUUAUAUCUCUUGUUGGCAUCAGACCAAACAAUUGACGUGCCAUCUCAAAAUCUCCGGAUUUCAUGUAACCAUUAAUCAUGGCAUUCCAAGAAACCAAAUUUCUAUUUGGCAUCCUAUCAAAUAUCUCCCUAGCCAUCUCUACCUUCCCGCAUUUUGAUAACCCGUCAACUAAAACAGUCCACGAAAAAGAAUCUCUCUCCUGCAUUUGAUCAAACAAUUCCAUUGCAACUUCUACUUCUCCACAUCUCGCAUACCCAUCAAUCAAAGAAUUCCAAGUAACCAAAUCUCUAUCAAGCAUUUGAUCAAACACUUUCCUAGCCAAACCAAUCUCACCACACUUUGAGUAUAAACUAACCAAACUACUCUGCACAAACUUAUCCAAACCAAGCCCAAUUUUCAACACCAACCCAUGAAUCUGUUUCCCUUCCCCAAUCGCAUUUAACCGAGCACAACCCUUUAUCACACACGGUACAGUAAAAUUAUCCGGAACAAGUUCAUGAAGCAAUUCAUAGAACAAAACAAUAGCAUCAUGGGAACGUUGGUUCCCAACAUAGCAUUUGAUGAGAACGUUCCAGGAAACCAAGGUGGGUUCUUCAAUUUGAUCGAAGACGGAGCGAGCAGAGUCAAGAUUGUUGAUUUUGGGGUCUGCGUAGAGAGAUAAGAAACGGGAAGCAAUUGCUGGGUGGCUGAAAGUUCCGGUUUUGAGGGAUAUGGCGUGGUGUUGCUCUGCUUCUCGUUGGGUUUUACAGGUUUGGAGAAGCGAAAAGGGGAGGCUUUGAGGAGAGAGCAAUGGUUGAUGGAGAGAGUGAGAAGGCGUGAGUUGAAGCAUUGCUAUGGCUUUGGUGGAUCAGAUGAUUGACUGAAGGGCUCUGUGUGUGGCUUAUUAUAAAGGGAAAUAGCUCAAAAUAUCACCAAUUUUAUAAUUUUAUGUCAAAAUACCACCCCUUCUCAAAAAUUUUAAAACUAUGACCUAUAAAUACAUUUUUAUUGUAAAUUGAUUGCACCCAUAUCACAUUUUCAGAAAACCUGAGGGGAACUACGGGUUUAGAAUGACUUCGCCUCCGCCUCUUUUCUCGUUCGAUCGUCUACGGCCUCCGCUUCCUCUCUCCUUCGUUCUUCUACGCCCCUGCCUCCGCCUCUGCUUUUUCGAUUGUCUGCCUUCCUCCUCCUCCUCUGCUUUUUCGAUUGUCUACCUUCCUCCUCCUCCUCCUACUUGGCUCUUCUCCUUAGCUAUCAGCUAUUUCAUACCCAGAAGUGUUGGAUCCUGAGCAAGCAGUGAAAGGGCUAUCUGGUAAUCUAAUGACUAAUACUAUUAGUUGGAUAUGCUGUAUGUUUUCUCUUCAAAAUUCUAGAUUUAGUAGGGUUGGCAUACACUAUCAUGACCUGAUAUAUUUUCAGUCUGUUUUAAUUACUGGCUAUUAGGGUGUGGUUUGAAACUUUGACUGAUGGGGUGGGGGAGCUUGGACGGAGUUUUCUUAUUUUUGUGAAAUGGGUUUUGGAGGAUUAGGGAUUUUAGGGGAGUGUGUGAGUUCGCUGUUUUGGUGGAAGAUAUAUGCAGAAGGGUUAUGAUGAUGAUGGGGGUGGGUUUUUGUGUUUUGUUAAUUCUUUUGUUUGUCGGAAGAAGAAUGAGAUAUUUUUCCAACUCUUAUGAGUGAGUUGGGUUCAAAAGCAAUUAUUGUUGGUUUUAUAUUUUGAUUUAUUUGCAACUGUCUUUAUAGAAUUUAAUUUUUAAUAGUAAUAUAUGUAUUCUUCAUGAAUGGUUUUGCUCUGUUCAGGUGCGUCUGUCUACAUGGGUUUGUGCUUGAAGCAUAAUGCAAGUUUUGUUAAUAAAUUCUCUGUUUUAUGCUGUGCAGGUGUGAAUUGGAAUAAAUAAAAAAAAUUUGCUGGGUUUUUGAGACUUGUGAUGUUAUUCAUCAGUAUUCAUGCCUGGUUUCUUCUUGCAAUAAUUUUGUUGAUUGUGAGCUUUUCCCUCUAGCGCUUGUUGCUGAUACUGAUUGUGAAGGUGAAUUGGUUGUGCUUUAUGAUGUUUGAACCUCAUUUCUGUUUCUUCUCUUUCAUGCCAAUAGGUUGUAGGAAACUCCGCUCUCAAACAUAGGCAAUGAACAAUUGAGUUGACAUGCUGCUGGGAGAAUUGUUUGCAAUGCAGAGAAGACUUGUCUCUUACUUUUGUGAUGAUGAACUGGGUGAGAUUCUUUAAGAGUGAUGUGUCAUAUUUGAAUUUUUGAAUAUCAUAUUUUAGUUUUGUUUUUAAGUUUUGAACCUUGUUCUAUUUCAGCAUCCUAUAGACCUGUGUUAACUUAUAUCUACAUGUGAUAUGGAUAUAACUUAUGCUUUCAAAUUAAUUUGACUUGUGUUAUAUCUUGUUUCGUACCUUUGUUUCGAAAAUUUCUUUGUAAAGACCAAAAAGAAUAGUGUGUUUUUUUUUUUGGGUGGUAUUUUUGUUAAUGAUAAUUAUAGUAUUGAUUACUGGGUAGAGAAUGAGCUACAUUUUGUGCUUCAUGAAGUAAAAUGGCUGAGCAACUCAAAUUUGGUUUACACAACCAAGGCAAAAGGAAAAUACUAAUUUUGGAGCUUAUAUAUAGUGGUUAUAUAAGUUGCAGUUUUCGUUACUUGUAAAUCAUGAUUUCCUUAGCGUAUUUAAUUGCAUUGUGUUUCUCGUUUUGGGUAGAACAGAGUUUUCAAUGAUAGGAUUUAUUUGGAAAAAAGGAAUUCUGGUAGUUAUGCUGUGUUCUCUAUUUUUGCAUGAAAGUUGAAAGUAAGAUGUCCCCUUUAUAUGUGUGACAGCUUCAGGAUUAUGGCCUUCGUAUACUGAAGGGAAAUUGCUAUUUGAUCCUGUUAUAUCUUUUAUGGGACAAACAAAUGAGGGAAGUAGUGUUGAUUCAUCACAGAAAGCUGAGUCUUCAGAGCAUCCGCCAAAGGUUGACAAAUCAUCAGGGGAAUCUGAAUCUCCACAAAAACUCUCUACUGUUGAGGCAAAGGAAGGGGUCAAAAUAGAAACUUUACAACACUCUUCAACUGAACAGAUGGCUGAUAAGGAGGAAACUGAAGUUGUCAAGGAAGAAACAGAUGAUAAGCAUGCUGCGACGGUGGAGGAAACAAAGACAGUGAUAGCAGAGCCUGAAAAAUCUGAAUCUGAAUCAUCUUCACUGCCAGUUGAGCCCUUUGAACCCACUGUUAAGAAUGAUGGCCCAUCAGAAUCUGUGGGUUCUCAAGAUGACAACAAGAUUUCAGUAGUGGGACCCUCAGUAAAUCCAGAAACAAUGCAGGGUAAGUCAAGAGCUGUUGAGGUAGAUCAAGUUGAGGAGGGUCAUACUGUUCUCCGCGUGAGGCACAUGAUGUUGAUGUGGAUGAACAAAAGACACAGGUAGAGCAGAAGGAUGGACAUAUGACUCAGGCUGGAGAGAUUGUUGAAACAGUUGCUAUGGUUGAAGCUGAGACUCCAACUGAUAGCCAGCCUGGAGGUUUUCCUCUUUGCUAAUUUAGAAUCAUGUGCAGUUAUGAUUUUAGAUCUGUAGAUAACCUGUUGUUGCUGAUAUUGCUACACGGGAGGAGAACAGAACAACUUGGAAAAUGUGCAAGAAGGGAGAGCUAACUCAUACAACGAAGAACAAAUUGAUGAAGUUAAGAUCAAAUUAGUAGAAUUUGUGAGCUCUCCAUUAUUUAUAAUUAUAGGUAGGAAGUAUGUAUGUAAUAGAGCAAAGAUUGGUUGACUAUGUAAUAACAAUUGAAUUGUCAAGUUUUAUGAAAGAAAUAAUUUUUGCUUCUUGGGAUAGUAUUGUUAGGGUUCGGUGGCGAUUUAUUUUCCAUGUCUAAAUUGUAGUCUGUAAUGGAUGUGUGUGUAUUGUAUGUAGAUUGACUUAAUAUUGCUGUCCUAUUGCAUGUGUAUUGUACUAAUAUUGCCUGUGUAUUGUAUACAUAUUGUAUGCAUAUUGCCAUCGUAUUGCAUGUAUAUUGUAAUGCUAUUGCUAUCGUAUUGCCAUUAUAUUGCCCUAAUAUUGCCUCUCUAGUGUAUGUAUAUUGACUACGGCUCAUCAAUGGGUUUACGGUUUGGGCCAUAUUGCAUUUAAAAAUAAGACGAGGAGGAGAAAGAAACAACAUGCCUUUCAAAAACAGGCAGUCAGGUGCAUCAUAAUUGCAUCGUAAGACAUUGUAAGAAAUUAUUUUAAAAAAUAAUAACAACUAAAAAAUAAUUUACAAAAAAAGGAAGGUAUGAAUAAAGAGACAGAGAGCGAAUAAGGGGAGAAAGAGGCAGAACGAAGCUAGAGAGAGACAGAGAGAGAGCUGCGCUACAGAAAGAGAGCAAAGAGAGAGUUGCACUAGAGAGAGAGAGAGAGAGAGAGAGAGAGAGAGAGAGAGCCAAGAGAGAGAUAGAGAGCUGCGAUAGACAGAUACCAAAGAGAGAGAGAGAUGUGCUAGAGAGAGAGAGCCGAGUGAGCUAAGAGAGACAAAAUUUCUGAACAUGUGAAAAAUCAGCAAUAAGUGGACAAUAAUUAUAUUUUUAUAGGUGAUAUUGUAAUACUAUUGCUAUCGUAUUGUGGUUAUAUUGCUUUCAUAUUGCCUCUAUAGUGUACAUGUAUUGGCCUAAUAUUGCUAUCAUAUCGUAUGUCAAUGGCCAUUUGGUCUAAUAACAGAGUCUCCACUUCGUUGAAAAGUAAUCCUGAAUUCGAAUCUCAUGGACACGACAAUUGUUAUCCAUCCUUAUAUUAGCAUGAAUUGAUGUUGACCUUUGAAAUGAUAGUUGGAGUUGCACAUCGAUUCAUAUUCAAAAGGAAAGUAAUUCUCUCCCUCAAUGAAUCUUCGUUCAAAAGAAGGCAGCUAUCAAAUAUUGGUACAAAAAUGCAAGGUCCACAGUAAAUUAAUUGGACACAAACCACAUAUUACAAAACUAGGAUGAUUUUUGGCAUGCUUGAAAAGACAAGGGCCAAAUACAACAGAAAAGAAAAUCCAUUCAAGCUUCACACUAAACAUGGCUCAAGCACUCGACCAUGGUUUCAAUCCAAAACCUACCCAACAAGGGCAUACCACGUGUCCAUCAUAACAUAAUAGUGGCAUUUACAAAGCAUGAACUGCAAUAUGUUUCUUUUUCUCCUAAACAAAAUUGUUACUAAAAUGGAACAAAAGAUCCCUAACAUAGAGCAAUACAUGCAAAGAUAGUCAAUUGUCAUACACACAAAAUUAGUCCUCAUCCAUCCCUGCAUGCUGAUCUCUCUCACUAGGGCCACCUGCUGGUUUUGCCAUUAUAAUCUGCAAGAUAGUCAAAGCACUGUCAACAACCUUUUUUUAAUGAAGGUAUUAAACAUUAAAUAGGCUGCAAUCAGAUGGAUUCAUCAUUUCUCACAGAUUUUUAGCUAGCCAGAAAACCCCCAACAUAUAGAUUUUCUAUUUACUAUCCCUCCAUCCAGACCAUUGGUCAGAUGCGGUAAUGGUAUUUUUCAUAGUACCAUCUGUCAAAGUAUAUAUGACAGUUACUGACAUCAUGGAUGCACACAAAUGUUGUUUAUCUAACUCUACUGCAACUAGAGUUGUCACAAUCUUCCUCUUUCUCUUUCGAUCCAUGUCUACCCUGCCAUUAACAAUAUUGGCAAGAACAAAAUCAUAAUCUGUGACUUUCUUUUUUAUACUCAAACAUAAACUGAUUAUCAGAAAUUGCAGAACAUAGAAUUAUGGUGACAGAGAAGCACCACAUACCUGUUGGGUUGUUGUUGCUGCUGCUUAGACCCACUUUCAGCAGCUCCCUUUUGGUUCAAUAGCAAGUUUCAAUUUCAACUCAACUCUUAUGUCAAAAUUGCUUGCUACAACCUGCAAGAUAAGCAUAAUCAGCAGGAUUAAUACAAAGCAUUGUUGGCCAUGGCAUUGAAAGUUCUAAUACCAAUGAUGAGAACAGAGAGAAAUUAAAAAAAACAUUCUUUCUUAUACUCAAACAAAAACUGAUUAUUAGAUUAUAUGCAAAUUUAAUGUCAAUUCUCCAGACCACUUAAUGGCAUAAUUACUCGCUUGAAAUAGGAGAGAGAAAUACUAGAUAUGGAAUCACCUACUCCGCCAAUCAAUCUAAUUCUUGAUCUUCAUGAAUCGGAUCAAUUCAAAUACCCACGUCUUAAUAAAUACAUAGGAUGUACAGAAGACUAGCAAUACUGAUUUCAAUGCCAUGGCCUUUUUCCCUAUUUCCUUAACAGAGUUAAUAUGGGUUAAUAUUACAUGCACCCAUACAUCAUCAUAUUGGAUAUCAUGCUCUGUAACACCAGCUUGCAUCAUAUUCAACACAUUCCAAUUUGUCCAUACAUCAUUCAUGAUAAAAACACACUAUUCUUUUUGGUCUUUACAAAGAAAUUUUCGAAACAAAGGUACGAAACAAGAUAUAACACAAGUCAAAUUAAUUUGAAAGCAUAAGUUAUAUCCAUAUCACAUGUAGAUAUAAGUUAACACAGGUCUAUAGGAUGCUGAAAUAGAACAAAGUUCAAAACUUAAAAACAAAACUAAAAUAUGAUAUUCAAAAAUUCAAAUAUGACACAUCACUCUUAAAGAAUCUCACCCAGUUCAUCAUCACAAAAGUAAGAGACAAGUCUUCUCUGCAUUGCAAACAAUUCUCCCAGCAGCAUGUCAACUCAAUUGUUCAUUGCCUAUGUUUGAGAGCGGAGUUUCCUACAACCUAUUGGCAUGAAAGAGAAGAAACAGAAAUGAGGUUCAAACAUCAUAAAGCACAACCAAUUCACCUUCACAAUCAGUAUCAGCAACAAGCGCUAGAGGGAAAAGCUCACAAUCAACAAAAUUAUUGCAAGAAGAAACCAGGCAUGAAUACUGAUGAAUAACAUCACAAGUCUCAAAAACCCAGCAAAUUUUUUUUAUUUAUUCCAAUUCACACCUGCACAGCAUAAAACAGAGAAUUUAUUAACAAAACUUGCAUUAUGCUUCAAGCACAAACCCAUGUAGACAGACGCACCUGAACAGAGCAAAACCAUUCAUGAAGAAUACAUAUAUUACUAUUAAAAAUUAAAUUCUAUAAAGACAGUUGCAAAUAAAUCAAAAUAUAAAACCAACAAUAAUUGCUUUUGAACCCAACUCACUCAUAAGAGUUGGAAAAUAUCUCAUUCUUCUUCCGACAAACAAAAGAAUUAACAAAACACAAAAACCCACCCCCAUCANNNNNNNNNNNNNNNNNNNNNNNNNNNNNNNNNNNNNNNNNNNNNNNNNNNNNNNNNNNNNNNNNNNNNNNNNNNNNNNNNNNNNNNNNNNNNNNNNNNNNNNNNNNNNNNNNNNNNNNNNNNNNNNNNNNNNNNNNNNNNNNNNNNNNNNNNNNNNNNNNNNNNNNNNNNNNNNNNNNNNNNNNNNNNNNNNNNNNNNNNNNNNNNNNNNNNNNNNNNNNNNNNNNNNNNNNNNNNNNNNNNNNNNNNNNNNNNNNNNNNNNNNNNNNNNNNNNNNNNNNNNNNNNNNNNNNNNNNNNNNNNNNNNNNNNNNNNNNNNNNNNNNNNNNNNNNNNNNNNNNNNNNNNNNNNNNNNNNNNNNNNNNNNNNNNNNNNNNNNNNNNNNNNNNNNNNNNNNNNNNNNNNNNNNNNNNNNNNNNNNNNNNNNNNNNNNNNNNNNNNNNNNNNNNNNNNNNNNNNNNNNNNNNNNNNNNNNNNNNNNNNNNNNNNNNNNNNNNNNNNNNNNNNNNNNNNNNNNNNNNNNNNNNNNNNNNNNNNNNNNNNNNNNNNNNNNNNNNNNNNNNNNNNNNNNNNNNNNNNNNNNNNNNNNNNNNNNNNNNNNNNNNNNNNNNNNNNNNNNNNNNNNNNNNNNNNNNNNNNNNNNNNNNNNNNNNNNNNNNNNNNNNNNNNNNNNNNNNNNNNNNNNNNNNNNNNNNNNNNNNNNNNNNNNNNNNNNNNNNNNNNNNNNNNNNNNNNNNNNNNNNNNNNNNNNNNNNNNNNNNNNNNNNNNNNNNNNNNNNNNNNNNNNNNNNNNNNNNNNNNNNNNNNNNNNNNNNNNNNNNNNNNNNNNNNNNNNNNNNNNNNNNNNNNNNNNNNNNNNNNNNNNNNNNNNNNNNNNNNNNNNNNNNNNNNNNNNNNNNNNNNNNNNNNNNNNNNNNNNNNNNNNNNNNNNNNNNNNNNNNNNNNNNNNNNNNNNNNNNNNNNNNNNNNNNNNNNNNNNNNNNNNNNNNNNNNNNNNNNNNNNNNNNNNNNNNNNNNNNNNNNNNNNNNNNNNNNNNNNNNNNNNNNNNNNNNNNNNNNNNNNNNNNNNNNNNNNNNNNNNNNNNNNNNNNNNNNNNNNNNNNNNNNNNNNNNNNNNNNNNNNNNNNNNNNNNNNNNNNNNNNNNNNNNNNNNNNNNNNNNNNNNNNNNNNNNNNNNNNNNNNNNNNNNNNNNNNNNNNNNNNNNNNNNNNNNNNNNNCGUUCAGCAGCAACUCGGCGAGUCGACUCACCAUCCUCCCCAACUACCAACCAAGCCCCUCAUUCCAAAGGGCUCUGAAAACCUAAGAAAAAUCCAAACUUUACCAUCUUCGAAAACCCCUCAUGACCUCUCCAUAGCUCGACAUGUUAAAGCCCCUCAAAACCCCACCUCUCCUUCACCUACAAACCCUCCAUUCGCUAUUGGGUUCCCACCAUUUUAUCGAAUUCGCAUCAAGAACCAAGCUUUUCUCCCAACUCUCUCAUCCACCCUUCAAUCCUGCCCCAAACUUGGUGUUCCAAAUCCGUGACAUUCUGUGCGACCCUCAAUGGGAAAAGAGCUCAGAGCUCAGCUGGCUGAGCCCUAAGAUUAGAACCGAUCAUGUGUCAAAGAUUAUUGAGACCCACAAGAACACAGACUCGGCGUUAAGAUUCUUCUACUGGGUUUCUAAGAGACCUUCUUACCAGCAUGAUAUGAGCUGCUUCUCAUCAAUGCUGAAUAGGCUUGUGAACGAACGGCUUUUUGCGCCUGCAGACCGUGUGAGGAUUUUGAUGAUUAAAGCUUCUAGGAAGGAGGAAGAGCUUAAACGGGUAACUGAAUAUUUGAAUGAGAUGAGCCGACUUGGUUUUGAGUUUACAUUGUAUAGUUUUAAUACGCUUUUGAUUCAAUUGGGUAAGUUUGAGAUGGUUAGUAUAGCUCAAAAUGUUUAUACCCAGGUGCUAAGUAGUGGGAUUAAACCGAGUUUGUUGACAUUUAAUACAAUGCUCAAUAUAUUGUGUAAGAAGGGCAAGGUUCAGGAAGCAGAGUUGAUUUUGAGCAAGAUUUUUCAGUUUGAUAUGCUCCCGGAUGUUUUUACUUAUACAUCAUUGAUUCUUGGGCAUUGUAGAAAUCGUAACUUAGAUUUGGCAUUUGAGGUUUACGAUCAGAUGGUGAAGGCAGGUUGUGACCCGAAUUCAGUUACGUAUUCAACUCUUAUCAAUGGGUUAUGCAAUGAGGGGAGGGUGGAUGAGGCACUGGAUAUGCUUGAUGAAAUGGUAGAAAAAGGGAUUGAACCCACAUCAUAUACUUACACUGUCCCAAUUGCUUCACUAUGUGAGGCCGAUCGGCUGGUGGAAGCAAUUGGGCUUUUCAGAAGAAUGAGAAGCAGGGGUUGCCAUCCUACCGUUCAUACUUAUACAGCUUUGAUCAGUGGGUUGUCUCAGACGGGGAAACUCGAUGUUGCUAUUGGACUCUAUCACAAGCUUUUGAAGGAUGGUUUGGUCCCAAACACGGUUACCUUCAAUACAUUGAUAAAUGGAUUAAGUGAGACAGGAAGAUAUGACCUGGCUACGAAGAUUUUUUAUUGGGUGGAGAGACAUGGGACCUUGGCAAAUACCCAAACUCACAAUGAAAUCAUCAAAGUUUUCUGUUUGAUGGGUAACAUUAAUAACGCAAUGGCUCUUGUAAGCAAAAUGCUUAAAGUGGGACCAUCUCUAAAUGUGAUUACAUAUAACACACUCAUCAAUGGAUACCUCAGUGGAGGUCAGUUAAACAAUGCUAUGAGGUUGUUGGAUUUUAUGAAAGGGAGUGGAUGUGAACCAGAUGAAUGGACUUAUACUGAACUUAUUUCUGGGUUUUGCAAGGCAGGUAAGUCUGACUUUGCAUCUACUCUUUUCCGUGAGAUGGUAGAACAAAGAAUUAGUCCCAGUCAGGUUACCUACGCUGCUUUGAUUGCUGGAUACUGUAUGGAGGGGAAAGUAGAUACUGCAUUGUCAUUAUUUGAGCAGAUGGAGGAGAAGGGUUGCUGUCCAAGUAUUGAAACCUACAAUGCCAUUAUAAAUGGUUUGUCCAAAGAUAAUCAGUUUGUUAAAGCUGAGAAACUAUGUAAAAAGAUGGAAAAGCAAGGACUGGUUCCAAAUGUCAUUACCUACACGUCUCUAAUUUGCGGCCUCUGUAAAAGUGGCAGGACUGACCUUGCAUUCAAAAUCUUCCAUGAAAUGGAAGAACAAGGUUGCUUGCCGAACUUGUAUACAUAUAGCUCACUCAUGUUUGGGUUAUGUCAAGAGGGCAAGGCUGACAAUGCUGAGACGUUGCUUGAUGAAAUGGAAAGGAAAGGAUUGGCUCCUGAUGUGGUAACAUUUACCACACUCAUUGAUGGUUUUGUUAUGCUUGGUAGGCUAGAUCAUGCAUUCUUGCUUCUUAGGCGAAUGGUUGAUGUGGGCUGCAGGCCCAACUACCGAACAUAUGCCGUGUUGGUCAAAGGGUUGCAAAAGGAAAGUCAGUUGCUGACGGAGAAGGUUGUGGGGCUUGUGGCCCAACAUGAAGGAAUGUAUAGUUGCAGCUCUGGUGAAAGCUAUAACUUUUUUGAGGCGUUGUGCAAUCUCUUAGCUAGGAUGUCAGAGAAUGGAUGUGAACCUACUGUUGAUACCUAUGGUACUUUAGUGAGAGGCUUGUGUACAGAAGGCAGAUAUUAUGAGGCAGAUCAGUUGGUUCAGCAUAUGAAAGACAAAGGCCUGUGCCCCAAUAGAAGGAUUUAUCUGUCUCUAUUCUUUGUUCAUUGUACGAAUUUAAAAGUGGAAUCUGCGCUGGAAAUCUUUGGCUUGAUGGAAGAUAAUGGAUUUGAGGUUCACUUGUCAGCUUAUAACGCACUUAUUAGUGCUCUCGGCAGGGUGUGUCGGGCGGAAGAAGCUGAAACUUUAUUCAAAAGCAUGCUAGAAAAACAAUGGAAUACUGAUGAGAUUGUUUGGACUGUGUUAAUCGAUGGAUUACUGAAGGAAGGGCAAUCAGAUCUAUGCAUGAAGCUUCUUCAUGUUAUUGAAUCUCAAAAAUGCAGUAUCAGUUUCCAGACAUAUGAUAUCUUGGCCAGAGAACUUUCUAAAGUAAACAAGGGUAGGGGGAGUUCUCAAAUUGUUAACAGAGCAAGUGAUUUAAAGGGUGUACAUUGAUCAUGGUUUCUUUAUACACACAGAGAAAAAGGAAAUUCGUUAACUGAGUUCCAUUAAUGAACUAAUAAGAAAUUAUACUUUUUUCGCCUGAGGUGUGUAUAUAUUCUUUUGCUGUGACAACUUUGCAGUUUGAUCAUACAAUAAAUGGUAUGUAGAUGGCGCUUUGCCUUCAAACCUUGUUAACAUUCGUUUCUUUCUAUUACUGUCUUUGGUGAUUAUCAGAAUACUUUAGUUCUGUUGGCUUUUGAUUAAUUUGGUCGCAAUAUUUUCCCAAUAGUCACCAAGAAAAUUCGAUCGAUGGUUACUAAGUUUGUUAUCCUAUCUACAUGGAAGUGACAGGUUGUUUUCAGUAGAUAAUUGUCUUCAGUUGGAACUGAAAAUCUGGUGUGCAUGAAGCAGCAACCUAAGGUAGACAUGUAGGUUUGUUUAGACAAAGUAUAAAUGAAUGAUAUUUGCCAUUUAUGUGGGUUGAUGGUUGGUGCAGGACUGUGUGUACUGUUUGGCAAUUGAUUUAGGGGUUAGGAUAAUUUCUGCCUAUGCAGGCUUUUUAAUUACAUGGAUUAUCUUAUGUAGGAAGGCUUCUUAAUACAGAAAUGGUGAUGUGUGUGAUCAUCUAGGCAGGCUUCUUAAUUACAUGGAUAAUCUUCUUUAUGGUGCUCAUUUGGUUGGUUUUCAUUGUUUGACAUGCUUACACCAUAUUUAUUCUGGCUUAGUGUUUAUAAAAUGGAAUUGAGAGCUAGACAUUCUUGGCAUAUAUACUUGCAGGUGACACAGCUUGGACGUCCCCUAGUGGAAAGUUUCCUCUUUCCUCUGAAAAUUUUGACAAGAAGAUGUUAAGAUACACCUUGUUUGAUACCUAUGUUGGUUUAUUUCGCUGUCGUUACCUCAUACAAUUUUGAUUCAUUGUAUUCUUUACACCAAGAGUCAUUUAUAAAAUAUACCUCAGUUUUACAAUAGCAUAUGUUAUGGUUCAUUUAGUAAAUUUUGGUUUUAUGUUUUAGUUUUAGCUUUGAUGGUCAAAAUCAUCCUCUUCUUUUUUUGAUCUCUCUCUCGUCUCUUUUUUCCUUCUCUCUGUUAUUCUUUUCAUAAGAAAAAGAAAUAUAGAAACUAAAAGCAAAAAAUCUAACCAAAUUCCCAUGGGAUGGUCUCUUGAUUCUGUAUCGGCAAGUAUAACUAUUUUACUGUGAAUUAUCAACAAAAAGUAAUCUGCAGUUGCCACUGAUUUAAAUCAACUUAAAUAAUGUCUGUGAUUCAGAAUUCCAGGAUAAAUUAUGCUUUGUAGUUGACGUGAUGAAAUUAAUUUAAUUAGACAUUUUUGGUGUAGGGUUACUCAGGUCCUAAAUCGAGCUUAAUUUCGCACCAGGGCUCUUAGAAAGAACUACUGGCCAAGAUUACCGAACUUAGUCCACUUUUUGUAAUCUGCCUCUGAGUGUUCUAAUGCAAAUGCCAGUAUGUGUGGCCACUUUCCGAAUGUGGUGUUCAAUUUUUUUAAUUUUCCCAAAGGAUGAUAGUACUCUAAAUCUUUGUAGGGUUUUUUAUUGGGGUCGAGAUGAGCUCAGAGUUCGCUUUUUUGUCACUUUCUUUGUGUUUUGCUGAUCUUUGCCUAGUAUUUGCUGGGAUUCCCACUCCUUAAAUGAAGAAGGGUGGAAUGAAUAAAGGCUUGGUUCAUGCAUGAAGACCCUAAUAUUUCCUAUACACAAGUGAUAUUUUAUGGGUAUGAACUAUAUUGUGGAUCAAUCUAGAAAGGUAAAAACGCAUUCAUUAUGGUGUGAGUUCUAGUGUUCUCACCUUUCCUCCAAGUCUAAACCUAUACAAACCCCCGAGUAUGAGAAACCCUUUGAGUGAAAAGUAAAUUAUUAUGUGUAUGCAAGAGAGAAUUUUGUGGUGAAAAUCCCUGGAGGUGAUUUUGGAAGAAACUCUGGCUUCCCGGCAGUCAGUUCUUGUGAGAUUGUUCCUUUGUAAUCCUUGGUAUCUUCUAGUCCUGUCCACAAAAAAAUUCUUGUAAUUCCAUCAUUUUAUAUAGAAAAGAAGAAUUUGUUCCUGUCCUUCUACUAUUCAGUGGACAAAAGGCUCAAAUGCUAAGGAUGUAAUUCCAUUGUUUUUAUGUUUGAUGAUGUUUGCCUGUUUUGGCCAUACAAGGAUGGGAAAGUUUGAUCUUGAGUUUGCUAAUUGUCUUUUGGCAUUGUAUUAGGUGACUCUGGUUCUCAAAUGUAUAAUGGUUCAACCCCAGUUUCCAAUCCUAUCAUGGAACUGAAAAAUAAAUUUCUAAAAUUUUUGAUUGAGCCUGCAGUGUCUGAAAAAUUAUAACCACAUGCCACCAAUCUGAUUAUAUUCGUCCAAUUUGCAGUAGAUUUUCUAUCUCCGAACCUCUCUACUAAAACCCUGCAAUUAACUGAUCAUGCAUAUUGUAAGUAGUAAACUACUCUGAAAAUGAGGUUCUAAGUUGAAAUCUUUCUUCCUCUAAUAAACGAAUAAAAACUUAUAGUUCAUGAAAGGAUGAAAUUAAAAUUAGUUAGUUUAAAGAUGUGGUUGAAGCUAUAGAUAAAUGGAUCAAAAAAAUCAGUUUUUUUUUUUGGGUAAAUAAUAAAUAUACUAAACCGGGGUUGGGGAAAUUCUCAUAUCAAGAAGAAACUAAAGAGAAACCUAUCAGAACCACAUGGUGUGGUGCGGUUGGUAAAGUGUCACCUCCAGUUGACGAGUUACCUAUUGCCUCAUUAGCAUGGGUUCGAAACCCGUUAGAGGUACUUUGUGGUCAGGGAAAGCCGAAUCCCGAGCGGGGAUUAAUCUCAUCCUUUGAAUGCGAGGACAUCUCGUGGUAUUUAUCCAAAAAAAAAACAGAAGGGAAAAAAACCUAUCUGUAACUAAGAGAUGUGAGUUUCCAUGCAUUUCAGUAAAUAUAACAAAAUAGUUUUAAACUUUUGAAGAUUCUAGUUUCAUAAGACAUUGAUAUACUUGUCUAAUCGUAUCAUUUUCUCUCCAAAAAAAUCAAUAAUAAAUAAAUGAUAUUCUCCUACUACUGGUUUUUGGGUUCAAGUGCUUGGUUUUCAAGGAAGAAAACAAAGGGGGGCCAUCCACUACCAGAAAGGUUUAUGCUUUUGUUGAUUGAUUCUUGACAGAAUCUCUGGGUUGCUUGGACCCCCACAUGGCCUCCAUUAUAUGACUUGCUCUUUGUCACGCAUGAGCAAUUAUUGGCUCUUUGGUCAGUGUACCAUUUUGUAGUUAUACUCAAUCAUUUCAUACAAAAACCAUUAUCAUUUCAACUCUGCAAGCAUCUCUCAACUUUGUUAUUUUCUUUUCUUUUCUUGUUGCUGCAAAACCAUUCUGAGUUUUUGUUCUUGGGUUUUAUAAAGAAAUUAAUUUAAAAAUAUAAAUAAAUAAAUAUAUAUAUAUAUAUUUAUAACCCUUGUGAAUUUAUAAUAGUUGAAGCCUGAUUCAACUGGUUUGAUCACUUUCCACCAAAUAAAAAAUAAAAAAUCAAGGCCUUGCUCAGCACCAACGUUGCCCUUUUUCUCUGCUGCCAUAGGUCAACUACCAGUUUCUAACAAAACAACUCCAAAUCUGAGUAUAAAUGCUAAAAGGGCUCUGUUGUAUUCUGCAUAUAUUCUCUGUUUCCUUCCUCAUUUCAUGCAAACCUAUCCUAUCUCGUAGACCCCAAAAACAAGCAACAAUAAGAAUGGUAGGUCUCAGUUUUGGUGUGUAAAUUGACCACAAAACUUAAAGAUGUAAAUGACAAACAGAAAUGUAGCCUCUGGUUUAGUGAGCUUUUAUUAUAUUUCUAAUGCCAGCCCUUCUUCAGCUGCAUAUACAAAGUGCAUGAAAAAUGCAGGGCAAGGAAGGAUGCCUUUGUAUUUUUUUCCAUGUGCAAAGGGUCCCCAUAAAAAACAUCAGUACUUCAAAUAUAUUCCUUCUGAUCUUUGUCUUUUCUAUGCAUCCCCAUCUUCAAUUCAUGAACUUCAUUUUCAAAAGGCCAAGACUUUGAAGGCCAGGUUUCAUAGCAGGUACAAAAAAGAAUCAAUAUUCCCCCAAAGGCCACAUAAAGAUAAAUCAGAGUCAUCGAUGCCAACAGUGUCUUAAAAGACAACAAGACACAAAGCAUGACCUAACAUUUGAUGCUUCCAAACUCCAUUCCAACUGCUACUUCCAUUUUCAUUUUGGACUGUUUUUCUUGCACUCUUGCUUUUUCAAAAAGUGCUUUUGCCUACCCAUCCACCAACCCAGCCUUCUCUAGACUAGCCUUUAAAUCUUUCCCUUUGGAUUUUUGUUGCACAGCAGCCGAUUCUUAUUUAUAUUACAUCAUCCAAAAUAAACUACAAAAACCCAAUUUGCACAUUUUAAUGCCAAACUGAACACAACCCUUGUGCUAUAUAAACACAUCCAAUGCAUUUUGCCCCUUCAGCACCAAUUAUAGCAAAAAACAACAAAAACACCACCAACCCUUCAAGGCUUCAAAGUUCAUCAAACUCUGGUUUUCAAUGGGUAGGGAAAGUUCUGAUCCCACUGUGGUUAGUUCCUCCAUUGCUCUCUUACAAGAGAGGUUCAGACAGUUGCAGAAAGUGAAGGAGAGGAGGGAGGAGCAGCAGCUUCUGAAGAUGUUAUCUGAGACUGAUCAUCAUCAUCAAGGGGUUGGCUCAAUAAGGCAUUUUGAGCCUGCAAAAUUCUCUAUCCAAUCUGAUAUGGCCAGGCCAAGCUCUCCUGCAGAUCACUCACUCUCUCUGGGGCUUAAUUUGCAGACUAGACAAAUUGAUCAUUGUGCCAUGAAGACACAGCCUACCACAAUCUCAUGGCCCAACAAUACAACAGCUGCCUCAGCAUCAAGUGCUUCAAAAUGUUUUGACAAUUCAGACCUUGACACCUCUCUUCAUCUGUAGACAAAUCCUGGGUUCACUUUCUUCGUGGCUUCUCCAUGUUUCCUUUUUUUGUAUGUAAUAUUAGAAGAGUAUGUAACUAAUAUAACUAAUGUUUAUUCAUCUGAAAUAAUGAGAUAAAUAAAAGAAGAAAUGGAGCAGCAAUAUGCUAGCUGCUCUUCUCUUCAAUUUUUUGGCCCUUUUGUUGGUUUUGCUUAACAACAUUAACAAAUCAUGGGGACUAUAGAGAGAUUCAUAAUCAAGAAAAAUGGAUUGGGAGGUGAUGGGUUUCUUUUGUUCUGUUAAAAAAAAUAAUAAAAACAACUUCUGAAGAUUCAUAUCAACAUAUAUAUGUUCUUUUCUUAUAUUGAUUUUGAGUUUGUGAAGACUGAUGGUGAUGAACAAAAAAGUCAGCAAGGCCUGCUAGAUUCCUCAUAAACUUACCAUGCAGAUGUACUCAGUUAGAAAUUCCUAACACCACUGAUUGUUUAUGCUUUCUAUGGAUUACUUUCGGAGCAAAUACUUGGAACCAGAUAUUAUUAUUAGAGUUCUAGCUCUUGCUAGUGUAUUUUUAAUGAACCUUUCCUAUAAUAAGCAAAUUCUCAUAGCAACAUGGUCAGAUCUUUUAGGAAAAUGAAGUGCUAAUAAAUUGAAAUCUCCUGAUAACCAAGUUGUGAAGGUUAAUUUUCAUGUAUAUGUUAAGAAUAGGAAUAGCCUUUGAGAAAGAGAAAUAAAUCAAGGCAUAGUGAAAUUUCUAUUUUGUUAUAUUGGAAGUUAUCAUACUUUAACCUAUUCCAAAAGCCAACGGGCUUUAGCCCAGUAGAAAAUGAAUUUCACUUGUAGACCAGUGGUCUCAGGUUCAAAUCCUUAUGACACCUUAGUAUUGUGCGUGCCAUAUUUGGCUCUCUCCCUACUAUCGCUUGUAUUAAAAAACAUAUUCAAAAAGAAAGCAACUAUUACUGAGUCUAACUAGGCCGAGAACAGUUGUUAUUACUGAGGUGCUCCCUCUUAUUACUGAGAUUUUAGUUGAUGAUGCUUGUAUUUUGGCUAGGCCUAAAAUGUUUGCUAUUUAUUUCUCCACUUCAAUUUUAUCCACUUACACUCCUUUUUUAGUUAUAAAAUGGAGUGUAAGUGGAUAAAAUUGGAGUGGAGAAAUCACCACUCUUAUAUUUUUAAGUAAUAAUCUAAAUUAUACUAAAUUAAUUUAAUUUAUGAGAAUAUAAAUUCGAACUUGGGGAUUCGAUUUUUUUUUUUUUUUAAAAGUGAAAUAAAAAAUUUCAGUCACAAAUGAUUGACCCAAACUGAUCUGCAAUCUGGGCAGGGUAUUUAGCUGAGACUAAAUGAGUUAUUGGGCUCAUAUCAAAAGCGCCUACAAACCUAACCACUCAAAAUACACAAUAAUAGAAAAAUUUUAGUUUCAUCAUUUUAUUGAAGUACCAAAUUGCCCUUAUCGUCUCCAGAACCUUCCCAAACCCCCUCUCCGCGUCUCUCUAUCAGAAACCCCAACUAAAACCCUAACACCUCUCUCCACUCUUUAUCCCUCUGUCACUCACAACUCAUUGCUCUCUCUCCAUCUCUUGGCCUUCGCCAUCCAUCUAUCUAUCUCAAACCAAUAUGCAUAGGCUUCCUCGACGCUCCGUCUCCGCUAUCCUGCGCCACGGCGGCGCACGUCACCGGACCACCGCUGCUCCAAUCUCCUGCGCUUCUACCCACUUGGGUUCGGUGCGUUCUCUAUAACUCUUGGGUUUAGCUUUUUACGCUUUGAGAAAAUGAUUAUAUAUAAAAAAUCAUCUGAAUUUUUAUGUGUAUUUGUGUAGGUGGGAGAAACUGAUGCCAAAGUGAGAUGGCACUCAGCGUUGGCCUCUGGGAAGUUUAACCCUUGCAAACCCACGGCUCAGUUUGCCUCCAACAAUGGACUGUGCUUUGGCAACCGGUUUGAGUCCACUGCUGCAGCCUCUGAUGCAUCGGCCGAGCCUCCCGCUGAGAGAUUCGAGUAUCAAGCUGAAGUAAUGUCAUUUCACCUGUUGGGUAUUUUUUAGAUUGAUUUUGAGGAUCAAUGGUUUUGAGAGUGUUGUUUUCUUCAUGGUUACAGGUCAAUCGCCUCAUGGACCUCAUUGUUAACAGCUUGUACAGUAACAAGGAGGUGUUUCUUAGAGAGCUUAUCAGGUACCUAUUUGGUAUAUCUGAUAUUAUGUAGUAUUGAUUGUCAUUUCUUUCCUAUUGGGUUACCUUGAGAGUCCGAAAAUUGCGAUUGGACAGGUGGAGCCUGAAUUGAUCAUACAUUGGAAUUUGAGUUAACAGUACUAAACACACAUUGGAAUUCAAGAAAUAGUUGUUGUGUUUGAUUUAGGUGGCACUAAGUUAUUUAGCGUAUGAUAUGUUGACAUUAUGAAUUUUUCUGCAGCAAUGCAAGUGAUGCCUUGGACAAGCUCAGGUUUCUCAGUGUUACGGAGCCUGAUCUUUUGAAGGGUGGAGGUGAUCUUGAUAUCCGUAUCCAGACUGAUAAAGACAAUGGGAUCAUACAUAUCAUGUAAGCUUAACUGGUUUUUACAGUAUUUUCUUUCCCUUAAUGAUUCUUCUUCACCAUAUCAAUGGUGUGGUCUUUCCCUUUGUGUGAAGUGAUUCUGGUAUUGGUAUGACUCGGCAAGAACUUGUUGACUGCCUGGGAACAAUUGCACAAAGUGGGACCGCAAAGUUCUCAAAGUUGUUGAAGGUAUAAUAAGUCUUUGAGAUAUUGUAAGUUAUUUGAAUUUGAGAUCCUGCAUUGAGGUAUUUUAUAUGCUUACAAAUUUGGUUUAUCAGGAUAGUAAAGAUGCGGGUGGUGACAACAAUUUGAUUGGUCAGUUUGGUGUUGGCUUUUACUCGGCAUUCCUUGUUGCUGAUCGGGUAAGUUCUUAACCAGAAAACUGUGAGCUCCUACGACUUUUAAUCCGUUGCUUUCUUCUUUCAGUCAAGUGGCUGAAUAUAUAAUAGUGUUGGGGUAGUCCUCCCACUCCCCAAGUUUCUGCCUACCCUUUCCAUUAAGAGUUGAAACUUGUGUAUAGAAAUAUCUGAACUGCUCGAUUGUUAUGCACCUCCUGUGGGUUGUAGGUUGUCGUCUCCACAAAGAGCCCAAAAUCUGACAAACAAUAUGUAUGGCAAGGAGAGGCAAAUGCUAGCUCGUAUACAAUUCAGGAGGAGACUGACCCUGAGAAGCUUAUUCCUAGAGGAACCCGCCUGAGCUUGUAUCUCAAGGUCAGUGUAAAACAUUUUUUAACUUAUGAAUAAAUAAAUAAAACCCUGUAUAAUUUGCCUAUGACUUUGAUCUCCAAGCUAAUUCUUUAUCUGUCUGGCUACUUUCAGCGUGAUGACAAAGGUUUUGCUGUUCCAGAACGGAUACAGAAGCUUGUGAAAAACUAUUCACAGUUUGUUUCUUUUCCUAUAUACACUUGGCAGGAAAAGGGGUACACUAAAGAGGUAAGAGUUUUUUCCCCAUCUUCUCAAUGCUUGUACUUUUGUCAUUGGUUUUGUAUGUUGUAUGUUCAGGGAAAUUAUUGGGGACGAUUUCAUUUCAGGUUGAGGUUGAUGAGGAUCCAGCUGAAUCCAAAAAGGAUGGAGAAAAUGAGAAAACCGAGGUACAAAAGAAAAAAACGAAGACUGUUGUUGAGAAAUACUGGGAUUGGGAGCUCACUAAUGAGACACAACCAAUAUGGGUGAGCCUUAACAGUUUCUUCUUUGUAUGUUUACUCUGCUUUUUAUGGCAGUAACUUUUUUAUGCUCACAUGAUUCCAAUUGAUAUGUACAGCUUCGCAAUCCUAAGGAAGUCACUACGGAGGACUACAAUGAGUUCUACAAGAAAACUUUUAAUGAAUACUUGGAUCCACUAGCAUCUUCGCAUUUCACAACAGAGGUAUUUUAUGACUAUUAAGAUCCUCAACAAAUGCCACUUGUAGUAGAAUUUUGAAGUAAAUGUUGCAUAUUUCUGUAUUAUCACAUGAUGUCUGCUUCUUGAGUUGGAUAAAAGUUGUGUGGAGUUGACAAUAACUAAGUUAACUAUGGGUUUUUUUGUUGUAGAAUUUUUAUAAUUGCAUAUUUGUGGUAUAGUGGCAACUAUCAUGAUGUCUUCUUAAGUUGGGUAACAAAUGGGUGUUAUCUAAAUUUGAAUGACAAUUGAAAAUACAGCAUUAGUGCCUGAAGUUAGGAUGAAAUGUGUAGUUCUGUUUGACAAUGUACUCGUACUUAAUUGCUCAUAUAUUCUGCUUUUAAGUUGAAGAGGUUGGUAUUUGCAGGGUGAAGUAGAAUUCAGGUCUAUUCUGUAUGUUCCAGCGGUUGCUCCUAGGGGGAAGGAUGACAUAGUCAACUCCAAGACAAAAAAUAUAAGCCUCUAUGUGAAAAGGGUGUUCAUUUCAGAUGAUUUUGAUGGAGAACUGGUAAACAAAAUAAAGACAUUUUUACAACAGAGUAAUGCAUGGUUCUCUUAAAUGGAAGCUUAUUGGUUCUAAUUGCUUUUACAUUCCCUUUUGAGUAGUUCCCUCGAUACUUGAGCUUCGUCAAAGGUGUUGUGGACUCAAAUGAUCUUCCACUCAAUGUUUCACGUGAAAUUCUUCAGGAGAGUCGUAUUGUAAGUACAUCUAGCACACUGUCGUUUUAACCUUUAGGUUCCAAUUAGUUUACUUUAAACAAACUGUUGUUUCUGUGAUCUACUUGAAGGUACGGAUUAUGAGGAAGCGCUUGGUUCGGAAGGCCUUUGAUAUGAUCCUGGGAAUAUCCAUGAGUGAGGACAGAGCAGUAUGUUUUUGCUUCUGUUUUCUUAUCAUCCUUUUUUGUUUGUAUGUUUUCAGUCUUGUGGAAUUAUGGUACAAAUUUCAACAUCUUGGCAAUUACUCCUCAGCCAUGUCUUGUUCCUGAGUCCUGUAGCUGUGACUCUGAAUCCUGAUGUUUUCCAACCCCUCUGCUGCUUGGGGUAGCGAAUGAUAUUGCCCCUCUACGUUCUUUAAAGAUAUCCUUUGUUGUUUAUUGCAGGAUUAUGAAAAGUUCUUCGAAAAUUUUGGAAAGCAUUUGAAACUGGGUUGCAUUGAAGAUCGUGAAAAUCAUAAGCGUAUUGCUCCAUUGCUUAGAUUUUUCUCUUCCCAAAGUGAGGAUGUGAUGAUCAGCUUGGAUGAAUAUCUUGAGAACAUGAAACCUGAGCAGAAGGGUAUCUAUUACAUUGCUUCUGAUAGUGUAGAAAGCGCAAGCAAUACACCAUUCCUGGAAAAACUUCUUGAGAAGAAUUUCGAAGUAUGUUUUGCCUCUCAAAUAAUUUGAUAUAUUUGAUUAUGCUGUUUUAUGUAUUUAUGGAUGAUUUUUGUUGUGCUAUUCUUGUAGGUGUUGUACUUAGUUGAUCCAAUUGAUGAGGUUGCCAUCCAGAACCUGGAAUCUUACAAGGAGAAGAAAUUCCUUGAUAUUAGCAAGGAAGAUCUGGAUUUAGGUUAGUUCAUUGGAGCCCUUUGAGUUGAUCCGAUUGACUUGACAUUCUUGCUUCUUUGAUUAUGUUUCCUUUGCUAAGGAAAUCUGAUAUGUAUGAAUGACCUUUCUGCAGGGGAUAAGAAUGAGGAAAAAGAAAAGGAGAUUAAGCAGGAAUAUGGCCAAACAUGUGAUUGGAUUAAGAAACGUUUGGGUGACAAAGUUGCCAGUGUUCAGAUUUCAAACCGUCUUAGCUCGUCACCCUGCGUUCUUGUAUCUGGGAAGUUUGGUUGGUCUGCCAACAUGGAGAGGUAGAGUCCCUCUGUUGCUGAAUACAUAUGUCAAGAAUUCAUAUUACAGAACCUGAUUGUUAUCCUCUAAACUUGUGAUUGGACGUUUCCAGGUUGAUGAAGGCACAAACUGUUGGUGAUACUUCUAGCCUUGAGUUUAUGAGAGGCAGGAGGGUGUUUGAGAUUAAUCCUGAGCACCCAAUCAUUCAAAACUUGAAUGUACGUUUGCACGGAGAAAGCUACUCUCCCCAACUCUCCCAAUCUUAGAAGACUAUGGUUUUAGAAAAUACAGUAACAUUUUAAUCCUGGUUUGCAGGCUGCAAGCAAGAUCAACCCGGAUGAUGAAGAUGCUAUUAGAGCUAUUGAUCUUUUGUAUGAUACAGCUUUGGUGUCUAGUGGUUUUACCGUGAGUAUUCAAGCUUGCUUCACAUCUCUUGUUAAAACUGCUCUUAGGAUUAUAUGAUCUAUAGCAACCAUUCUUCAUUGUAACUUGACCAUUAAGAAAUCCUAGGCCCUGAAAUGAAAAUGCACUUGACCUCGUGGUUUGGUGAAAAUGAGAAUUGCUUUUUUGGAUUUGAAGGUGCCACUAUUUGUUGGUUUGAGACACUAACGCUACAGACAAGUAUCACUCUCUAGGAAUCUGUUGUAGCCCAUGCUAAGGAUGAUGAUUUGCAUGCUUAUUUGAUCAAUGUUUGAUCUUCUUACACAUUCAACUUGUAUGUCUUGUUGAUGCAGCCUGAGAAUCCAGCACAGCUGGGUGGAAAGAUAUAUGAGAUGAUGGGUUUGGCUCUUUCUGGGAAAUGGUCUACACCUGUCGCCGAGGUUCAGCAACCAGGACGCCAACACCACAACCCAGAGACGUUAGAGGCUGAGGUUCAGCAUCCAGGAACCCCACAUCACAACACCAAGAUAUUAGAGGCUGAGGUGGUUGAGCCUGUUGAAGCUGGUACCCAGAAAUGAGGAGCAAGAGGCAUUUUUCCUUUUUGACACUAAAUUCUCUUUCUCAUGCACAAAAUUCAGUGGGUAGGUCUUUUAGUGGUGCAGUUGAUAAAUGUCUGGACAUGAGUGUUAGAUAUAUAUAUAUUUGAGGGAGCUGGUGACCAGAAAUAAGAGCACAAAGCAACUUUCAUUUUUUGGUACCAAAUUUUCUUACAAAAUUUCAGUGGUAGGGCUGGCUGGUGGUGUUCAUAUAUGGAGACGAGUGUUAUGAUAUAUUUGAUGGACGUAGGCUGUUUGGCUGAACUCUAUGGGAUUACUUAAUAAUCUUAUGGUUAUUUUGACUAAUUCCUUUCUCUUUAAUUUGUACUUGUUUUAGUUUGUCUUUUAUUUAACUAAUGUGCAGCAUCGGAUUGAUCUGCUAUAUUCACCCCAAGACUGCAGAUAUUAUUUCCAUAUGACAUCAUUUUAAAUUCCGAGCCUCUUUAUUUAGCAUCAGUGCAUUUAUACGCGUUUAGAAAAAUCUAAACUCUUUAAUUGAUCUAAUGGAAUUUAAUUAUUUCACAUCAGCACAAUUGUAUUAGAUUAAAAAGUCUCCUUUUGCACUGUAUCACUUACUCAUCUAUUCCCCCUUCUCUCCUGUAAUCGCAUCAUAAUUAUCAAAAGCUGGAAUUUGAUCCCCAGAUCAAUUCGACAUGGCUCAUACCAAUAAAUUAUCUUUUUUAAUGUAUUAAUUUUGACUUAAAUAUGAUAUAUGAAUUAGUUCUCAUAAAAAAAAAAAAAAAUGGCUCAGAAUCCUUAAAAAUUGGUUCUCAUAGAUAGUCUGAUUCUAAUUUGUUAAUGGUGCAGUUUGCAAGGAAUAUAAUGUGAAACUAAUAUUUAUUUUCAAAUUUGAUCAAUCAAAAUUAUUCAAGUAUUAAGUGAGAUAAAUGUUUCCUAAAAUAUAAUUUUAAUUUUCCAUGUAUGCUACGGCAUUUGGCAAAGAAACAUGUGCAAAAGUCAAGCAGGCCAAGCAGUGAAGUUACCAUUUUGACCUUGACAGUACAACGUGUCGUGAACGACGUGACUGGUCAGCAAAUAAAAAACAAUACAAGAAACGUGCUAAGCCAGUCAAUUCCAACCCAAGACCGGCUGAGCCGGUCACCCCCAACGUUAAAAGUCUUCACUUUCCCGGUAAAAACACCGUUGCCGUGUCCCAGGGGCAAAAUGGGAAAACCACCUCUUCAUAAAAAGUGAAUUAAACUUCCCAAUCUGUCUCCGCGUCUGCUCUCGUCUUCUCUACUGAGCUGAAUUUCUCUCGGGCUUCGUCUGGUAAGCACUCUCUCUCUCUCUCUCUCUCUCUCUCUCUCUCUCUCUCUCCCCUUCUCUCUUUGUUCCUUCUGUUUGGUCGCUGAGAAAAUCGUAGAAAAUGAAAGAAAUUUUGUUUAGUUGGCAUCGAAUUUGUUGCUGUUGAUCUAAGAAUUUAACGAAAAGUCCACACUGAACAAAGGCAAGUAUUUAUAUUAGGAUCGGUUCCGUGACCUCUGAAUUUGCUGCUUAGCCUUCCAUUUAUUAUUGUUGCUUUAAUUCUCUCUGUGAAACGAAGCAGGUUAAUCACCAAGCGAAGCAGAUUCAACGGCAUAGUAGACUUAUUGUUUUGAAAAGAAAAAAUUGGGGUUUUCUAUUGUGUGCAAAUUGGUAAAGGUCUGCCUUUUUGUUAUAUGUUUCUGACAUGUUGCUGUUGCUAGAACGUUGUUUCAUUUCGUAAUUUGGAGAUUAGAGGCUUUUCUGAAAAUAGCAUGCUUAAUAUUGAUAGUCUUACGGCAAGAAAAAGCUUAGAUUGGUAGUAUUAUUUUAUUCAAUUUCAGUACUUCUGUUGUGAUGAUUAAUUCUCCGGAAUCAGUACGACUGGCAGCUUUUAAUAGAUGUAGUAGAACCUAGAUGAUAUGCUUCUCGUAGCAGUUUGGGUAAUCACAGGUAUCCAAGCCAGUUUGAUGUAACUGAAAAUUUGUCAAAUCGUCUCACCAUGUGCUGUGUUGCUUUUGGGAUUUCAUCUUAACUGAUAGUUGUAUAUGUUUGUCUGUGCAUGCACAUGUCUUCUUUUGGGUGCUGAAUGCGUGUUGUUAAUUCUCAACGAUGAGAAAUCUUCUAUAUUUUUUAACAUUCACUUUCAGAUCUAAUAUGCAAAAUGUCACGAUAGCUUUCAGAAGAGUAAAAAUGUUAGGGUACUUGGCUGAUACUUCUAUUUCUGUAGUUGCAGAAGUAGCGGAUCUGGUGGAUGGGUACAUCAUCUGGCUCCAAUAUACACCACCAACCUUCAUCAAAGAUGCUUCCUCCUCGUCAGCAACCACGAGCUGGGGGACUACAAACCUCCCUCUCCCUUGUCUCUUCAGAUCCUCGGCUUUCCCCUGAAGAACCCAGAUCAAAUUCUGAUCACAGGCGUGAGUCCCCUACUGAGAGUGCCAGUUCUCGAGAAACAUGGCCUACUGCUGAUGCCAUAAUGGCAAAGAAGAUGGAGAAUGGGAAAGCAGAAAAUGAUUGCCCGGAACAAUCAGUCAUUCGUCGUCUUUCCAGCGCUGAUAAGAUAUCUCUUCGAGACAUUGCAAGAGAGCGAGUUGACAUAAUCUCUGAAAAGAUGCAUCACCUACCUGAUGAGUUUCAGGAAGAAUUAAAGAACAACCUCCGAGUAAUCCUUGAUGGGAAUGGUGGUUCGCAGCAGAGAGACGAAUUUUUUAUCCUGCAGAAGCUUGUUCAAAGUAGAACAGAUUUAACAGCGAAGACUUUGAUUAGAGCACACAGAGUACAGCUUGAAAUCCUUGUUGCAAUAAAUACCGGGAUUCUGGCCUUUUUGCAUCCAAAUAUCAGUCUGUCGCAAACUUCCCUUAUUGAAGUUUUCGUGUACAAGAGAUGCAGAAAUAUAGCAUGCCAAAACCAGAUUCCAGCUGAUGAUUGUACAUGCGAGAUAUGCACUAAAAGAAAUGGUUUCUGCAAUCUUUGCAUGUGUGUAGUAUGUAACAAGUUUGAUUUUGAAGUGAACACUUGCCGUUGGGUUGGUUGUGAUUUGUGCUCUCAUUGGACUCACACUGAUUGUGCUAUUCGGGAUGGACUAAUAUGCAUGGGUGCCUCUGGUAAGAGUGGAUCAGGGUCAUCCGAAAUGCUUUUUAGGUGUCGAGCUUGCAAUCGGACAUCUGAGCUACUGGGUUGGGUCAAAGAUGUUUUUCAACACUGUGCACCUGCCUGGGACCCGGAGGCUCUGACAAGAGAGCUUGAUUUUGUUAGUAGAAUUUUUCAUGGAAGUGAAGACCCCCGAGGGCAAAAACUCUUCUGGAAGUGUAAGGAACUCAAAGAAAAGAUAGAAAGUGGACUUGCAGAGUCAUCAGCAGCUUGCAGAGCAAUAUUGAUGUUUUUCCAAGGUAUAUAUUCAGUGUACAUCCUAGGGAAGAACCAUGUGUUCUGGUACUUUCAAGUCUACUGGAAUAAUAUUUGUGGUUUAUUAGGAAUAUUUGAACUCCAACUCUAGAUAAAUUUUCGUGGAAUUUUUGUCUCAAUUUUAGUAAUCUGCAUAUUGUUUUGCCCUUUUUUUAUUAUUCAUUUAUCUAUAUUGUCCUGAUUUGAAGUAUCUUCUUUAUGAAGAGCUUGAGGUAGACUCUCCAAAUCCAAAGAGCCUGGAAAAUGGGGAAAGUGGACGGCUGAUAGCCCCGCAGGAGGCCUGUAAUCGAAUUGCUGAAGUGGUGCAAGAGGCCAUAAGGAAGAUGGAAAUGGUGGCCGAUGAGAAGAUGAGAAUGUACAAGAAAGCCCGAAUGGCUGUUGAGGCUUGUGACAGGGAACUCCAGGACAAGGCCAGGGAAGUUCAAGAACUAAAGCUGGAGAGGCAAAAAAAGAAGGUACAAAUCGAAGAGCUGGAGAAAAUUGUGAGGCUCAAACAUGCAGAAGCCGAUAUGUUCCAACUCAAGGCUAAUGAGGCAAAACGAGAGGCUGAGAGGCUCCAGAGGAUUGCUCUUGCCAAGUCAGAUAAAUCGGAGGAAGAAUAUGCCAGCAGCUACUUGAAACAACGAUUGAGUGAAGCUGAGGCAGAAAAGCAGUAUCUAUUUGAGAAGAUUAAACUGCAAGAGAGUUCGCGGGCAUCCCAGAGCAGCGGUGGUGGUGGUGACCCAUCUCAGUUGCUGAUGUACUCAAAAAUGCAUGAUAUGCUUUACAAUGCCCCUCCUAAGGCAGACUGCCUGCCAAACGAACGCCAUCCUUUCAGAAAAAAUCCUUGAGGAGUGGUUUCUAGUAUGUACCGUGUAUUAUUUUAACUUCAGUAGUGGCAAUGUUACUUUCUUUGGUGAACUAGUUUGAAUGCGAUGACUUGUUGAUUAUGACCUGUGGCCUGUGGGCAUUUUUAUCUAUCUACGAAGGCUGGUAGCUUUUUAACUGUUUCCUCGUGUAUAAAAAUAAGUAUAUGUUUUGGUGGUGUUGGUUCAGUGUUUUGGGUUUGAUUUAUUUGAUACAUAUCUUUUUAUUAUGUAAAUUUGGCCUCGUCGUCUCAUUUCGAUGAAACCAUGGGUACCAUGGAUUCCGAGCACGGAGAUUGUGGGUAAGGUUUACUGGAACGAACAUAAAGUUCUAAACGCCAUAGUGGUGCUAAUGCCAUGACACCUAAUUGUAGAGCUGUUAGAGACAUAUGGAGUGACAAUUUUGGCAUUGUUUAAGAACAAGCCCGAUCUUCUGGAAUGGGUGACGCUGAUGAUCUUGCUGGGGGUGCCUGAUGGAACCAGAGAUCCAUUUGCAAAAUGCAGCAAAUGCCCGAAAUUUAGUGCGGUUGUAUCGAAUGGCUGAGGAUGAAUUCUUGGAGAUGAUGCAGCACUUGAUAAUUCCUGAUCAUUUGGCAUGAAGAAGGUUAUAUUCGUAUUUCGCAGCGAUUUGGGGAUGCUGCUAUGUACGAACUGAAGAGGAUAACAAAUCCAUGGUAAGAGCUCAUUCUCAUGUCAGCCAUGGCUGCCUGCAGAUCGGUUUCGUUGAUUUGUUUUGCAAGCUUAGACUCUCCAACUGCAAAUAGGAGAGAGAUGAAAAACCAGAUGGCCAUCGAGUACAACUUUGGGUGUAAUUCUUUGAGCUGCUGAUGUACAGGGAUGGUAUAAAAUUUAUAGACUGGUUUGCAUUUCAUUCUUUUUUAAUCAUCAAUCAAAGAUGAUCGGUUGAAUGUUUGGCUGCGUUCAUUCUGUAAAGGGGUUCAGUUGGAAGGUGAUUUAUGCAUGACGGGCAGGUAGUAAUUACGCUUUUUUUUUAUUAAAAAAAAAAAAACUUUGAUCUACAUUUUCUUUCUCUGUUUAAUCUAGUGGUCCUAAGUUUCCCCUCUAGUUUGUUAUAAAUAAAAAAAACACAAUUCUCUUUUUAUGGUGCCCAAAAAGAGAGUGUUCCAAUGAUCAGACACAAUUAAUAUCUCAACUGCUGAACAAAAACAUUUCAAAAAUAAAUGUUAUGGUUGAUGCAUAAAAUAGCGUUCACUUGUGAACCCAAAGUCUUAAGUUUGAUCCCCUUUGCCCAAUAUCGUUUGUGCUAAAAAAACAUUCUUUUAGAGUAAUAACAACACAAUGUUGACCCUUCCAGUCAAGUGGGCUGCAUUCAAAUGUGAUUAAACGGUUGUUGUAUGAUUGUUAUCUUCUUCUGCUUAAGUAAAUAUCAAGCUUUGAACAUCAAUUUGGCUGCAUUACAAAGUUUGAAUUUGAAGCUUAAGUUUGACCAAAGAAUAUAUAGGUCCAAUUUGUUGAGGACAGAAUUGGAGAUUGCAAUCUUUCAAACUCAAUAUUAUAAUAGAGCAAAGAUAAGAAGAGCAAACAUCAUGCGUGAGAAUGACCCAAAAUGGACUGGUUGCCUUUCAACAUUAACAUCACAUACAAAUGAAAGACUUUUUAAAGCUAUUAUUAUGGUCAUAUAUCAACAUUAAUAAAUGGAAACUACUUCGAUAAAUUGUUAAUACCAAAUUAGAGCAAAUUGCAUGCUCGAGACAUGCGCAAAAUAGCAAACAGAUAAACGAAAACAAGAAUCAUGCCAAAGAACAAUUGAGUGAUUUGCAGCAACCUCAGUCAAAGACGAUGUAUAACCAAAAGAGAACAUGAGCAGUGUUAGAGAGCGGAUUUUGGGAGAAUGAUUGGAUUGAGAACAUAGCCUAAAAUGGGUGGUGAUGAACUUCAAUCUGAGCAUGGCUUAGAAGAAAUCACCACAAGAGACUUCUUAUUCAAAACGCCUCAGUGGACUUAUUCACUAACCUAAAAGGAAAAGACGAGAAGAGAGGAGGGGGAGGAGAGGCAGUGACGCUUCUUCCUCCUCCCCCUUCUAUGGAAUUUUUCCUUUAGAACUCACAAAGAGAGAAAGCGGCUAGGAUUUUUUCAACUAUCCCAAAUAGGCUUGUCACCUUCUACCUGGUAGUGUGUACUAACUAUAAGUACAAUAAGUAGCUAAUUCUUCCACCUUAUUGCGGCUCGCAUUAACAUUAUUUUCGUGACUUUCAAUUUAACGAAAGAUUUUGUAAAAUCAUUAUACCAUGUCAUCAUGUUUGAAGUGAUAUUAAUCUUUGAAGGUAAUCUAUUUGAAGCUAGUGAGUUUCGUCUCAAUUUUUAAAUAAAUGACAUUGUUUGAGUGGCUAAUCAUGCCAUUUCAACCUAAUUACAUGAUAUGGCUGUGCAACAGAUUUUUUUUUUUUUCUCCAGAAGAAGAUAUUGCAAAUGUUAAGUUACCUGCUGCCUAAUGGAUAUGGUUUUCACCAGAAAAGCGAUGCAUGAUUAAAAUAUUUAUAAAAAUAAAUAAAUUAUACUCUUGAUGAUUGUUGGUUUAAAGUUAGAGUUUUUUUAUUUAAACACUACACUUCUCUUUGUUUACCCCAAUUUUUAAUUCAAAAAUUUCACACUUUUUAAGAAAAUUCCAAUAUAUUCCCAAACUACCCCUACAAUACACGCCCAGCAGAAAAAAUAAAAUAAAAUAAACUCAUCAAUGUCACACCUCACACCCCACACCCGCUAUCUUGCCUCUCACCACUCUAAGUUCACCUUAACCUCAUAUUACUUUAAAAUAUAAUUAAUAAAAAAUAAAAAAAAAUAAAAACACUGUUAUCAAAUGUAUAGCAGCAUUAUUUUAUUUUUAUUUUUAUUAUUUAAAAAAAAUUAUUUUCUUGUUCAACAAAGCAAACCCAUGUGGCAAUUUCCAGAUUAUAUAUCAAUCAAAGGUUUAGGCAAAUACUGUUUCUUUGCUUCGCAGUCAAGGUCUGGUUUUUUUUCCUCAAGUUUUGUUUCUUUGAUUAUGAUGAUGAUUAUUAUUAUUAUUUCUCAUUUGUUUGUUUGACUAUGAUUUUCCGUAUUUAGGGUUUGUGAAGAGAAUGUGAGAGUGCAGUAGGUUUCUUGGAUUAAAAGAGAAGAGUAACGGAGUUUGUGUUUUUCUAAAACUUAAUAUGAAGUAUUAAGUUUGAUGACCUUUUUUGUCUUUUAACACAAUAAAAACUUAAGAGCUUAAUGAUUUAAGUAUUGUGGUGAACAAAGAAAAAUGUGAAGUUUAAAUUAAAAAAACUCUUAAAAUUAUUCUUGUUGAUAAAAUAAUUCUUCCAAAGUUAAUAAAUAAAUCAAACAUUAUUGAUAAUAGCUUUAAUUAUAGUUGUGAACCUUUGGCUUGGCUGGCUGUAACGUGAAAAUUAGGACAAUAUGCAUUUUAUGGAAGCUAUUCGGACAUUCCUUUUCAUGGGAAACCCUGUAUUAAUCAUCAAUUCCUCAAAUGAAAGUCAUUUCAAAAUUAAUAAUUCCGCGCAGUUAAAAUAAUUGCAAGGAUACAUCAUAUAAUUCCGCUAAUCUGCCCAUGCUAUAACGUGAAUGUAGGAUUAUCAUUAUUAUUAUUAUUAUUUUCUUUAUAAAAGACGAUGUAAUUUUAUUAAAUCAAUAGGAAUAACAUUACAAAGACCGUAAAGGGAGCCAUCCCAAUAAUAAUAUGACAGACUUGAAUAAAACUUCUCCACUGACUUGAGCCAGCCGAAAAGCUUAAAGCAUCUAGAGACAAUUACUCUCGAAAGUAAUUUUUCUAUAAUCCCCUCAACCGCCAUAAUUUUUCCGAAUUUAGUCUAAUGACAUUAAGGACAAAAACUAGCAGCUAACCGGCAUGACUUUUAUAGAGAGAUUAAGAACACCCAUCAAACUCAACUAAGUUUCUGAAAUCAUAAAAGAAAAAACACAGAAAACUCAUCAAGUUUCUGGAAUUUAUUGAACAAAAUAAACCAAAAUAACAAACUAAAAUAACGCUGUCAAAAAGAAAAACCAACCGCACUGCUAUUAAUCUUCCUUUGAAACAUGACAUAGAGAACGUCACUUAAUUGUUCUUAUUUUUAUACAAACGAUAUUUAAAAUAAAAUAAAAAAAGAAUUCACAGAAUCAAUGAUGCAAGAAUAACGGCCCUUGAUCCCUUAAACUACAAACAUCAUGCUCAUUAUUGUAUUCUAGAUGUUCUUUCAAGUUUCAAUGGACAGAGCAACUUAUUGUAAAUUAAUUGGGACAUGCCAUCAAUUGGGAAGAGGAAAGGAACAGUUAUGGAUUUCUAUAAGACUAUAUAACCAUGCAUGGGUGACAUAUAUAUAGAUAUAGGUAGGUAGGUAAGCCAUGGUAUUUAUUUUAUCAGACUAUCAUUUUAUUUAUUUUAUUUUAUUUUUGUUUCUUAUCAGAUUAUCAUUUGAGUUGUUGGAAGACUUUGAAUGGUUUUGGAGACAACUAAAAUUAAUGAUUGAAAAAUGAGUAAACAAACAAACAAACAAAGGCACAUUAAAAAACCCUAAGGGGUUUGUGAUUACAUAAACUAAGAAAUUGAAUACUAUUAGAGUGCAUUUGGAAUGUGAGGCUUCCCAAUAUACAAUUUUUAGUUAUAUUUUCAUUAUAAAAUUGAAAUGUUGACAUAUGAGCUCCUUAUUUCAUAGCAUUUUAUGCAGUUAUAAUUCCAAAGAGAACCAUUUUUCUUUGUUUGCUGAUUUAGCAUGUUGCAGUCAAUGAGGUUUCUCACACACACAAUACCAAAAUGUAAGUCAAGAUUCUUUUUCAUUGAGUUAGACCCCGUUGGCCAAUUCAUUUUUAUUUUCAUGGUUGGAUUUGGGUGUUUAUUUGUUCAAAGAAGCAUCCUUAUUUGUCCCUUUUCUUUUGCAUUUUUCCUUCGAGUCCAAGGGUGCAAACCAUUUUAAUGUUAUCUCAAACACACACAAGUAACAUCAUGUUGAACAUGACCCAAAUUCAGCUUUGCCAUCACCCUCUCCACCUGCAAAAUAAUUAAAACCCAUCAAAAGCACAUAAAAUUUUAAUUAAAUACACUCCCCUAAGCACCUAUAUUGGAUCCUUCCCUUCAAUUUUUGUACAACUCACACCCAAAAAAAAAAAAAAAACCCAGAAAAAUUCUCUAAUCUUAAUUAGCAUGUUCCCUGGUAGCUGUUGGUCACCUAAAUUAAUUCCAUGCCUUUUGAAGCAAACAUGGAGGUUGGAGAAGAGGAGAGCUUUUAAUAAAUAUUUUGGUGGACGGUAAAGUGCGGCUAUACCUAUACUAUCUACUAUCUAUACUAUCUACAAAGAAAGCAACGGCUAUGAUUUUUUUGGACUUAAUUUAAAGUGGAUACUGUUUUUAGUGCUUUCAGACAUCUUUUUAGCUUAAAGUCUAAAUAAUUUUAAAGAUAACCUAAUUUUGUAUUAUGGAUCAUGAUUAACAUUCAUGCUACUGCAAAACCUUUUUUUUUUCUCUUUUUUUUUUUUUGUGUGUGUGGGUAAUCUACCCCACCAUGCAUCUGCCGUCACAUGCCACACAAAAGUAGAUCGACCUACAAAAAUACCUUUCUAAGACAUAUAUAUAUUUUCAAAUUUGCAUCAUUAAUUGGAUAUUGCUAAAGUUUUUUAUUCUCUGCUGCCACCAAACUAAUUAAGCAUCAUCCCAUCUCAGCAAGAAGAAACUUGUGGAGCUUCCCCUUCUCAUAAAUUCUUGACUGUAUUUUUUGGGUUUGGUUCCAUUAUUGGUGAAGUAGGGAGAUGCUUGAGAAAGUGUGUUACCUACCUUCUUCUCUUGGCUUCCUUUUGGCCAAAGGCAAAGCAUGGGGAUGUGGCUUUCCCAAAGUGACAUUGCCAUUGCUAUCAAAUUAUCAAUAGUGGGACAUGGGAUAAAAAGUGCACACAUUUAUUCAUGCCAUACACAUACACAGCCACAAGUUCAAUCAUUUUAAACUCUAGAACACCUAUACCACAAAAUCCACUAUGAGAAUAAAGAAACGCUAAAGGCAUACGACGAAUUAAGUGUAUUAAAAAAUAAACUCAACAUACUCAACUCGAAUUUCUAAUUCAUAUUCAACUCGAAACUUACUUUUGAAAUAACUCUGUGAGUUCAUGUUAACAGAAUUCAUUAAUUGAGCUCAAACGACAAUAUCAACUCAACCCAAGCAAACAAUUUUCUUACCUAUUAUCGGUGGUAGUAUACAACUAGAUGUUUAUCUCUAUCAUAAUAUAUCUAGCUUCAAUCAUAUUGUCAGAAAUAUUCAUAUGAUGUGGCCUUUUAAAAAAAAUACUACUUACCUCAUUCCCUGUAAGAAGAUGCUCAUUCUUCCUACGAAUCAUAAUUUAACAUAUAUACAAAAAUAAUUCAUCAAAAACACAUCCAAAAAAAAAUUACACACAUGUCACACUCAUAUUAACAAGAAUUUACGAGCUCACUCAUACAAAAGAAUGAAGUAUUUUUCAUUUAAAAAGUAAUAAUAUAUAGCUAAAGCGUAAACUUGCCUCAAUAUUUUUAAAUAGACAAAAAAUAUUUUAAACUCAAAGUCAACAUCAUCUUCUAUUCUGAUUUGUUUUUAGCGCAACAGACACAUGGCUUUGAACACUCUCAUACUCAUAGCCCAAGUUACGAAAUUGCCCAUCAUGUUUUCGCGAAAACAACAGUCACGAGAUUUUGUCUCCCCAAAAUAAGUAGAGACGAGGGAGGCCUGCCUGGUAAUUUCAAACAGAGGGGGGAAAAAAACCGAAACGUGUUGUAGAUUUUGUCGGGUAGUAAAUGGGGUUUGUCUGUCGGGUAAGCCUUGGCCACAUAUACGGUUUUAAGUUAUAACCGAACAGAGACGUUCAGUGGGACCCGCCCACCCCACGUUGUUGACGUGUCGGCCUCAGAUUCUUUCCCGGGUUUUUUCUUGUGGGUUUUUAUAAUGUGCGGCAAAAGUUGGAAAAGAUGGUAACGUUAAUUUGUCAGAAGCAGCUGUCGUGGCCCCCACUUAAUUUCGUCACGACUCUCGAGGAUCUGAGCUCUAAAUCGGAGCCGAGGAUUUGGAGUUUGGCGCCUAGCACGCCGCUAAGACCAUGUUUGGUUGCACAACCAGAAAAAGCAAAUACCCAUAUUAAAUUAAAUUUUUUCUGUUUUUUUAAAAGGCACCCAUAUUAAAAAGAAAUUCAAAAUUAGAAAUAAUAUGAGCAAAUUUUGAAUAAAUUAAAUUAAAUUCUCUAAAAUGAUUUCAUACAAGAUUUCCUAACCACAAAUUUAACAAAAUUUUGUAUGUGAUCUAUAAAUACGGCAGAAUAAAGAGAUUUUUUUUUUUAAUCCUCAUCAGCCUUACCUAAAAGUUUUUUUUUUUUUUUUGGGGGGGUCAAGACCUAAAAGUUGUAUUGGUAUCUGAAGUUGUCCCUUUCUCUCUUGUUUAAGGUGCAAGAUAAGUCUAAAAAUCCACAUAAAUAAGUAAAAAAGGUUACAAUCUAGACAAGAAUAUGCCAUUUGUAUAAUAAUGCUUUUUUUUGUUGUUCUUUUGCUAAUGCAUUGUGCAAUGUAUGAUAUAUAAAAACAGUUGUCAUAUGAUUAAAAAACAGUCCAAUAUCUCUCUCUCUCCCCCUCACAUAAGUUUUAGCUUACCUAGGAAAAAAGUGAGAAAUGAGGAGUUAAAAAUCAUUAAAAUGAAUGGCCAUCAAAGUAAAUCUUCAUUGGAAGAAGAAUACACACAUAGUGGUGGGUCUAAAGUCCAACUGGAUAAAGUAAUUAUUGAGCCUUAAAACUUGUUGCUUAAUGUGGCCCAUAGAAUGAGGCAUUUCUUGGAUAUGUACUUGGUAGUUUCUAUCACUAACAAGUUAAAAAGAAAAGUGGAGAAGAUAAAAACAGUGGAGCACUUGAUGCCAUUAUGUCAAAGUGGCUUCAAGCAUCUCUCUUCUUCUUUCUUAAUUUUAUUUUUUCACAAGGAUAUUUAAAUUUAAAUCUACCUUUACCUAGCUCCCCAUCAUCCCCCAUAAUGCAAAAUAUAUCUCUUAAUCAAUAAAAUACAUAUCCUAUGCAGACGUCAUCUAUUUUCUAUUACCUCUUUCUGCUUUCCUUCUUAUUUAUAAUGGCAUCCGCACGACAUCCGGAUAAGAGAAUAAAUGCAUAUAUUGAGUAGGGGAGAAUCGAAUCUAGGACAUUAGGUGCAAUGAUAAAUUCUCUUAACCACUUGAGUUACAAGUUCCUUAUAAUCAACACAUAUAUACUAAUUAUGAGAGAACAUGUGAUUUACAAAAUUCAAAAUUUUGUUUAUAUAUAUAUGUAUAUAUAAAAGAUGGAUGAGCCUACAACAAUUUCUAUUCCAAAUCAAACUAAGCCUAGGAAAGUGUAAUAAUUUUUACAAUGGAGCCAAAAGAAGAAAAAAAUACAAAGGUGAAAAAAGAAAGGUAAAAUGGGCAAAGGUCAAUGCUUGACAAAUAACAUAUGCCCACUUGAAAUAAAAAGUAGUACAAUGUAAGGACAAAAAAAGUUGGGGAAAGAGUUUGUACAAUGUUUGAGUUUGAUGGCUUGGUUUGGUUGAGUUGUGUCCCAAAUUUAUGUAGAGACUUAUUAAUUCUUAAGCAUGAAUAUAAAAACUCCCAAAUGAAGGUCAAACUAAUCAUGGUUUUAAUUUAAGUGAUUACUUUAAACACUGGUUUUAAUUUAGUCCUAUUGCUUGUGCAUUUUCAUAAUGAAUUUAUUCCAUUAUAUUACAUUGGAGGGUAAGGUAUAUAGCCGACACACAUAUUCAUAGAUGCCCCCAUCAUUAAAUAUAUCUUCGAAACACAAUUGCAGAUUAAGAAUCUUGACACAUGUACCCAUUAACUCAGUUCCCGAGUAAUUGCCGAUUUUUUUGUUUAUGUGUGGUAAAAUACUAGACACAAAAAAAGAAAUUUAUUUAUUUAUUUAUCUUCAUAUCUUUUUAUCAGCAAAUAAUGUGGGUGGUAACACAAAACAAUAGUAAAAUAAACAAUACUCCAACAUUAGUUGAGAUCUAAAUUUCAAAAUUUAUUUUUGUUGUCUGUCAUUUUCUCUCUGGAAAAGAAAAAAAUAAGAAGCAAGGAAAGAAGAAAGAAACUGAAGCCUGGGUGGAAGCCUCUCCUCUUCAUUGCCUAUAUUUACUGAAUAAAAAAACACACCUUUCUCUCUCUCUCUCCCACACCUGUACGUCCGUAUACCUGCAUUGCAGCAGGGGGGCAGAUACACCAUCUUAAACACUGAAUGCUGCAGUCUCUUUCAACUAUUACAAAAGUAAAAGAGGCCCAGAGCAGAAAAAUGAAGGAAAAUUAAUAAAUCAAGCUUAAAAAAAAUUAGAAAAUUGGAAAAGCUCUGGUUAUUAUGUAUUGUGGGUAAUUUUGAUAUUGGGUUUUGUUUGCUUUUGCUUAACCUUCCCCCACUAGAUGAUGAGAUAAUGAUGUGCCCCUCAGAUCAAAUGCUGGACACCAAAACUGAAGAGAGAGAAUAAGAGAGUGUGGGGUUAGAAAAGAAAAGAAGAAGAGGGGCACAUGUAUUUUUUUUUUUCUCACUCUGAUAAUUGAUUCCAGUUGGAAUUUUAUGGAAACCAACUCCGGUCCAAUCCUUUUUUUCUUUUCUUUUUAUUUUUGGGUUCAGGCUUUUUCUUUGAAAAUGUAUCACUCAGGAUGCUUCUUUUUGGUUGCACAGAAGUGUGGGUGGUAGAAAGAGCCUGAUAUAGGAAAAGGCCAAUUCUUUCUCUUAUCUCCUUAAUGAUUUCCUCACAGGUUGCCCAAAUAAUAACAGGGGUUUCUUUCAGCUUGUUGUUUGGCAUGAUUGGUAGUACCCUUCAGUGUUCUCCAGAAAAGGUGUGGUUUUGAUGGGUUUUACAUGCUUCACAGAUGUAAAGACAUGAACUUAGUAUUGAACUUGAAAGUGGAAAACCAGAGGAGGUCUGGAGAGAGAAAUGGAGCUGGACCACUUACCUUUUCUGGAUUUGGUGGUUAAUUGGAGAGUUGGGCUUUAGAAACCUGAAGUGGGUUCCAUGCAAUUUCACAUCUUUGUUGAGUCUCUGUCAAAGGUUUGCCAUAAAGCAUUGUUCUUGACGAGUUUAGUGAGCUGGUUCUGGUGAAAAGUAUACUGGGUUUUCAGCAAAUCUGUUUGAAUUUCACUCUGUGGUUUCUUGGUGGUCUGGUUUUCAUGACUUGUCCUGCUGGAGCUGGAAGAAGGUUUCUGUCAAGCUUUCAAGGAUCUUUGUGAAGUUAAAUAGGUGUGUUUUGGUAUCAUGUAUCUGAAUUUCAGGGUCUCUGGCUUUAAUGGCAUUUUACCUGGUAAUUUUAAGUUGAAUAAGGCAACGGAGCCUUUGCAUGGGCCUAAUUGUGUCAGAAAAUGGAGAAGGAAGCUUCUACUUCUCGGACUUUUAGGUUUUAUUACAAUUAUUUGGUUUUUCGUGGGUUUCAAUGAUGGAACUUUGGGGAUGAGAGAGAAGACUCCAGACAUGUCUGAAGGGAAGGCUCGGAUCCUGCAGCAGCAUUUCAAUGUCAGCAAGGACCAGCUUCUUGCUUUAGCUUCCUUAUUCUCCGAAUCAGAUCAGGUGCUGUAUUCAUAGCUCUUAAACUUGCAUCUUUAAGCAUUUUCUUCUUUUUUUCCUUUUGUUUGUUUGAUUUGCAGCUUGUACCUUGUAGUAGAGGGUGCUUAAAGCAAGUGCUUGUCUUUUAAAAACUCCUUGUUUUGUUUUAUCAAUUUGGCUGAACAGACUAGUGUUAAAGUACAACAUGGUGUUCCUUUCCAGAACAAGUUUCACACUUAAAAUGAUCUUUCAGUUGUAUACGGUUUGACUUCAGAGUGAAGAGUAAAAUAAUUUCACAUUAAGAUAGGAAUUGCAAUACUUGGAAGACACGAGACUGAAUUCAGGAAAUUGUUUUCUCUUCUGGUUUUUGGAUAUCCUGUAGUUGGAUUAAAGUCAAUUUGUUAAUCUUAAUUCUCUACGAGAUAGAAAUUGGUGUGUGUAUCUUCUUAUGUUUGUUAUAGCUUGAUGGAUUAAUCCCUUUAAUCAACGGAUUUUCUAGCUGUUUCUCUGUACACUUCUUUUUUUUUGGUCUAAGUAUCUCUGUACACUUCAGUAUUCUUCUUUUUACCCCUUAAGAUUUACAAUGAAUUACUGGGUUUUCCCAAACUUUAAGCUGCUAUAAAACGAUGAAUCUAAUGUACUUCAAUACUCCACAUAUGUAGACUAUAACAGCCCACCAAAAUCUGUAGGUUAUGCUGGAAAAGUAAAGCAACACAAAACAUUUGUGUAUCAACUAUGAGUUAUAGAAUUAUGUUACGAUGCUAUAGUUCUACUUUUGUAGCAAGGAUAUUAACUGUGAUCAGUUGAUUUCGCUAUUUAUUUUCCCGUUCAGAUGAUAACAUGUCACUUUAAGCAAUCAUAUGUAAGGUGCCUGAGCCGUCUCUAUGCAUCAAGAGGAGAAAACUACAUAGUUACAAGAAAAAGCUUUUACACGUCCCCAUUUUUCAACUUCUUCUCAUUAGUCCCCAUGUAUUGCAGAUAGCAUCCCUUGAAUGUACCAAAGAACCAGGACCUGGAAUGACGUUAAGUGAUGACAUUACCUGUGCUCUGAAGGUGCUAUGUUCAGAUAGUCAGGAGUUUCAGAAGCGUCAUAAAUGGGUCACAGAAAAUGUAGAAGCCAGGGACCAAUGCCUGGUUCAAGAUGAGAACAUCCCCAGGGAGCUUCACCUGUCAUUGCUGGAGGACAAAUCCGUAUCAUGCACUCCGCAGUCUACAAUUUCAGCUAAUAGGAUUUGUGAAAAGGUAGAACUUUGAUGCUUAGAUUGAACCAUGGAUGUGUCAUGGUUACAGUUCAGAUACCAAUGUUACCAUAGAUGAUAUGCAUACUGACUACUUGUGUGAAUCAUGAUCAACCCCUUUCCCAACACAUCAAAGGAAAAAAAAAAACGGAAGUGUUAAUUAGGUUUAACGAGCCAGUCUGGACUGGCUUUUUUAAAACAUUGGAAAAGAGAAAAACUAAUUAUGUGUAAUAGGAUUGAUGAUCAAAUGGAGGAGAUUGCACUGUGAUAGAUUUCGUAAAGGAACUUCCUGUCACAAUUGCAUAACUUCUUUCCCAUUUGAGUUGUUGCUAUGAUUCCAUGCCAGGAUCAUGUAUCUAAUACGUAUACUAAAAUUCAAACUUGUGUUUCAGUCUGUGAACAUGUGGGUGAUGGCUUUUCUAUCUCUGUACAAACUCUAUGUAAAUAAUUUGUACCAAUGUUACUAUUCUGGAAGGAACAAAACUCAUCAGAGAUGGCACAAAAUAACUAAAUGUUUUGUUUGUUUGUUUUUCUUUGAUUAGAAAAAUUUCGGAUCAGGGGUUCCGGUGGAGUGUGCAAAAGAUGAUUCUCAGAUGCGUUGCGUCAUGGUAAUACGAUAUUGGUGGGCUUUUGUUGGAUUGAUCUUGAUCUACAAAAUGUCUGGUUUUUCUUUGAAAUUGUGGAGGAACCAAAAACAAAAGCUCGUUCAUGAGUGGCCAUUUACUUGGCAACUUAAAAUGGUUCAAGAGCAGCCAUUGGCUCGGAGGGUGCAGCCAGAGAAACAGCAACAGCAAGCCCAAAGUCCUCCUAAGGUUGCUGGAAAGUGGAGGAAGAAUCUACUAAUAGUAUUUUUCGUAUUUGGAGUCAUUACAUCAUUUUGGUUAUUUUGGCACUUGAAUGAAAGAGAUUUUUUGUGGAGAGAAGAAACUCUUGCCAACAUGUGUGAUGAACGAGCACGGAUGUUGCAGGAUCAAUUUAAUGUGAGCUUGAAUCAUGUUCAUGCUUUGGCUAUUCUUGUCUCCACCUUUCACCAUGGGAAACAUCCCUCAGCAAUUGAUCAGGUAAUUUUUCAUAACUAACUUAGGUUAGUCAUUUAUCCCCUUAGAUAUGCCCAGCUUAGUAGGCACUCUGAGGAUGCAAUUCGAGAAUUUAUAUUUUAUUGAACAAGGAAAGGAAAAUAUAAUGAGUAACUUUACUCUUAUGCAAUGCUAUGCGGUUGUGAAGCGGUGUUUAACCUUGUACAUUAUUCUUUCCACAGAAAACAUUUGGUGAAUACACAGAGAGAACAGCUUUUGAGAGACCCCUUACUAGUGGUGUUGCUUAUGCUUUAAAAGUUACUCAUGCUGAGAGGGAGCAAUUUGAGAAGGAACAUGGAUGGACAAUAAAAAAAAUGGAAACUGAGGACCAGACUCUAGUCCAAGAUUUUCUUCCAGAAAGCUUGGCCCCUGCCCCUAUUCAAGAUGAAUAUGCACCUGUGAUAUUUUCUCAAGAAACUGUCUCCCAUAUUGUCUCUAUUGACAUGAUGUCAGGAAAGGUUUGCUUUUUUAGCUUUGGACUUCCAUAUUACUCUCUCUCUCUCUCUGCUUUUGUUUUAACUUUUUAUUUCUUAGCCACUUCAACUGUACCAUAUGCCUCAGACUAAGCAUUGCUAUCCUUCAUGCCGAAUGAGACCUACAAGAAGGCAGAGAUAGUACAUCUUCUCCAGUUGUAUGCAUUGUAUAUAGUUAUUUAUUAUGACUAGGUGUGUUCUGGGUAAAUUUGAAGACAAUGGUGAUAAUUGAUGUCACUAGGGUGUCUAAGUGCCAAGGUCAAUGAUGUUUUGAUUCUGUUACUUUGGCAUUGUUAUAUGGUUUUGAAAAGACAUUUUUAUGCACCUGUUUGCAUGCUCGAGACUGUUUGGUUUUUGUGGGCCUACUUAAUACUGGUCAGUUAUUUUUGAAUUGUAGUCAGCCUUCUUGAUUGAGAAGUGUAUGUACCAGUUGAGAUCCGACUAUAUGGUAUCAGCAGAUGCCAAGAUUUUGUUUUCUUUGGAAAGAUUUACAUCUACAAGCUGUUCUUGCAGAAGCAUAUUCUGAUAUCCAAUAACUUUUCUGAUAAUCUAAUAUGAAAUGUUACUAAUUAUACAAUGUAGGAAGACCGUGAGAACAUCUUGCGAGCAAGGGCAACUGCAAAGGGAGUACUGACUUCCCCCUUUAAGCUAUUGAAAUCCAAUCACCUGGGAGUUGUACUCACGUUCGCUGUCUAUGAUACUGAUUUGCCUCCAGAUGCCACGUCAGAGCAUCGUAGUCAAGCUACUGUGGGGUAAAUUUGUAACCAUGGAUUUUUCUUGAUUUCUUAUGGCCGUGAUUUGUGUUUUUGAAUUAUUUUGUGUUAGUAUCUAGAAGUUGAAGUUGGUUUUUAUAUGGGGCUUUCAUAAAUAGGUAUCUAGGUGCAUCUUAUGAUGUACCUUCACUGGUGGAGAAGCUCCUGCACCAACUUGCCAGCAAGCAAACAAUUGUUGUGAAUGUUUAUGAUACAACUAAUGCAUCUGCUCCGGUCAACAUGUAUGGUACUGAUGUUAUUGACACUGGCCUGUUGCACAUUAGCAAUCUUGAUUUUGGUGAUCCACAACGCAAGCAUGAAAUGCACUGCAGGUUAGAUCUCAUACAUCAAUUAAUUUAUAUCAGCCCAAAUAUGUGGAAUUGCAUUUUUUUUCUCCAAUCCAAUACAGUUCUCUUUUGGUUGCAGGUUUAAGCAAAAACGUCCGUUUCCUUUGACAGCAGUAAGUGCAUCAAUGGGAGUCCUAGUCAUUACCUUGCUAGUUGGUCAUAUUUUUCAUGCGGCCAUAAGCCGAAUAGCAAAAGUGGAGGCAGACUAUUGUGCGAUGAUGGAACUCAAAGUUCGUGCAGAAGCUGCAGAUGUGGCCAAAUCCCAGGUACAUUUUGUUUAUUAGCAAUAAGAAUUUCCUAUGACUGGAAGGUUUUCUCAUAAAUAUUUAGUCUUAGUCCCCUCUCCCCAAAGAAUAAAGAAAUUUGUUCAAUUGUUUACUUAUUUGUAUAUUACACGAUGUUUCUGUAUCAUCCUGUGGCUGAACAUCUCUCUCUUUUGCAGUUCCUUGCAACUGUUUCCCAUGAGAUCAGGACACCAAUGAAUGGUGUUUUAGGUAAUUGGGAAGUUCUUUAGUGAAACAGUUAGUAUUGUGCAAAACUUUGAAGAUUACAUAAUCUGAUAAUAAUUUCAAUCAACAUUCAGGCAUGCUCCAAAUGCUGAUGGACACUGAUCUAAAACCGAACCAACAGGAUUAUGCUGAGACUGCUCAUGCUAGUGGGAGAGAGCUGAUAUCACUGAUAAAUGAGGUUCUUGAUCAGGCCAAAAUCGAAUCAGGCAGGCUGGAACUUGAAACCGUACCUUUUGAUCUGCGUUCAGUGCUUGAUAAUGUUCUAUCGCUUUUGUCUGGGAAAUCUAAUGAGAAAGGGAUUGAGGUAAAAAAAAAAAAACUAAUUAUAACCUUCUUAGUUGAUUUCUUCUUCUGUGGUUGCUGAUACCAGCUCUUGUGGUUUUGGGUUUUGUUUGGGGUGAGAAAAGUUGGCUGUGUAUGUCUCCAAUAUGGUACCUGAGGUUGUCAUCGGGGAUCCUGGACGCCUUCGGCAGAUAAUUACAAAUCUUGUUGGGAAUUCAAUUAAGGUUAGAUAAGCUUCUUAAUACUUGUUUGCAGAUAACUUCCCUUUUUCUUUCCCUAAAUUGAAAUGAAAGACUACAAGGUGCUAUUUGAGAUGCUCUUGAAGAUAUAACUGAUAUGAUUAUGAUGGUCUUUAACACAAAUAAACUCUGUAUUAUGCUAAAGGUCAGAAAUAAAACAAUAUAAUUGGGAAUUUGGGACUUUUACAUGGUUAGGUCCGCAGUUUCCAUGAAUUAUGCUAAAAUUUAGGCCAAUUGGAUGGUUAUGUUUAGAACCAUCCAUAAUUUGUAGUAUUUUACGCAUAUAAAAAAUGUUACAGGUUUCAUUCAUUACUUAACUGUUGUGCUAAUUGUCUGUUUGUUUGUUUAAAUUGAAGUUCACCCAUGACAAAGGACACAUAUUUGUCUCGGUGCAUCUGGCAGAUGAAGUGAGGGCUCCACCGGAUGUUAUGGACGAAGUUUUAAGACAAGGCUUGAAUUUAGUUGGAGACAUCUCAAACAAAACUUAUAAUACAUUGAGUGGCUUUCCCGUUGUUGAUAGAUGGAAAAGCUGGGAAUGUUUUAAGGCAUUAAGCAGCACAACAAUGGAGGAACCUGAUAUGAUCAAAUUACUAGUAACAGUUGAGGAUACUGGUGUAGGAAUUCCUCUUGAUGCACAAAGUCGCAUUUUCACACCUUUUAUGCAGGCUGAUAGCUCAACUUCUAGAACUUAUGGCGGUACUGGAAUAGGAUUGAGCAUUAGCAAACGUCUGGUAGAUCUCAUGAGUGGGGAGAUAGGUUUUGUGAGUGAACCUGGCACUGGCAGUACCUUUUCAUUUACUGGAUCUUUUGGAAAGGGAGAAAAAAGUUCUCUAGAGACAAAGUGGCAACAGUAUGAACCAGCUGUCUCAGAAUUUGAAGGGCUGAGAGCAUUGGUAAUAGAUAAAAGUAUCAUCCGAACUGAGGUCACAAAAUACCAUGUGCAGAGGUUGGGGAUAUUUGUAGAUACAGCUUCCAGUCUGGAAUCAGCAUGCUCUUAUCUAUCUAAUUCUGGCAAGACAAGGUAAGUUUUACCUUUUCAAGUAUAGUUUAUAGGGAGAUUCACUAUAUACCCAAUAUAGGGGCCCAAAUUAUAAAAAUACCCCUAUAAAAUGGGCUUUAGAAACACACCCAAAGCCCAUUUACAACAUAACAAAAAAGCUUUUAACUUAUAAAUUACGAAACUGCCAUCUAUUUCUUAAAACAAGCCCAACCCAAAAUCUCAUAAAAAUUCCCAAAACACUCAAUAGGGCAUCAAAGGAAUUUAAUAAUCAAUAUUAAAUUCAAUAAAGCCAGCUUUCAUUUUUUGGGUUUUUUUGGGGUUUGUUUAUAGAAAUUCAAUUAUGUAGGGUUUAUUUAUAAUAUUAGUGCUAAGAAUGGGUAUAUCACAUAUUUGAAGUUGCCUUUAAGUCCUGAAACACAUCAUUCAAUACUCAUGGUUUUAAUAUUCUUCUCUAGCAUCUAAUUACCAUAAACAUGACAAAAAGAUUUUUCUUCUAUUUAGUUGAAUAAUGUAAAUUUUCUACUAAUAACUUUGCAACUAGGGGUUUGAUGUUGCUGAUGCAUUGUUAACUGUCUUGCGUGCAGUCUCUCCUCACAGUUGACCAUGGUUCUUAUCGACAAAGAUGUUUGGGAUAAAGAAACUGGUCUUACAUUCAGUCAGUCGCUUAAAGAGCACAGACAAAGCAACAACGUGGAAUCCCUCAUAAACCUUCCGAAGAUAUUUCUCUUGGCUACAUCCAUUACACCUACUGAAUGCAAGGAACUAACAUCUGCUGGUCUUGUAGAUGAAGUAUUGAUCAAGCCUCUUCGGUUAAGUGUCAUAAUUGCUUGCUUCCAAGAUGCCCUUGGAAGUCGUAAGAAGAGGCUUCUAAAUCUUAAAAAACCUACUCUGGGAAAGUUACUGAGAGAGAAGAAAAUUUUGGUGGUGGAUGACAAUGCAGUUAACAGAAGAGUGGCUGAAGGUGCUUUAAAGAAGUAUGGAGCAAUUGUCACCUGUGUGGACAGCGGAAAGGCUGCUUUAUUAAUGCUUAAGCCACCACACAAUUUUGAUGCUUGCUUUAUGGAUCUCCAAAUGCCAGAAAUGGAUGGGUAAUCAAUCUGCCCACUCUUGAUUUUCAAAUUCUUGUUUUAGCUUUGAAUGCAAAGGAAGCUAGAGUACAGAUCCUACAUAGCUAAGGAUCCUAGUAUAGGUCUACCACCUUUCCUGGUUGACAGCAUAUAGAAGACCUGAUGGCAGCCUCACUUGGAAUCAAUGAGGUCAACUUUCAGUGUAUUGGCUGGUAACUUAGAACCAGAAUUUCUUGCUUAUUGGUCAAUUGGUGGCUGAUAUUAGGUGUUUCUUCUAUGUUAAUUCUUCAAGUUUAGGAAGUACUAAUAAAUUGGACAGUGUUUAUGUUAUUGGGUCUCUGAGAUUUUAACUUCAUACUAUCUUGUUCACUCACCUGGGUCAGAGAGUUCUACAUUUUUGUUACACACUUGUAUUAAUAUGAUUGGUUGCUAUGCCAGAUGAUCAUUUUGUAUGAAGGGAAAAGAUAUGGGUUAAAAAUGAAUGUUUUAGGUAUUGGGCAUCUAUGAUGACUGGUUGCCGAUAUAAUAAUCCCAUUUUGAGUAUUGAUUGUAGUUUAAUACUGUCUAAAAUUGUGCAGGUUUGAAGCAACUCGGCUGAUCCGUGGUAUGGAGAGUGAGGUAAAAGAGAAAAUUGCAUCCAAGGAACCAUCAAUUGAGAUGUUUGGCAAUGUCCAAACUUGGCACACGCCAAUAUUGGCUAUGACGGCUGAUGUGAUUCAGGCUUCAAAUGAAGAGUGCAUGAAGUGUGGGAUGGAUGACUAUGUGUCAAAGCCAUUCGAAGAAGAACAGUUAUACUCAGCAGUGGCACGUUUCUUUGAAUCCGGUUAAUAGAGAGCGACUCAUAUGAUUCGUGAAUGUCGUUUUUCAUGGCACCCAGCCAAGUGAUCUCUGUUUUUAUGGGAUUGAUGGCUAGAGUGUCUGCGCUCUUAGCAGCCCUGCCAUGACCUGGUUGAGACUAAUUCUAUCCAUAUUUUUGCUGUCUUCCAACUGCGGUAAUUGUUCAGCAUUUUUCUUCACUGCAUGUUGUUUUUUGGCAUGGGACAUGCAUGUAAGCACCAAAUGCCUCAAGUCUGCAUGAUGCAUUGCAACAAAUGCCUCUUUUUAUUAUAUUAUAAGUCUCACUGAUGGGAGCAGUAGGGUUUAAUAUAGAAUAAAAAACAGUAUCAAAAUAUGUCAACUGUUUAAAAAAAUUUCUUAACCAUAACCAUAACUCGUUCUUUCUUUUCUUUCAGGAAUACUGAGCAUCAGGCCAUGGACAAUGUGUUCUUGUAUGUGUGUAUACAUGGAGACUGGCUGUCAUCAGAUCAAUAUUUACGAUCUUCUUCCAAGCAAAAGAAGAUAGCUGAUGGCCUUCUGUACAUAACCCUCUGCUCUUCGUUUGUAGAUUAGUGCCUUCCACUUUUUCCUUGAAUUUUUUCCUCACUCAUUUGUACAUUCUCCAUUGAGUAGGUGUAGGUUGGCCAGAAACAAAAAUGUUAUAAUGCCAAAACCAUCCAUUUUUUUGUACCUCUGAUGAGUUGAUGAUGGCUGCUUUGACAUUAUUUCAUUACAUUUCUUGUCGACACAUUGAGGGAGAUCGAACAAAACACGAAAGAUGGUGAUAAUCGGAGUUAGAGAACUUGUGUACCUAAGAGUUAGUCUGGCAUUGUGGUAGCAUGUUUUUGUUGAAAUUCUUUCUAGGACAUUACUGUUGAUAUUAUGUAAUGAAGAUAAUGUUGUAGGGUUAUCUUCAGUGUACACUAAAUGUAACAUAUUCUUUUACUAUCAGUAUCAGUGAAUGCAGAAUUGCUUGCUCAGUUGAUAUUGUCAGUAACUUAUCUUCCAGCCUUAUUAAUUCUUGAGAUAUUUAAUUAUAUACAUGUUUUUAGCACUAAUGAUACCUUACAUCAUUUAAUUUCCACAAAUAAAUUUACAAAAAACCCAAAAAAAUGAUAGUUGAUCUUUUUGAAUUUAAUUUUGAUUAUUAAAUUACUUUUAGCUGUAUUGAGUGUUUUGGAUUUUUUAUGAUAUUUUGGGGUUGGGCUUGUUUUAAAAAAUCGAUGGCAGUUUUGUAAUUUAUAAAAAGUUAAAAGCCUCUUUGUUAUGUUGUAAAUGAGUUUUAGGUGUGUUUUUAACGUCCAUCGUAUAUGGUGUUUUUAUAAUUUGGGUCUUUGUAUAAUAGUGAAUUCCCCCUAAUUUUUUUGCUCACUUGGCCUCAAUGUAGACCAAAAAAUUAGUUAAGUACUAUUUUCUUUUAAAAUAAUUUAAAAUGUUAAAAAACAAAUAUAUUAAAAUUUCUCCUUCUGUGAGCUCAACUCAAAAUGCCAUCUCAGCUCUCCACCGCCCCCAGCCUCCUUCUCUAUCUCUCCGCCUCUGUCUCAUACCAAAUUUGGGAUCUGGGUUUAGAAUAAAACCAAAACUGGGUUUAGAAAAAAUUUUAAAAAUUUAAAAAUAAAAUAAUCUUUUAGUAAUUUUAAUCUUCAUAGAGCCCACGUGAGCAAAAACAUGGGAUCCGUGUUUGGAAAGUCAGAAUUUACCAGACUUAUUAACGGUUGACUAACAGAUGGGGUAUUUUGAAAGGUUUUGUGAAGUUUGUGUAUCGGUCAAACGGGUUAAUAAACGUUGAAUAUGCGUUUGUAAUGACCUCCCAUAAUUUGGGGGGUUUACUAUAGUUAAUCCUUAAUUUUUCCUUUUUGUUGUCUUGUUGUCAGAAAAUUCGUUAAAUGAUGAUGUGACACACAUGAGAUUUGAGCUUACUAUUAUGUUAUUUCAUUAUCUAUUUACAAAUUUGGUCAGGAGCCCUCAUGUUGGGCAGAUGAACGUAUGUGAUACUCACUCAUACUUUUUCAUGUAGAUUACCAUCAUUGAGUGUCACUUGGUGUUAUUUCUAAACCUGUCAACACUUUGGUUCAUGUACCUCAUCAUCUCUGAUAGGUCAUGAUUUCCUCUCCUCAUAGCUGAGUGUACUUCUUGUUCAUUUCCGUCAUCUGUAUAAAUUAUGGAUGGUUAGUGUAUAUUUAAUUUGUACGGUUUGAAAAAUAACUUUUUAGGUUAUUGGUUAUAUCCAUUUUUCUAUUGUUAUUUACAACUAUGAUCCAACAUAUUUUAUUUAAUUAAAAGGCCUAGUGUAUUUUGGGAAUCUUGAGAGUAUAGCUCUCGGAUCUAGGUGUUAUAUUUUUUGGGAUCCUCAAGGUACAUGCCACUUUCACAUGUCUUGAUUUUUGGGCGGCCUCGCCCGCCAAGACCGUUUAGGCAUGACCUAAUGGGCAGGCUCGGGUCUUGACAUUUGAAACCUCAGUCUAACCCGAAAAAUUAAAAAAAUCCGCAAAACUUGGCCCAAACCCAAAAAUUUCAUGUCAAGCUGACCCAACCUAGCCGAAUGACAAACACUAGCAGCACCUUGCGCGAGCAGAGCUUAGCUGCCGUAUUUUUCGACCACUUUGCUUAACCCGAGCGAGAAGUGGUGCAAGAUCUGAAAGGAGAUGUUUAAACGCCUUUUUAAAUAAAUAAAUAAAUAAAAAUCUUCUAACAGGCUGAAUGAUGAUCCCACCCAGCAAGUUCUGAACCAACCACUGCCAUUACCCCCUCCCUCAAAUAAAGACCUCUCUCUCAAUUUCCUGCAAUACAGAACCAAAUGCCAAGUCAUAGAGGCUCCAGAACGCAAGAACAACCACAAUAUACCAUCAACAAAAUCCACUUUUUUUUUCUUUUUCUUUUUUAUCAACACAAAGAGUCAUUGUCCCCUAUCUGCUGCCGAUUGGGGUCUACCAAAAAUCACAAACCCACCCCUAAGAAAAAGAGAAAAAAAGAAAAGAAAAAGAAAAUGGCUUUGUCUCCUUCCUCCUUCCCACUCUCCCUUUCUGCGAGUGCCCUGUAAUCUAAUAAUUUGAGUCUAAUUUACCCCUAAAAUUUUAUAUGAAUUUCUUAAUUUGUCCUUAAUUUUGACAGAAAAUUUAACAGAAUUAACGAAAAUACUACUAAUGUAAUGCAAUAUCUAAAUAAAGGACGAUCAUAACAAUUUUUGGGAUUGAAAAAUGAAAACUAAAGUGGGGCCUUAUUUGAGAGAACAUUGCUACAAUUUUGCCUUUAUUUUUUAUUUUUUAGGUUACAUACAUACUAAAAACACUUCUGAUAAAAAUUUAUCAAACACUUUGACUGUUCACAACACUUUUUCAAAUACAGUUAACCAAAUGUCUAGCUGUUUAUUCUUGCAGCAUAGCAAAAUUUUUUUUUUUUUUAAAGCACAGCAAUACCAAACUAGCCUUUAAUGCAGUUGCUAAAACAACAAAUACCGGGAUUUGAUACUAAUCAACGAUUUAAAAGAAACGUAAAUAUUACGAUAAUGUCUAAAAAGAAACGUAAAUAUCAAGAAAACAAACGGUGCCCAUGAUCCAAAACCCUCUUCAAGAUGCACUGGCAACUCCUUAAUUUAUUAAUAAUAGAGAUCUUCAAAAGCACCAAUUUUCCAAGUUUUACACUUCACAUUCUAAUUCUAUAUAUUGGUGGCUCGGGCCAUGACAUUUUCAUUUGGAUAAGCCAUCCAUACUGAAACCUCUCUCUCUCUCUCUCUCAUAUGUCGACGGUUCUGAUAUGGCUAAUUCUUGCUCUGCUCUGUCUCUCACUUGCUCCACCCAAAUCAGGUAAACAAACCAUAAGAAGUUUUCUGAGUUCCAAGCCCAUACAUACAUAUAAUCAGUGUAUAAGCUUCUUAUCUUAUAUGCUAAAGAUAAUGAACUCACAUGCUUAUGUGGCAAGGCAUGCUGAGCAAUUUACAGCACUCAAAUUUAGGCUGAGCACUAGAAUGUUAAUUCUUCUAACAUUUUUGCUCUUCGCUAAUUAUGACUCUCUAAUAAGUAAGAACAAAAUAAUGCUCUUUUCCAGCAAGCAUACAGUACUUGUUUUUAAUGUGUACGCGUAAUGCGUUACAUUGAUCAGGUGCGGAGUUUGAGCAAUGGUGUGUAGCCGACGAACAGACCCCGGAUGAUGAGUUGCAGGCAGCAAUGGAUUGGGCUUGUGGAGGAGGAGGAGCAGAUUGCAGCAAAAUUCAGGUGAACCAACCUUGCUACUUCCCAAACACUCUCAAAGACCAUGCUUCCUAUGCCUUCAACAGCUACUUUCAGAAGUUCAAACACAAAGGUGGAUCUUGCUACUUCAAGGCUGCUGCUCUCAUUACAGAGCUUGAUCCCAGUAAGUCCUUCAAAAUUUCUCUGUUUUUAGCAUAAACCCAUGAACAGUCAUGAACAAUCACAUUGUGUUUUACACAGAAUUUUCUACUUUUAGCAUAAACCCAUGAUUGAUCACAUGUUCUUUGAGUGGAGAAAGUGUUGGUGGGUUGGCCAUGUGAGAUUUGGAUUUGCCUUUUUUUUACUUCUUAGAGAACAUAUGAAGUAGCUUUCAACAGCUGGGCUUGAGUUGUUGGACAGGCCAUAUAUUUCUUUUCUUUUUUCUUUUUUCUUUUUUCCUUUGAUCACGCCAAAAAGAAUGUGACCAUAAUUCACAUGGGAUCUACUAAAACUUGUUUGCUUUGUGAUGUGUCUGAAAAUACACUGCAGAUCACAUGUGCACUACUUGCAUAGUUGAUGUAAGGAUAUAAUAGUCAUUUUUCAAAAUGUUUGCUUGCAGGUCAUGCCUCUUGCCACUAUGAGUUUAUUCCCUAAUUCAAAGGAAAUGCAAGAUCCCAGAUGCCCAUCAUCAAAUUUUAAAGUAGAGAUUUGCUGUUAUGGGAGCAUACAGUCCUGCAGAAAUUGUACUAGUUGGCAGUAGCAGAGUAACACUUUUUUUUUUUGCUGUGCCUUCAAUUGUAAGCUUGCUCAGAAAAUCUAAGUGAGAGUUCAUUUUUGUCUCUAGUUAUAUUAUACUUCAGCUUUCCAUCACCAUAAAACAGAUGUGAUGCCUGUGGCUGUGGGUGGUAAUGUUUUUAUUUCAGUUGAAUUUGGUGUCCUGGUCUUUCAUUUGUUGGACUAGAAUCUGAUGCUCUUUUACUCGAACACAUAAUCGGGGAGGAACUUGCCUAUCCUAGUUACAUUGUUGUUCCGUUUUUAUCUCACUUUCGUGACUAAUCACGCAAGGAAAGAAAUAGAGAGAGGAGAGAUUGUGAAACGGGAAUAGAAUAGGUAAGUAUUUUCUCCUUUGUCGAUAAUACAUUUCAUCCCGGAUCAAAAGCAUGAAUGAUUAUAUAGUAACUCCUCUAUGAACAUGAGCCCUUUUCUUUCAGAGUAUAAUAUGGUAAGACCUCUGUUUGAAUGCACAUUUCAGAGCAGUGACAUCCUUUGUUAGAGGUCGAGCUUCUGUGAAUUCUCAUGUGGGCUUUGGGGCUCCUCAACGUGUCAGGAUUUUUGGUUCUUAUUGGGCCUAUUUGAUCAUCUUCUUAACUUCUUAGUUGUCAGGCUCUCACUAGCAUACUGGGCUUUUCUAUCUGAGGUUGGACUGUUGCUUUCUGUAUUCUGACAACCAAAAAAAUAUAACUCAAAACUCUUUUUUUUUUGGUAAAAAAAAUUUUCAUUCACGCAUGCAAGUUAACGGGGUCUAACCCAUUAGAAAAGGACAUUCACUUAAAAAUUAGUGGUUUCAAAUUCAAAUUCUAUUACAUCUUAGUAGUGUGUGUGUGAGAAAUCUCCUUUCCUUAUAGUUUAAACUAUCGCUAAUUCACACAUGCAAAUUUCAUGUUCAUUACUUUCUUCUGCAUCAAGACGAUUAUGAAACAUGUUAUCCAUGAACAAUUAAAAAGUUAAAGAGCUCAAGCAAUUGAGUAUUAUAAUGCAACAACUGGGUCCAAAAAUAUAGACAGAUAAUCAGUAGAAGGGUGUUGGCAAAUCGAAAAGGGUGGCAAGAGGGGCCUACAUGUGACCCAAAAUGCAAAACAGAAUUAGGGUUUGGACCCAAUUUUGAGUUCGCAAACCCAAGGCCUGCUACUUUGGGGAAGAUGAGGACAAAAUCUGAAAAAAUGCAAAGGCAGAAAUUUUGGUGCUGUCAGUCUCCCAAAAGCCGUGACAUGGUCGGCGUGAUGAUAGGGAAUGUACACACAAAGUCAAGGUUGCAUUAUGGCUUUGGUUCGCUCAUUUGCUUGCUUCAUAGAACUUUGCAAAAUUAAGAUAGGGACAUGGACCAUUCUAGUAGGGACUAGCAAUAAGGGUUUUGUACAAGUUCAAUUUCUGAUUGUUGAUGAAAUACGACCAUUACAUAUACAUAGUUAAAAAUUAAUCAUAAAAUACGUGAAUGAUUGACUGUAUAGUCUUCUCUUUUUAAUUGGAAAUGACCAUGCUCUUACGUAAUUUAUCAUGUGAAAAUUAAUGGACUUCAUGAUUUUGCUCGAAGAUUUGCUUUAGCUUUUGAUUAGUUGACUUGAUUUAUGGGUGAUGCUCAACUGUUUAUCCCAUUCCAACCAAGUUUUCUAUUGCAAAAUGUUGAGGAAUUAUUCCAAAACUAUAGGAGCUUCCUCCACCCAAAACUAGCUUGCUAGCCUGCUAGCUAGGUAUGUGGUUGGGGUCCACCAUUACCAUGUUAGACAGAACAUGAUUCACUUCAAGAAAGUGUUGAUUACUUUUGCUUCUAUGAGAGUUUAUGUUUACAUGUCUUGCUUAAACAUUUUUUAGAAUUGUGUAUAAGUAAGGAGCAUUUUUUUUUUUUUUUUCAGGUUUGAGAAAAAAAUAGUACAUGAUCAUGAAUGCGAGAUAAUGUUGCAUGUAAAGGUCCACGUUUUCUCAUUUUAAAAACGGAAUCUCAAUUUGCACGAGAGAGAGUUGAACGAUUCUCCCACGUUUCGUUAAAAUAAAUUCCCACUCUUGAAGUCAUAUUAUGUGUGUAUUAUAUAUGUAUAUGUAUAUACAUAAAUCACUGUCUACUUGUUCAAUUUAAUGGAUGCAAACGAUGAAAGCACAACAAGAAAACCAUUUGAGAAGAUUACAGGUCCUUUUCACUUAAGCCAUAAGCGAUGCUUACUUGAAGCAAAAUACAACUCAAGCGCUCUCUCUCUCUCUCUCUCUCUCUCUCUCUCUCUGUGGACAAACACAAAAUGCCAAAUGGGGCAUCGAGAAAGGGUGACUGAAGAUAAGAAUGUGGGCCAUUAGGUACACUCACUUAGAGGGGACAAGGAAGCAACAAGAUUCCCUUUUAAUUAGAUUUUGAUUCUGCAAAUUAAACAUAUAUAUGUUUAAGGCUGAGAAUAAUCACUUAAACAUCGAUACAUGGGAUUCAAAGGCCUGAAAUUCUUCUGGGGUGACCCAAAUAAUCCUUCUUUGAUUCGUCAAUUAAUUUAUGCUUCUUCUAGAAUAAGAAUUUUGUGAGAUUUCUGCUGCCCUCAUCUUCUUAUUACUUUCAAAGAAAAAAAACAUUUGUAUCUUUCUAUUAUAUAUUGGCAUGCGCAUAAAGUGAUUGACUGAAACAAGUACUGCAAAUACCAAGUCCCAACAAGGAGGAAGGAAGAGGAGAAAUAAAAUGUGCUCCAAAAUAUUCUAUUCUUUCCUUCCCAAUAGGGUUUAUGAAUUAUAAACCAAUACAUAAUAUUGCUCAAAUAGUGUCAAGAUAGGAUAUUGCGGCAUUCCUACUUAUUGCAAAUUACAAUUUGAUACAUAUUCAAAAAUAAUUCAUUAAAAAUUUUAAAAAAAAAUCUUUACACAUGUUGUCGACCUGUGAUUGGCAAGGAAGUAGAAGCUUCUACUUUCAGAGAAGAAAACAAAUAUUUUUCGGUCAAGAUUUUAUUGAUACAAGUAUAAAUUCACAUGAAUGUCAAAAGAAAUAGACCAGAAGAAUUCCCAUAAAAGUAGUUUACAAAAUACAAUUAUAGUAUAAGAGCAACUUGGUCUUAAGAAAAAGAAAAAGAAUCAGCAUAAUAGAAUACAAUAAAUCAAAUUUACAGAUGGGAUGAAUGGAACCAGAAAAGGGAAGACAAAAAAGGUGGAGCGUGUUAGCUGAAGUGGAAGCACUAUUUUCCUACGUCAUCUAAAUGCGUGACUUUAAUUUUACCCUCUGCUCUACGCUCAACCGCGUAUGUCACUAUCUCAGAUAACCAGAUCAGGACCCAUCUGCUUCAAAAACUAAACCUAAAUUCAACUUAAUUUUCGGUUCUUAAAAUAAAAUAAAAAAAUUUGAGAGAGCGUUUGGUGUCCUAUUUAAAUAGGAAACUCAAAAACUUUGAUUUUUCUUAAAAACAAUGAGUUCUUAAAUCCAUUUUUAAGAUUCAAAAACUUGUUGGUAUGCAACUUGAAAACUGUUUUCAAAUUUUAAAAAUUUGAGAACUUGUGGGUUGUUAGAAAAAAAAUGAAAAAAUAGAUUUUUUUUUGUUUUUAAUAAUUGGGGUGUUUUUUUUUUGUUUCUUAAGUUUGAGUUUUUAAAAAUAGGUAUACUAAACAAAUUUUCUUUGUUUUAGACUCAAAUUCUAUUUUUGAGUUUAAAAAAUUGAAUUCAAAUUGAAUACCAAACAAACCCUAAAUAUUUUGACGUAGAAAUAGUUUCUUAAAUUGCUUCAACUGACCAUUAUACCUAGGUACCUUCUGUCACAUGUUCAAGCAAGCUGUAAGUGAUGAGGAGCAAGGCUGGCUUACUUGAAGGACCAAAACUCAAUUAAUUUUAGCCAUUGGAUUAGUUGAUGAUGAGAUCAUCAAGAACCUCUUGGGCAUGAUGUCAUGCUGACUUGCUCUCCAUGUGUUUGUGGUGAGAAGGAAAUUAAACCAGGUCAGAGUCAUAUCUAUAAUGAGGAAUUCAAAUUUAAGCGCGUCAAAUGGGUUGUGUUAACAUAAAGUAAUAUGAUAUUUAGCAGCUAAUAAUGAUCUACACAGAUUCUAACUUAUCUUGCUAAUCAAAGGGUAUAUUGGUCUUCAUGUCAUAGUAUCUACAUGAAAAGAUCUCACUUGUACUAUUUUAAGCUAGAAAACUCUAGCUCAUUUGUGAAGGUAGCAUUAAAUGAACUAAAUAAAUAUUUAUGUAAUUUUUUUUAGUAUAAGCGAUUGAAUGAGGGGGGUUUACACAAAUAUUAAUUAGGUGUCUCGAAUCUUUGCCUGCAUAAGUGGAAGUAAAAAAUUCAACUAACUGAGUUAUACUCUACUGUCAAUAUUUAUGUACUUUGUUUAAGGAAAUGCUGGUUAGGUUAGGUUUGUGCAUCUAUUUCUUUUUUUUUCUUUUCUUUUUUGGGUCUUUUUUAUGUUGUUGGGUUGGAGAGGCUUGGAGAGCAGAAGGUGGUUGUAAUAAAGGGUUUUUUCCUGUAAUUUCCCCAAGACCCAAAUGCGGCAACUUGCAAACAAAUCAUAGUGGUAUGGUAAUUAUGUAAUUUUGUAUCAAUUAUAGGGCUUGUUUUAAUUGAGAAUUUUUUUAUAGUCCACAGGUGGGAAUUUCUCUAAAGAGGACCCUGAUCUCUUUUGUCUGUCUCACCGAGUCACUCCCCCACUCUCAUAAAAGACUCUGGUAUACAGUGCAAUUCCAAGCUUCAAAUUCAUUCAACCAAGGUAUUCCUGUCAACAAGAUUUGAUGUUUUCAAAGUUGGAAUUCUUUGUCAAACAAACGGUCUAGCAUUUAUUAAUUUUCCAUUAAAAUCCUCUGUUUUUCAUUUGUAAUAGUGGUCUUGCUACACUAGUCAUUUUUUUGGGAAAAUUUUGUGCUUUAAGUAGUGUUGCCAUGGAAGAUUCUCUAUUGCUCAAACUGGGGUGGUGACGUUUCUUCAAGGUAUAUCAGAUAUGAAUUUUGUUUUCUUUUUGGUGGAUUCUAUGAUGCUCUGUUUUCAUGUUCUCUGUUUUUUGCUGGUGAGACUGGCGCUUGAAGUUUGAAAUGGCUUUCACAAGGCAUAUUGUUGUUUUAUGUUCUUGUUUCUGUUUGAGAUUUGAUGACCCUUUUUUUAUGAUUUGAAUGUUUGUGGAAAGCAUCAAACUUUAUCAUUGGCUUGAAACAAAUGGGUUUCUCACAGAACGAAAAUUUGGAUUCCAAUUUGUUGGUGUUGGAGCCAAAGAUUAAGCGCUUUAUGUUUUGCUGAGCAUAUUGAUUGGUCAUUAUUUACUUCCUUUGCUGAUUUUGAAUUCAUCAUGGCAAUUUCUUCUGAGAUGCAUUUGGUUGGAGAGGCUCAUACAUACUUCUUUUAACUUUCGAAAUGGAAAGAAUGCGGCAACGCAAGAUCAUUAAAUUGGUCGAGCUAUAUUGCACCAGAAAUUUUGUGAUCAUUAUCGAUUCAAAUCUAUGUUUGGCAAAACUUUUUUACUUCUUUAGUUGUUUGAUCAUAUUUAUGGAGAUUGGCCACCUAUAGGUUGAUCGCUUUUCAUGUAUACCAUUUUAGAAUUUUAUAUAUUUUUUCUCUGCUUAUCUAGGUAAUAUUCUCUGUUGUAAAUAGCUUACAUUGAAUGUUUCCCAGUUUGAUAAAAAAAUAUUUACCAGUAUUUCUAGUACAAAUAUUUUAAAGGACAUAGAAAUCGAGAAUUGAAAACAAGAACUAGAAUUGUCAGAGAACAAUUAGGCUAUUCUACACUAGGCUGAAAUUGUCCUUUAUGGUUUUCCUGCAGAUUAUGCUGUGUUUUGCCCUCUUUGUUCCAGAUAUCAGUGUAACCAAGGUCUCUUGUUGUCAUACAGAUUAUGUUUCUGGCAAGAGAAUUCAAGGCCUCCUAUGCUGCUGAAAUGGAGACUGAAUAACACCAAAUAGAGGGACCGGACAAAGUCAACAAUCAGACUAUUCUUCAAUGCAAGCAUCAAAGCAUCACAGAAGUUCAGGCAUGUCGAACCGGUUGUGUUAUCAGCCAGUCCAAGAAGUAGAAGCCUACUGCUUGCCUCGGUUCCAAACUUUGGACCCCCAGGUGCAUUACAACAAUGAGAGCAGCCAAAGUACCGUCUUCUCAGCUCAGAAUUUCCAUAUUAAGUACUGCACUUUGGAGUCUUCCGCAGCAAAUGGCAGCUACACUGUCUAUAACUCCCCAUCAACUGUCAAUUUCUCACCCAACGGAAGCCCAAUGUCACAGCAAGAUUCUCACUCAUAUCCACCACCUGACCAGUACCAUUCCCCUGACCAGAAUUAUAGCUCUCCGAUAAGCGGAUCCUGCAUUACCGAUGAUGCAACCGACUUCAAGUACAAGCUGAAACAGUUAGAAACUGUAAUGCUAGGUCCUGAUUCCAAUAUUCUUGACAACUAUUGCAGCACCUUUCAGAAUGGGACUAGCAAUACCCUGCCAGAAACGGAUAGCUGGGGACAGAUUAUGGAUUCAAUCUCUAAAAGGGAUUUAAAACAAGUCCUCAUUUUCUGUGCAAAAGCAGUAGCAGAUAAUGAUCUUUUACUGGCACAAUGGAUGAUGGAUGAACUACGCCAGAUGGUGUCGGUUUCUGGUGAGCCAAUUCAAAGGCUGGGAGCAUAUUUGUUGGAAGGACUAGUUGCAAGGAGGGCAUCCUCAGGGAGUAACAUCUACAAAGCAUUGAGAUGCAAAGAACCAGCAAGUUCAGAACUCCUCUCCUACAUGCAUAUUCUUUAUGAGGUUUGCCCCUACUUCAAAUUCGGGUACAUGUCUGCAAAUGGAGCCAUUGCAGAAGCCAUGAAGGAUGAAAAUAGAGUUCACAUAAUUGAUUUCCAAAUUGGACAGGGGAGUCAGUGGCUCACUCUAAUCCAGGCCUUUGCAGCCAGACCUGGUGGACCACCUCACAUCCGCAUAACAGGCAUCGACGACUCCAUGUCAGCUUAUGCCCGCGGAGGAGGACUAAAUAUUGUAGGGAAGAGGCUAUCUAAGCUUGCCGAGUUGUUCAAAGUGCCAUUUGAGUUCCAUGCUGCUGCCAUGUCUGGUUGCGAGGUUCAGCUGAAGCAUCUUGGUGUUCGACCUGGGGAGGCAUUGGCUAUGAACUUUGCAUUCAUGCUGCACCACAUGCCAGAUGAGAGUGUCAGCACUCAGAAUCAUCGCGACCGGUUGUUGAGGUUGGUUAAGAGCCUGUCUCCAAAGGUAGUGACCCUUGUUGAACAAGAAUCUAACACAAACACUGCUGCAUUCUUUCCACGGUUUGUGGAAACACUAAAUUACUACACGGCUAUGUUCGAGUCAAUUGAUGUUACUCUUCCAAGGGAUCAUAAGGAAAGGAUCAAUGUAGAGCAACACUGCUUGGCUAGGGAGGUGGUUAACAUAAUCGCAUGCGAGGGCGUUGAGAGGGUGGAAAGACAUGAGCUUCUUGGGAAGUGGAGGUUGCGGUUCACAAUGGCUGGAUUUACUCCAUACCCUUUAAGCUCUUUGGUAAAUGCCACCAUCAAGACACUGCUAGACAACUACUCUGACAAAUAUAGGCUUCAAGAGAGAGAUGGAGCUCUCUAUCUUGGCUGGAAGAACAGAGAUUUGGUUGCUUCUUGUGCCUGGAAGUGCAAACCGAGCACAAAUUAAAGCAUUUUUUCUUGGAGUGGAGGCAAGGCAAGCUUAGAAUAGAACAUGUUUUUUCUUUUUCAAUCUGUUUGUACACUUAUUAGCUGCUAACUGCUUAUGAGAAGGGUGGCAUCAACUGUGCACCCUUCCAUAAAUUGAAGUUAGCCGUUUUCUGUGUCCAUUUCAUGCCAUCAGACCUUUUGGUUUGGAUGGCUGAGAGAGAGAACUGAUUUCAGGAGGCAUCGGGUUUGUACAUGGUUGGAGUAACCGGCACAAAUGCUUCGUUUUCCCCCCUUCUUUUGCUGUUGUUUUUCUUUUCGAGGCAGUUUAAAUUGAAUAGAGUCAAAUAAAGAGAAUUGAAAAUGAUGGAGUAACCAUGCAUACUCUAGUUUGGUCUUCAGCAUAUCCAAGUUACAGGAUUUUGAAUCAAAUACUACAAGGGUUUGUGCACAAAAACAGCUAUCAGAUAUCAAGUGCCACUGAGUACUUGCUUAGUCUAAUCUACGUCUUUGAGUUUAUUCAAUCCAUAUAAAUAAUUUACACAGCUAUUGUUAGUCUUCCAAUCUGCAGUUGAACACCAUUGCCAUUCCACCAAAUCCUACCCUCCAACCAAGAGUACAUUCCCCCACCGGCAUCCUCUCUCCCGAAAAGACAAAUAGAGGAUGAAAGAAUAAGAUAUACCCCUAGCACCAAGCAGGUCCUGAUACAUUAAUACAUUAUUUAGGGUCUAGAUGAAUGUGGAUCCAGCAUUGCAGGUUAACUUUAGACAGGUUCUGCUUUUGGAUUUUUUUGCUCCGGUGAAUUACUUUCUGGACACAGAUUGCCGUGAACGACCGUAUCAAUGCAGGCGUUGUUGCCUUCUGAUUUAAUUCCUGACUCGCCAUUUUGCAAUUCAUUAGCCCUAGGAACAAUUAUAUCAGGGGCAUCACUUUCUUCUGUGGUACAUGCUUUGCCAACCACUUGCUCAUUUAAUUUUCUUUCAGGACCCAGAGCAGAAUCAACGACCAUAUCACAGCCAGCAACAUCACUUGAUUUAGUUCUUGGCUCAACAUUAAGUUGCUUGUUUGGUUUAUCUUCGUGUUUUGGGCUAGUAUCAUGGCAGACGGCAUUCCCAUCUGAUGUAGUGCCAGACUCACCAUUACGGGCCGUCGUAAUCACAUUUGAUGCUGCUGCAUUGUGGGUCACAGUCCUUGUGGGUGGCAUAUCAUGAUCGUGUUGCCCCUCAUAUGUGGCUAUAACAACUUUUGAAUCAUGAGACGCCCUCUCUACAUGUUUCUUAACAGGGCACCCAGGAUUUGAGCAUCUGUAGUAACUCCUAUGCAAUGCAAGUGCAGAAGCAGAGCAGAGUGAGCAAAAAAUUACACCAAAGAAAAUAGGACAGAAAAAUUAAAACCAAGGAGAUUAAUUUCAAAUUUUCAAAACAUAAACAAUCUCGUCAACAUCCUUCUCCAAGAUACAUACCAAGGAAGACAAAACUAAAUAAAACCAGAAGCAGGACAUGUUUGAACAAAGCUUACAGAUGCAUAGUGAAUCAUUUACCCAGUUGCCCUAUUGUCUAAGAAGUAAUCGGAUCUACUUCUUCCGAUUUAUCAUCAAAGCAAGAUACAAGACUACAGAAGUAUAUGCAAGUUAAAUGAAGGAAAACAAUGCCUUAUUUGGUCUAGGCAGUUCCUGCAUAGGAAAUGGUUCCAUGGAGGCACAAAAGUCUCGGCACGUGUGUAUUUUAUGAAAAUUUUUUUAUUAAGGCACUUUGACAGACAUUGGUUUGCACCAUUAGACCAUAUCCUCAAUUAAGUCCUUAGUCCAGAUCAGGGGUGUCAUAAAGCAUGUAAAUUACUUCCACCGGAUACUAUCAUAUUGCUGCAGUUGCAGUUUGAUGCUACUAAGCAGUUGCAAACUUGCAAUGAUCACUACAUUUAAAAUUUUCUUCCUUCCCCUUGCUUGCAAGUAUCAAGCAGAAAUAUUAGGCUCACAGGCCAAAACUCUUAAUGUAAACUUAGCCUGCAUAAGCAGUGAAUCUAUCAAAACCAUGAUCUAUACAUUAUUAUAUUUCCAAAACAAGGAGCAGGGUGGCAAAAUUCAGGUACACACCUAAUAUAAAGAGUUAAUACAUGCUACCAUUAAACUGAUAUGUACCUUGGAUUUGGAUUGCCUUUUACUAACUUCUGCCCAUAUUUGCGCCACCUGUAGCCAUCAUUCACUAUAUCAGCCUCACUCAUAGUCUGAACAACAACACGCGGUUCACCAGCUGGCUUAUCCACCGGAAUUGAGUUGCCAUUAUGCUUUUCCUUCUUCCUGUUUUUUUUUUUUUUUUUUUUCCAGAAUGGCAGUUAAACAAAGGUGAAUACCAUAUACCACUACACACGAAAAUCCAAAAUAGCUAAGAAUGAACAUACUGUCUUUUUGAGUCUGGAUCACCAUCUCUGGUUCUAUUUGAUUGAGAGAGCACUCUCUGCACACCUUCAUUAUCUGCAACGGUUGAUAGCUGAGAGGGAUCCACUGGCUCAAUCUGGUUAGAUGUGUGGCCAUGCACAUCCGAUGGUUUGCCUUCAAAUACAAGGUCAUCAAAUAAAAAUCAAACAAGAUUGGGUACUGUAACCAGAACUAGAUAAUAACUAAGUUUCAUUCUCACCUUCGACACCAGUUAACAAAAGCUCUUCUGGUCUUUCUUCGACAAUGGACACGAGAAAACUAACAGCUACAGGGACGCUAACUUGAGCUUUAGGAUGUCCAUGCUCACCAAAGUAAACAGUAUCUGUUAUCUGCCCAUUAUGUGUGCGCUCCACUUGCCUCUUCACUGGACAUUUUGGAUGCGUACAUCUGUAGUAACUUCUUACAUAUGCAUUUCCCUUAACAAGUUUCUGGCCGUAUUUUCUCCAGUGAUAACCAUCCUCUAACCCUCUCUCUCGUGCUGUAGAUGGAGUGCUUCCUUCUUGACCAGAUCGCAAGACAAGGGCAGAGGUUUCAGGGGUUUGUGGUGCUUUCUCAGAUGUUAAAGACGUAACACUUCCUUCUUGAUUUGAUUGAGAUGCAGUACCAACACCAUCAGGCAGCUGUAACGAUUUCUCAGGUAUUAGAGACUGAACAUUUCCUCUAUGAUCUGAUUGCAGGGGACAGAUCCCAUUAUCAGGAUUUUGAUGUGGAGCAUGAAUUUCACUAUUUGAACUCUCUUUCUUCGGUACUAUAUCAGAGGCAAUUUUAUCUGUCCCAGGUUCCCCUAGAGAAAUCAUGUGAGCUUGAUUCUUGUAUCAGAUACAGAAGAGCCUGCACUUCAACUCACGGUGCCAUCAUCACAAUUGACCUCGGCCUCAAAAAGAUGCACAUACCACAAGUUGUUCAACUCUGAUCAUGGAAAGUAAGGACACGAAUGGCGGUCAGGACUUCCUAGCUUCAGAACAGAUCAGAACAGUCAUAAGGUCAUGUCCCAAGACCUAAUUUUAUUUGAACAAAGAUCAUGAACAGCACAAUUGUAUGGUUUUCAGGGGAAACAAAAUUAAUGAAAGCGGACUCUCCUAUCAAUGUGAAGGGAUGUGCACAUAUAUGCAUAUUUGUGCGUGGGUGCUCGGGUGUAUACACGAAUAUAUACUGUUUCAAUUUGGUUUGAGCGUAUUAUUAAAGUAGUAGUAGAAGCAGUACUGGUACUUAUAUUUCAAAAUUUGCCACUUUUUAGAAGAAGAAAAAAACCUCAAAUUUGCCAAAAGAGGCAUGAGAAACCACCAUAAACAAAAUUUCAAAUCUUUUGUUCCAUCUAUUACUCUUAGGGGGAAAAAAAUUACCACUCAAUAAUUACCCAGAAAUAUUUUAGAAUAUACCCUCCAUCACAGUCAAGGAGAAACAAAAAGUUGAUGGCUUUAAAGAAUUUAACUAUUGAGUCAAACAAUCCUACUACUACUAGCUCAGUUCAGGAGAAGUUUUGGGUAACUGGAAGUAAAAAGAUGGAAAAUCCAAGGACUUGGCUACCCUCUAUUUUUCACACUUUCUCAUCACCCAAACAAAGCAUAUGCUAAUUAAGAGCUACAACUACAGCAAAACAAUAAAAUUUAACGACAAUAAAAAAAAACCAAAUCACAUGAGCUCAGGUCAAUUAUAUUUAAAAAAUAUGAAAAAAGUUUAAAUCAAAUAAUUAUAAUAAUCAUCUGCAAACCAUCUAUUUUGAAGCUCAAAUUACAAACCCUAUAAAUUUCGCGAUCAGGUGCUCCAAUUCCACGUGAAGCCGCCGGCUUUAGAUUGAAUCAGAGCCGUAGAUCACGCCGUUGCUGGGGAUUGAGCUGAAGGUAAGGAGCUGGGUGCAGUGAGAGACGACGAGUCGAAGCUCUGAGGUUUUCCAAAAGUCUAAUCCGUAAUACGAUGAAGGGAGAAAGAGGGGGAGGAGAAAUUUGCUGGCUGCGACGAGGUGCAGAGAGGAAUCUUUGUUCCCUGGUUGUCUGGGGCUUUGAUUGGUUAUAAGCCGUUGGAAUCUUUAAGCAGGGAAAGCAUGCGGGCCAUAGGCUGGUUCUCCUUGGACUUGGACUUUGGUUUUUGGACCGUCAUAACGCCAUUUCCGGUGUGUAAAUAAAACCGUGGCGCUUGGCCCAUUUUAAAAUCACUUUGAUGCCAAAUUUUAUAUUUUCUUUUCUAACGACGUUAAUUUAAUUAUUAAUUAUUAUUUUAAUACAAGUCAUAAUUUAAAUUACUUUAAAAAUUAAUAUGAUUUAUGGAGGGAGAAAUUUGAAUUUCGAUGGAAGGUGGCAGGUUCACUAUCAUAGCCAAUGACCUAACGAGAAAGAUUUUAUUUGAGAAUAUAUGAGUUAAGUCAAUUGAUCAAGACAGUGUGUCACAUGAGUUCAAUUCAUCUCUCUAUACAUCAAAAUAAUUUAGAUAAUAAUUUGAACUUGGAAUAUAGCACUUGGAAGUGCUCAUGUGCUUUGUGAAGAAAGCAUUAACAAUGUUUUUAAAGCAUACGUAAUGGUUGCUCAACAAUUUAUUUCAGUUCAGUUUAAUAGUUCAAUUUAUUGAACUUUUUUAGUAGUUAUUGAAUUGAACUGCACUUUCACUUACAGUGGUGCAGUUCAAUAGCUUACAAAUUAAAAACUAUAUCUUUUUAAAUAAUAACAUAAAAUAAAAUGAAUAAAGUUAAUUACAAUAAGAAUUAUACAAUGAAAAUGGUUUCAAAUAUAUCUUUAAAAAGAGACCAAUUUUGAAUAUAUAAUUUUAAAAAUUAGUAACAAAAUUUUCUUUGGUUGGUGAUAAUAUUAUAUUAACAUUUUUUAUACGAAUAAUUUGGAAGUUGAGAUUAAAUGAGAAUACAUCAAAGCACUUCUUUUUCAGGUUAUUGCAUAAUAAAAUUGAAUAUGAAUAAGAAAAAUUGAAUAUGGUUAAGCAUAAUGAUUUGUACUUGGUAUAUAGCACUUGGAAGUGCUCGUGUGCUUCGUGAAGAAAGCAUUAACAAUGUCUUAGAGCAUGGAGAACUUGAGCCAUGACCUUUCUUCGAAGAAGUAAUUGCUCCAAACCACUUCACUAAUGUUUGCAGUUGAUAUUGUUAAUUAAAUACAUCACACGUCCUAUUGUUUUCUUCAAGUCCUGCCAAAACAAAGACUUGACCACAUAGAAAUCAAAACAAAAAGACUUGACCACAUUGAAACCAAAACAAAAAGACUUGACCACAUUGAAACCAAGCAAAAUUCUUAAUACAACUAUAAACUCUAAAAUCUAUAAAUACAACUCUCCUACACACUCUUUACUCACAACUCUUUCACCACAAAUUUUCUUGCUCAGUCGCUCCAUAGAGAGAGGCUAGUAUACAAAUCAGUGAAAACUUUGAGGAAAAAAAAAGUAAUAGCUAAUUUAAAUUAAAUGUAAUGGAAAAAUUUUAAAGUAAAUAUAAUGUUGUCUAUGUGUUAAAAAGAGAGAGGUUGUGGAGUUAUUAUAGUGAGCCAACUUAUUAAAAUGAAUUUCAUUUCAUAGUUAUAAAAUGAACUAAACUUUGCCACUGCAAGUCCAAAGCUCAAUUUAUUGAAAUAAAAUUGAAAUAACCCUCAUCAUUGCGGAUUCUCUUAAAAUUUUGUUGUCAAAAACAUUUAUAAUUGUUUUUUUUUUUUUGAAAAAACAUUUUUAAUUGUUUAAAUUCGUUUGGUACACAGGCUUGGCUUGGACUGGCUUGGACUAAAUUUAAUACCAUGUUUGUUUCAUUUAAUUCUAGUCUUAGAUGUGAUUGCUAAUACCCGGCCCACCAAAAACACCUCCUUAGGAGGGGACUACUAAUCCCAUGUAGAAAGGGAGGAUUAGCUAGUCCUAUGUUUACCAAUGUAUGAGAUGCAUAUAUUAUAUUGUAAUACUAAUAACAUAUAUUACUAUUAUUAUUAUUAUUACAUACACAUAUACUAUAAUGUACAUAUAUACAUGUAUAUACACAUAUACAAGUAUAUAUAUAUACACACUAUAUUAUUAUUAUAAUAUACUCAUAUACACAUACAUAUUAAUAUUAUAAUAAUAGCAUACAUGUAUAUAUGUAAUAUAUAUUAUAUUAUAUAUUAAUGUACAUAUAUACACAUAUAUACAUGUAUAUAUAAACACAUAUAUACAUAUAUAAUAUAUAAAUACAUAUAGAUAUAUACACGUAUAUUAUUAUUAUAAUAUACCCAUAUACACAUGCAUAUUAAUAUUAUAAUAAUAGCAUACAUGUAUAUAUGUAAUAUAUAUAUAUUAUUAUAAUACAUAUAUAUAUAUAUAUAAGUAUAUAUACAUAUAUGUGUAUAUAUUAUACCCAUGUAUGUAUUAUAAUAUACAUAUACACACGUAUAUACACAUAUACAUUAUAUAUUUAUACUAUAUGUAUAUAUAUUAUAAUAUACAUAUAUACACGUAUAUACAUGUAUAUUAUUAUUAUAACAUACCCAUAUAUAUUAUCUAUUAUAAUAUACAUAUGUAUAUGUAUAUGUAUUAUACCCAUGUAUAUAUUAUAAUAUAUAGAUACACCUAUAUACACAUAUAUUACAUACAUGUAUAUACGUAUAUAUAUGUAUAUUAUAAUAUAUAAUAUAUAUACAUAUAAUAUACAUAUAUACACCUAUAUACACUUAUAUAUGUGUGUACGUUUAUAUUAUUUAAAAUAUAUAAUAUUAUUAUAAUAUACUUAUAUACAUGUAUAUACAUAUAUAUAUAUUAUAUGUAUGUAUAUAUACAUAUAUAUUAUAAAAUACAUAUAUACAUAUAUAUAUAUUUUUUAAAUAAAAAAAAUUAUAGUCCUAGUCCAAGCAUACACCAAACGCAGGAUAAGUGUUAUCCAACUUAGACCAAACUAAGCCAAGCCAAGCCAGUCCCUAAGUAUAGUCCAUGCCAAGACAGUCAUGUGUACCAAACGAGCCCAGCCAUUGCCUUGAUUUAAAACCUCAACUAUUGACCAAACAUGCGGGUUAAAAAUGUAUUUCCAUCAUCUUUCCUUGUUAUUCCAGGGAAAUACCGUACGCGCGUCGCGCAAUUUAGGACAUACACCGCCACAUAGAUUUGCACGCGUUUCCUCCCUUUUGACAAAAUCAGCCCCCAAUUUCCAAUCCAGGCACGGAGAGGAAAGAGCAAACCCUAAACCUAAAAGGAAAGUUCGUCCUUUAAUUCUCGCCAAAACCCUCAAUUUCACACUCAAUUGCAAUCUAACCUUCUCAUUCUAUCACAAAUCGUAACCCCAAUUCUCAAGAAGAAUGCUUCUCACUCCGGGUCACUCUCCUCGCCACCUCUCAUCCCCUUCACCGUCUGCAAUUUCCGAUAGUUCCGUCCAAACCCCAAGAAGUUCCGCCCAAAUCACUUCCAGAAACCCUAGAGGCCAUCCAACAGUCCUCGACGAAGACACCUACGUCGACGCGAUCGAGAAGAUCAUCGAAAGGGACUUCUUUCCCGAUAUCUCGAAGCUUCGGGACCGCCUUGACUGGCUUGAAGCGAUCAAGACCCGCGACCCGGUUCAGAUCCGCGAUGCCCAGUUGAAGAUCAUUGAGCGCCGCGGCAAGAAGGUAACUCAUAAUCCUGACCCUGAUGGUAGAACCCCUGGUUCGACUUUUAUGCGUAGUUUCACCCCUGCCGAUGAAUUUGAUGGUAAAACCCCGAAAACUCCCGGUGUUUCAAAUAUGGGAUUGUUUGGUGAGGUGGAGUCUAACGGGGCUGAUGAUGGGGUAGAGGCCUCGUUGUCGCUCGACCAGUUUUUUAGGCGGUAUACGAGUGAGGACAAUCAGAGUUUUUCAAAUAUUAUGGAGAAGGUGAAUAGGAAGAGGAAGGAGAGAUAUGAGUAUUUGACAGAAGGAGAAAAGGAGGAUGUUAAAUCGAUUGAGGAUGCCAAGAGGGAUAGGAUUACAGAUGGGUAUGGGACGUCUGAUCAGCCCCCCUUUACACUGGAAGGGUGCAAGUUUACGGCAAAGAAUUUGCUGAUGUACCAUCCAGCUGAUCGCGGUGAGGCCCCGUUGACAACAGAGGAACGGGCAGUUAGGAUGAAGUGUUUGGAGAAGGAGAUUAGUCGAGCCAAUACUCGAUUGCAUGGCAAGAUGCUGGAUUCUAGGCCAAAGGAGGAUGGUAUGGCUGAGGUUCUUUAUACCACAGUUGCAGGUGCAACCCCGGUUAUUAUGGAUAGGGAUGGGGAUAAGUUUAAGAAGUAUGAUUUGGAUGAUUUGAGGAAGACCCCGAAUCCGUUUUAUGUGGAAUCUGGGAAGAAAGCGGAGAAUGGUUAUAGUUUUGUGCGGACACCAUCACCAGCACCGGGUGUUGAUGAAUCUCCAUUUAUUACAUGGGGUGAAAUUGAAGGAACGCCCCUGAGGUUGGACCUGGAGGACACUCCGAUUGAUGUUGGCGGUGGUGAAGGGCCUCAUUAUAGGAUCCCAUGUCCGCCUGUAAGAGAUGAAAAGGCUCACUCACUGUCAAGAGAAGCUGCACGCAAAUUGAGGGAAAGGUCAAAAAUGUUUCAGAAGCCACCAUUGCCAACGCCCUCUAGAGGUGGCAGUGCCAGUCCGAGUGUGCGGACGCUUUCUCCCGCUGCCCAGAAGUUUGUCAGGAAUGCAAUUGCCAAGUCUUCAUCUUCUGUUGAUGAAACUCUUCGUGCCAGUUACAGAGGUACAAGUCCUGGGUUUUCUACGCCUAAAGGUGGGAGGAGUAUGUCGAGGUUGGGAAGAGAUGCUAGUAUCAUUUCAAGAUCACCAUCUCCAAGGGUGGACUCUAAUCCUCCUUGGUAAUUGGGAGUUUUCUUUGUUUAGAAUCAAUGCUUCGUUUGGCACUGGAGAAGCCUUGUGUGUUUUAACCAUAUAUGUAAAAAUUCAGUAGUUUCUCUCUAUGUUGAUAAGUGGAAGAUUAUUAUAACAAGCUCCAAAUAUUCUAGAUUUCCAUGCUUGUUUUUAACAAUGUCAGUUUCGAUUUCGUACUUCACUACUUGUUCCAUUGAAGGUCUUUUAUAUGAAAUGCAAUAAAUUUAGGAUAUAAGUUUUGUUCAAACUUCUGUCAGUAUUUCAGUUUUAGAUUGUGAUAUGUUGUAUCGAUUUCAUCGUGUUCCUCUUCACAAAGUCAUUAAGCUCCAAUCCAUAUGUGUGUUUGGAAAGUUACUUUAAGCGCUGAUGGAAAAUAUAAUACAGAGAACUAUUACUUGUUGAGUAGCAAAAAUCUUAAUGGUAACUAGCUACUGUUGUUAGUGGGGUUAUGACUUGGUAGUGGAUGUAGUUUCAAAAUGUUGGAUUAAAUCUUGGUACCAUUGCUGGAUGAUUCUUUUGGUUGAUGUGGAUUGCUUGUGUUGUCAUUCAACAUUUUGCUGUAUUUCAGUAUUGCAGCAGAGUCUUAUCAUGCUGUUGAGGAUAUGAACUUUGUCUGGUCAUUCUGUAGAGAGAGAGAUUCAUAAGGUUUUGCUGGUCUAUGGGGGAUGCAUAAUCCUCUCGUCUAAUAUGGAGUUGGAGGACUCUAUUAGAAUCACUCAUUGUCGUCGAAAAAUCGACCUGCAAAUCUUGGCUGCCUGAAUCUGCCUCAACCUUUCAAACUUUUAUGAACUGGUCAUUAAAGUUGAGAUCAUUGUACUUGCAUGGACUGAAGUCGGCAUCUGCUAUCCGUGCCUCUCGGAGUCCUUCUAAAAGGUCAGAUAGAGUGUUUGGAAAAUCUUGGCUGGGUUCUGGCACGGGUGCUACGUGAAGUUUGAGCAGUAAGGGAGGCUCUUUUAAUUUGGUCACUCACAUCUUUCAUUUUACUUUUAUUGCCUACUCUGUCUGCUUGACCAUCAUGGGAGCUCUUUGAUUUGUUUUCGACUUCUUCAUGGACCAGCCAUCGACUUUUACAGUUGGAUACUUUCACAAGCUUCACAUGCCAACUGAUUCUUCUAUGUCCGCACAAUAAUGCUAAAAAAAAAUUACCAAAAUGCUUAACAAAUUUGAACAUUAUUUGCAAAAUGACCAAAUUGAAUACUUGUUUGACAGGCCGUAAUGAGAUAUUUCCUCUCCUGCAAAUCACAUUUUAACAUAUGUAUAAAAAUAAUUCAUAAAAAACAUAAAAAGAAAAACAUUUAUGCACAUAUGAAAUUGUUAUUGACAGUGGCAGGAAUGUAGGAGUUUCUCGAAAUAUGUAAAGUAUUUUUCUUCUCAAAAUGGAAAAACAACCAAAAUAAUACAUAAAUAAACAAAAAUAAAAGAAAAAGAAAGAAUAAAAAUCUCUAACAGCGUAACCUUCUUUAUAUUCUCGAUACGAAACAACUGAGAAACUUGACCAGAAAAAACAGCUGAGAAAAGCGAAGUUGAAGUGGUUAUUCGAUCUACGAAAUGACGUCGUUAGUAGAAACUGAUCCCGCUUCAAGGCAGUUAUAAAUAGAGCCGUCCCUUUACCACCAUUUCUCUCACUCUCUCUUCGCUUCACAGAGCUUCCCUGUUAUUUGCCUUUACCAAAGAAUCUCAAGGUACUCUCUCUCUCUCUCUCUCUCUCUCUCUCUCUCUCUCUCUUGAAGUGCAGGUAGUAUGCAUGUAUGUAUGAGAAAUUGAGACCUGUAAUCGUUGCUUAGCCUGCAUAAGAAUCUAUUUGAUGCAUUUAGCACUUGCAGUUUCUGACGAUCUUUCUAAGAAUUGGAUUUAAAUUCAUCUUCAGCAUGAUUAGCGCUUCAAUUUCAGCCUUUCUUCUCCUUCUUUCGCUCUGAUUUGCUUCACUGAUUUCAAUUUGCUAUAUAGUUCUCAAAACUCUGCGUUUCUUGGCAGUUUACAUUCGUACAUACACAUAAGCACGCACACAAGUAUGUAAUUUGGUUAUGUAACCCUCAGAAACUUGUUUCUUUACGUAGUGCUUAAUUUUGUAGUAAUCAGACUUCUUUUUCUCUAUUUUUUUGUAAUUUUGUUUUCUGUUUUACUGUGUGCUUGAAUUGUGUUUCUUUGUGUUCUGAUAGUUUAUCUCCGUUUGUUUCUGAAUGUAUAAUUGUGUAUGAAGAGAUUGAAAUUAUGUAACUGAAAACGUAGUUCUGUAAUUAGGAAGAAUCAAGAUUCAGUUGGAGCUAUCUUUCUUUACCUUACUAUUGAAAUUCAGUUGAGCCUUCUUUCUUCGCCUUACAAUUUCUAACUGUUCUUUUUUGGCUUAAUUUUCUAAUUACCUGUUGAUGAUUUUGCAGUAUAGUCGUAUGGCUCUGUGUAUCUGUGUAGAGAGUGAUGGUUAAAAUUCCUUCUUCAGUUUUGCUGCUGAAACUCCAGUUGUGAUAAUAAUAAUCAGAAAUUAAUUUUCUCUGCGGAACGCGUCGGGUGGCAUUUGCAUUUCUUCAUUCAGAUCUUUUUUUAUUUUUUUAUUUGUUACUCAUUUGCUGGAAAAUUUAGAGUUAAUUAGUUCUCAUGCAUCACAGCAGUAGGACUAGUGUUCUAUUCUGUUUCUCUUUGGAUCAUUUGGGUGAAUUGUCUCAUGAUUUGAAGUCCCUUGUCCUUGUGAAGGGUAUAGUUAUUUAGAGCUUUAACUGGUUCUUUACCUCAUCAGAUUGAUCUUUGAAGAUGCCAAUUGACAACUCAAACACGUCUGAUCGAGAUACUGAGCCAUUUGUGGAGGUUGAUCCAACUGGGCGGUUUGGGCGGUAUGAUGAUCUCCUUGGUCAUGGUGCUGUGAAGAAGGUUUAUAGGGCUUUUGAUCAGGAGGAAGGUACAGAGGUGGCCUGGAAUCAGGUCCGCUUGAGGACUUUCAGUGAAGAUCCAACUCUCAUAAACCGGCUUUACUCAGAGGUUAAGCUAUUGAGCACAUUGAAGAACAAGUAUAUCAUUGUUUGUUACAGUGUUUGGAGGGAUGAGGCGCACAACACUUUGAAUUUCAUCACUGAGGUGUGCACAUCUGGAAACCUGAGGCAAUACAGGAAGAAGCAUCGCCAUGUGUCUAUUAGGGCUUUGAAGAAGUGGUCAAGACAGGUGCUUGAGGGAUUGGAAUACCUCCAUACACAUGAGCCAUGCAUCAUUCACAGAGAUCUCAAUUGCAGCAACAUCUUCAUCAAUGGGAACACUGCCCAGGUAAUUAUAACUCAUAAGUUGUAUCAACUUGUUUCUCCUGAUUUCUGUGAGCAUAAAUUGGGUCGCUCUCUUUUUCGUCAGUAUGAAUUUUAUAAUCUGUUUGGACUAAUGAAAUUGCUCUGCUAUUCCCAAAUCGGAGUUAAUAUAUAUAGCUAACAAUAGGCAAUUUAUUUUUGCGGUCAUGCAAUCCAAAUCUUUGAUAGUGUUUUCAUGUAAACUUGAAGAACACGAAGUGAUGAGUUAGAUGAGGGUUUUGGGGUAAUUAUUUAGACCUAUUUUGUUCAGAUGGAAAAUGAAUCUGAGUAGUGAAUGCCAGUAAGAUGAGGUUGGAUUUCUCUAUGUUUCCACUAAACAGACUUUUCCAUCCUAUUCUUGUAAUGUUGCAGCAUUUCUAUAUUUACAUUCUACUCUGCAUCACCAUAUAGUCCUUAGUGAUUUUGGGUACAUCUAUUUUUCUGAACCCCAAAAGAGCCUUGCAUGUUUUGAUUGAAGAGUUGAAUAUCUGGUGUGAACUACAAAAUUUAGAAUUUAUGUCCCCACUUCAUGUACAAUUUCCUAAUAUUAUAGGAAUGCAAAUCCAAUAUCCUAAUUCAGGUCUAUCCUUUUUUCAUGAACCUUUUCAUAAGUUUCUGGCCCUGCCUGAACCAUUAUGAAUUUGAUUUAUAGGUGAAAAUUGGUGAUCUGGGAUUUGCAGCAAUAGUUGGUAAGAACCAUGAAGCGCAUUCGAUUAUAGGGACACCUGAGUAUAUGGCACCUGAGCUAUACGAGGAGGACUACACAGAGAUGGUGGACAUAUACUCCUUUGGGAUGUGCUUGCUGGAGAUGGUGACAAUGGAGAUACCAUACAGUGAAUGUGACUCUGUUGCCAAGAUAUACAAGAAGGUCACGGCCGGUAUUAAGCCUGAAGGCUUGAACAAGGUGACUGAUCCAGAGGUGAAGGCGUUCAUUGAGAAAUCCAUAGCCCAACCGAGGGCAAGACCUAGUGCCUCUGAUCUUCUCAAGGACCCUUUCUUGUCUGAACCCAAAUCCAAUAUUGAAGAGAUUGAACAAAUCCUCUGAUGGCUUUUCGACAUUAAUCAUCUUUUCGAGACCUCAUUUGAUGAUGAUCUAGGGGUUUGGCUCUCAUUUCUGAACCAUCACAACUGAUCCAUGGUGUUUCUGUUCAAGUACAUGCCUAUAGACUCUCUCUCUCUCUCUCUCUCUCUCUCUCUCUCUCUCUCUCUCUCUCUGUGACAUCUGUAAUGUAGAUUCUAGUAAUGGAGAUAUUGGUAAUGCUGUGUAGUUGAAUUUGUAGUAAAAACAAAAAUAUUAUGAGAAUAUUAUGAAAAUUUCAAUGAGACUGCUUUAGCAAUAGUUCUCUCUCUCUCUCCCUAUUUACACUAGCACCCCUAAGGUUUUCGGAAUUUUCACAUAGAAUUUGCAUCUCAUGAAAAUAAAAACAUAAAAGUUUCUCAUUGAGAAUAAUAUUACAGCGAUCCCUUGACAGAUAAAAAACCAUUAUAUUUAUCAGGAGCUUUUAAGGGAAUGUAUUGCUUGAGCUAAAAGGAUCAUAGCUAAGGCUGGUACUUCUGUUCAGUCCAUGACAAUUUGCUGUCUUCCUCUAUGCUAUAAGAUAUUUGUUUAGACGACAAUUGCAUACACGCAAUUGUAAUCAGGACCGCACACUCAAACAUGAUUUUACCUAUUGAACGGUCAGAUUGACUGUCUAGCAUGUUAUGUAUUUAGUAUUAUAUACACACACAGAUAUACUAUAUAUAAUAUAACGAAGUAAAAGUUGCAUGGAAAUACAAAGUAAAAGUAAUUUUGGGGAUUGGGGGUUGUUGGGAGAAAGCAAGCAAAGACCCCUUCAUCCAAAGCACCAGAAUAUUGACAACAAUCAGAAGCCGUGCCGUCUUGGGUGUUUGUUAUGCUACGUAAUACGCAAACACAAAGCUUCGCCCGCACUUCAUCUUCUCCCUUUAUCAUUAUUUAAUCAUUUCCUUCUCAACUAGUUUACCAAUUUACAUUGCCUCAUUCUUCCCUUUUCAAUUUCCCAACACAUCCUUCGCAAAUCUCCAUGACUUCUCAUCCCACCUCUUCUAACUAGAGUGUACAUGGCCUUGCAUCAAUGGGUUUUUUUUUUUUUUGGUUCUUUUCCUUUUACCUUUCUGAUCAACAAUUGUCGUUCGUGAGAUUUGAACUCGCAACUGGGAGAAACUAAACCAACAUGUUGAGAACAUGAAUGAACUGAUCUAAUUAAUGGGUACCAAAGGAAAGUCCAAUCCAACGGUUAGGAUUUGCAUUCAAUUUGAUGGUGUUUAGUUUGGGUCACAUACAUGCAUAGACAGCAAACUUGUUGUGCAAGCCUAUGACAUGGAAAGGAGUGGAGAAUUACCAUAUUCUAGUGACUGGUAGCACCAAGAAUUCAACUGCUCAGCACUCGAGAACGUUUUUGAAGCCUUAAAAUUUGGACAUUGAGAGGGUUUCACUCGUGUGCAUUUGACUUUGACUAGAAAAAAAAAAAAAGCUGCACGAAUGUGUGUGUUACACAAUGUCUUGAUUAAAAUUUUAAAAACCACCUCUUUUGAUUCAAUCAUUCUUCUAUUUGAUUCCACUGGUUUGCCAAUUCUAGAAGCCUUGUGUGUAUAGUUGUAUACUAUACUCUAUUUUAAUGUUCUUUGAAAAUUGAGAUAACUUCCGAGCAUU